CCCUUUGGAUGAUCUCUUCUGUACGUGUCAGCCAAUCCCGGACAUCAUUUUCGAUAUCAUCCCCUUGCCUAUUAGCCUCAUCCACAUCGUGCUGCAGCCUCUCCCUUGCAUUACCCAGCCUCUCAACUUGUUCCACAAGCUCAUCAAGGUUGCUACGAUAGUUAAACAGGUAACCCAGUUGACGUACAAUUGGAUCAACCAGGUACCCUGCAACUUUUCCUGCAACAUUUGCUGCAGCGGACAUAAGAAUUGCUGCCAUUUUCCAAGUUUUCUUUCUCUGGAAAUAGAUGGGAAUUGAGCAAAAGCAGAAAAUAAGAAGGGCCUCAGGAGAAGGAAAACACCACAAAAGAAAAAUGGUAAUUAAUUGAGUGUGACAGAUGAAAAUAAGGAGAUGAAAGGUUCGAGGUAUCCAAAGGGCAGAGUAGGUGGAAGGUUUUAGCUAUGAAGGAAACAAUAAUUUUUUUUAUUUUUUAUUUUUUGUUUGCAAGAAGAGGAGAGGAGGAGAGGAGAAACACAAAGCAGCAAAAUGGAAAAUAAGAUUGAUUACUUGAAAGAACGAGUGUGAAGGGCAUAAAGUAUGAUGAGUUGAUAAAAUGAGAAACGGGCUACAGAGUGGAGACUGAGAAAGACUCAGAAAAGCGCUGCAGAGUGAAGAGACUGAGAAAGACUGAGAACAGUGUUAUAGAGUGAGGAGAAACACAAAGCAGCAAAAUGGAAAAUGAGAUUGAUUACUCGGAAGAACGAGCGUGAAGGGGAGAAAGUAGGAAGAGUUGAUAAAAUGAGAGAAGGGCUACAGAGUGGAGACUGAGGAAAAGGGCUGCAGAGUGAAGAGACUGAGUAAUAUCCAUCAUUGACAAUGACUCAUUUUAGUUUUAGUCGCACAUCACAUGUUUGAAUUUGGCAACCAAGACACCAAAACAUUUAAUACCUUAUGCAUUAAAAUAUCAUCUUGAUUCAAACACUUUCAUCAAUCCAUUUCUUCCAUUUAUAAUAAAAUAUUUAUACAAUUAUUUUUUAAAAUUACUCACACCAAACAAAGUAAAAAUAAUAAACUUUAAAUAAUUAAAAUAUAUUUUUAUAAAACACACUGUUUUCGUAAUAAAAUCUUAAAAAAUUAUAUUUUAAAAAUAUUUUUUUAGUAUGAAAAAUAAUGUUUCAAUUUUUAAGAAAUAAAAGUGUUUUUAAAAAUAGUUAAAAACUUGCUCGAAAGUUUUGAUUGGUCGGUGGUUUAAUAAGCAUAACAACCUGUCAUCCUUGUGUUUUCAAUUAAAGCAAAUAUCUUUGGACUUGGAGUCCUUGCUUGAGUGUAAGGAGGUAUUAUUAUUGUGGACCCUACUGUCCACUCUAAGCUGAAAAUGUGUGGUUUAUGUUAUUAGCAGGCUUUUCAAUCAUUCUGACAAAUAAAAAUGAAGAACUUUGAGCGGCUAGAAGAAGUUGAUGAUCCAAACCAUAAAUCGAAGCUCAACCCGAUCACUCUAAAUAAUCAAUUCACACCCUACCCACUCUCAUUUCUUUUUCAAGUUUAGGUUGAGUUGGGAAUGAUUAGAUUAAAUUCAGAUUAAUUAGCUAGUAUAAUUUAAAAUUUAUUUAUACUAUUUUUUAAAAAAAAUUGUAAGAUAAAAUUUUAAGAUAACAAAAUAAACAAAUAAAUUUGCAUAUUUUUUUAAAAAUAAAAAAGUAUAUGAUGUAAUAUAUUUUGAUAUAUUUUCUCUUAAAAAUCUUUAUUUUAUCGAUUAAUAUACAUUAUAAACAUUAAAUUGGGUUCGAAUUAGAUCUUAAUUAUAUGAAUCUUGGCUUGGACACAAUCCAAAUCUAACUCAAACAAAAAAAACCUAACUCAACCCUAGUAUUAUUAACUCAAACAAAAAAAAACCUAACUCAACCCUAGUAUUAUUAACUCAAAUUGAAAAAAUCUAAGAGUUGGAACACAAUCCAAAUUAUACUUGGAUUGGAAAAACCUAAUUUAAUCAUAGUAUUAAAAAUUAUUAUUCAAACUCAUUUAAACAUUAAAUUAGAUUUGGAUUUGAUCAAGUGUAUAUGUCUCGGUUGUACAAAAAAAUAGUUUUUUUUUAAAUAUUUUUGAAACGAAUUCUCUAAUAUUUCAUAGAAUAAAAAUUUGGUUAAACCCCUAAAAGGUAUGAACCUAUAUUUUUCAAUAUAUUUUAAAAAAUAGUUCUUAUAUAGAUUUUACUUUUAAUUAUAUUUUAUAUUUAUAUCAUAAUAUAUUUAAAAUAAAACAACAGAAAGUAGUACAAAUAUGUUUAAAAAAUACCUUAUUUCAAGAAUAAAUUCUAAAAAAAUGGUUUUUUUAUCAUAAAUUAUUAAAUAUAUUUUUGAGUGUGAAAAAUAGUUAAAACUCUUUUUUAAAACCAUUGAAAACAAUCAAAACAUGCUCUAAGGUUUUGAUGACGCAAUCGUUUAGAAAACACAACAGCCUGUGAUGCUUGCACAUUUGCAACAAAGCAAGUAUACUCAGCCUUGGAUUUCUUACUUAUUAUUGUUGACCCUACUCUCUACUCUAAACUGAAAAGUUGGUUACAUUAUCAGUUGGCUCUUCAAUCAUUCUGACGAAGAAAUUGACCAAACAAGAAAAGAGAAAGAGAGAGAUGGAUGGAGUUACAGAACACGUGAUUGCAUUCUCUGCCACUAAAGCAAAAUUAUAUUUUAAAGAAAUAAAUUCAAGUUGAAGUCUCAAUUGAAACUUCAUUUAUAAACUAAAGUCGUAAUUAGUAAUCGAGAAUUCAUUUUUAAAUUAAAAUUUUAAUUACUAAUUGAGCUUAAUUUUUAAAUUGAAACCAUAAUUGAUAAUUGAUAUUUUAUUUUUUAAUUGAAAUCUCAAUUAUAAAUUGAGGCUUUAAUUUUUUUGUUUUACUUUAAAAUUUAAUUAAAAAUAUUAAAUUACAAAUUGUUAUUAAAAUUAAAAAAAUAUAUUUUAAUAAUAAAAAUUUUAUAUAUUUAAACUUAAAAAUCUAGUAUUAUUUCAAUAAAUAUAAAUUGAUAAAUAUAAUAAUAAAUAAAUAUUUUAAGAGCAUUUAAUUUUAAAAUCAAUUUUUGAAGGUAGAUAAAAUUAAGAUUUUAAAAGUACUUGCAUUAAAUUUAUUAAUUUAAAUUCACAAUUCCCAUCAUAUUACAUUAAAAAAAAAACUAAUAUUUUUUUACUAAAUAUAUAAUAAAAAAGUACAUUUUUGUUUAAUUAAAAAUUUAAAUCAUUAAAAUUGUUUUUAUUUUAAUAAAUAAUGUUUUAAAAAGUAUAUUAUGUGUGUGUGUGUUUUUUUUAUUAUUUAAUAGUCAUUAUCAAAGUCAUAACAAUGACAAUAAAAAAACUCAAUAAAUUAGUACAUCCUACUACUUACGUUGAUAUUUUAGUUAUUAACAUUGUUAUUGUUAAAUAAAGACAAUGUCACUAUCUUCAAAUGACAUAUUUGAUAUGGAGGGCAAAACAGUGAUGAAUAAUAAAUAGGUCAGUACAUUCUUUUAUUUACAACAAUAUUUUUAGUUACUAACAUUGUUACUUAUAGAUAAAAACUAUAUUGUUAUCUCCAAUGGAUGCAUAUUUGAUGUAAAUGUUGAAAUGGUUAUGAAUAAUAUGAGAGCUACAUAUGUGGGUCCCAUUAAAUAUACUUACCAAUUUGUCUUGACAACUCACCUUUAAUUGGUUAAAGAGCAUUUUCGAGCAUAAUUUUUUUUUUUUUUGUCAAAUACUUUCCUUGAAAUAACCAUUUUUGGGUUCCAUUUUCUUCUUUUAUUUCAUAAUGUACCAUGUUCACAUAAUUCUCCCAAAUAUAUUUUAAUAAUAAAAUUUUUAUAUAUUUAAACUUAAAAGUAUAAUAUUACUUCAAUAAAGAUAAAUUGAUAAAUAUAAUAAUAAAUGAAUAUUUUAUUCAUUAAUAAAGUAAUAAUAUUCAAAUAAUAAAAUUAUAUAACAUAUGAAUAAGAUAUAAAAUUAUAUAAUUUAUUAAUUUAAAAUAUUUAAUUUGUUAUAUUUUUAAGAUAUUAGUUUGUUCAUAUUUUGACAAAAUUAUCUUUAGUGAAAAAAAGUAGUAUACUCUUAACUUUUCAUAUAUAGAUUUUUUAUUAUUUUAAAGCAUAUGUUUAUAAUUUUUUCAUUUUGUGUAAAAAAAACUAUUAUUUAUAUGCCUUCAAGAUAAAUUUUGAAAUUAGUUAACAGAAAGUCUAUUAAUAAUUUUUAGUAGUUUUAUCAAAGUUACAAAAUAUAUGGGAAAAAAAUGUCUCUCCCUAAUUAUAGCAAGUACUAUAUGUUAUAUAACUUAAAUUAAUAAAUUAUAUAAUUUUAUAUUUUAUUUAUAUAUCAUAUAACUUUAUUAUUUUAAGAUAAUUAAUUUAUUGAUAAAUAAAAUAUUUAUUUAUUAUUAUAUUUAUCAAUUUAUCCUUGAAGUAAUAUUCGAUUAAUUAAAUUUAAAUAUAUAAAAUUUUUAUUAUUAGAAUAUAUAUAUCUAUAUAUAUAUAUUUAAUUUCUAACAAUAAUUUAUAAUUUAAUACCUUUUAAUUAAAUUUCAAAGUAUAAAAAAAAUUAAUUGAAGCUUUAAUUAUUAAUUACGAUUCUAUUUAAAAAAAAUGAAGCUCAAGUGAUAAAAAAGGGUUUCAAUUUCAAUUUUUAUUUUAUUUAAAAAAAGAUAUUUUUUAUGAUAGGACUCUAACAGUAAAAAGACUAAUUUAAACAUAAAUUUUGUAAAGGGUUAAACUUAAUAUUUUUUUUUAUAUAAAAGGCUAUUUUCCGCCCAAAAACUCAAAGUAUGGUCCUGGAAGGCAUGUCGCAGUGGUAGGGCCCAAAGGACAUAGUGACAUUUUCCUGGCAAAAAGAGGCAGAAAGGUAUGAUCAUUUUUAAAUAUUUUUUUUAAAAAAUAAUUCUUAUAUAUACGGUUUUAUUUUUAAUUAUUUUUUAUAUUUAUACCAUUAUAUAUUUAAAAUAAAAAAAAGAACAAAUAAAAACAACGGAAAGUAGUACAAAUAUAUUUAAAAAAUACCUUAUUUCAAGAAUAAAUUCUAAAAAAAAAAAUGGUUUUUUUAUCAUAAAUUAUUAAAUAUAUUUUUGAGUGUGAAAAAUAGUUAAAACUCUUUUUUAAAACCAUUGAAAAUAUGCUCUAAGGUUUUGAUGAGGCGGUUAUUUAGAAAACACCACAGCUUGUGAUGCUUGCAUUUUCAAGCUUAGCAGGUAUAUUCAGCCUUAGAUUCCUUCAUGAGUGAAAGUAGUUAUUAUUAUUGGUUACAUUAUUAGUUGACUUUUUAAUCAUUUUGACAAAGAAAGUGAUUAAACAAAAAAAGAGAAAGAGAGAUGGAUAGAGUUAUAUUAAAAAUUAAACUAGUGAAAAGUUUUUAUCAUGUCAUUUUUUUUAUUUUUUUAUUUUAACACUACCUGGAAAUCAAUAUUUUGAUGAGACUCGGCAUGCACAUCAAAACUAUUUCAAAUAAAUAUAAUAAAAGACUUGGUUGAAGAUUAUACUAUAAAAAAUGACUUUAUAUUUCAUAUAAUAUUGCAUAAAAAAACUCAUCUGUAUGGCUCCCAGCUCCCAAAUAAGUCAUGUGGAUUAGUUCAGAGGUCCAUUUCUUAUAUAUAUAUAUAGAAAGAGAAGACAGUACUGACGGUGGAUUGGAUAAAUAUUAAAAUAAUUUUAAAUCCAAAAAUAUUUUAUUCAAAAUUAAACUAAGGAAAUCAAUACAGUGAUGACAUCAUCCACUCUUUUAAAACUCCUGAAAAUAAACCCCAUGCGUACUUAUUAUACUAAUUUAAAUAAAUAUAAUAAAAGACUUGGUUGAAGAUUAUAUUAUAAAAAGAAGACUUUAUAUUUCAUAUAUAAUACACAAAAUCUUGUCUCUGUAGGGCUCCCACCUUCCAAACAAGUCUUUGGAUUAGUUGAGAGGUCUAUUUCUUUAAGAAUAAAUUAGAGUGAUGCUUUGAAAUUUAGCAAAAGUUACCAGUAAACCAAUAUAAAUAUAGAUAGUUGAGAGUAUAGAUUAUGGCUCCUACCUCCCAAACAAGUCUUUGGAUUAGUUGAGAGGUCUAUUUCUUUAAGAAUAAAUUAGAGUGAAGCUUUGAAUCUUUAGCAAAGUUACAAGUAAACCAAUAUAAAUUUAGAUUAGUUUAGAGUAUAUAUAUAUUAUAAUAACUUAAUAUAAUUUAAUAAAUUGAUUUAAAUCAUAAAUAGAUUAAGCAUAUUUUAUUAAUAUAAUUAAUUUAUUCUAAAUCCUAAAUAAAUAUCUUUUACCUUAAUUGCUCACAUCUUGUGAGAAUUUCUUUUAUAUUCAUAUUCUAUAUUUAGGAAUCAUUUUUUAAAAAUAAAUAUUUGAUAGUAGUUUUCUAUUUCUACAAGAUUUUUAAUAUGAUUGUUUAACAAAUAAAUGUGUUAUUUAAAAUUAAUGAAAGUAAAUAUUGAUUAAAAUUAGUAAGGAUAAAAUUAUAUUUAUUUAUAGUUAUUCUAACUUCACUUAUGAAAGCGUCAAUUGAAAAGGAAUUUUUUUUUCAAAUACAAGGAAUUUUCUCAAAAAAAGUGAAAGUUUUCAUGGAUAGAUUAAUCUUUUAAAAAAUAAUGUUAUUCCAUAAACCCAGUCUUACAAAAAAAAAAUCAUAAAUGAGAUUUUAAAAAUAUAAAUUAUUUAUAAAUAUAUUUAUAAUAUUAUUUUAAAAUAUGUUUUAUUAAUAGAAUGUGAUAAUAAUUGAGUCAAGUCACUGAUGUCAAAAAGCAAAUAGAUACUUAGAUAAAUCUUAAAAGAAAAAGGAUGUUAAGUUAAAAAUUAACCUAAUAAAAAGUUAUCAUCAUAUCAAAUUAUUUUAUUUUAACACUAUCAGGAAAGCCAUACUUUGAUGUGACCCAUCAUCAACUAUUUUAAACCUCUAAAAAUAAACCCCAUGACCUGGAACGCACGUUAAAUUAUUUCAAAUAAAUGUAAUAAAAGACUAGUUGAAGAUUAUAUUAUGAAAUAAAACAUUAUAUUUCAUAUGUAUCACACAAAAACUUGUCCAUAUGGCUCCCAGCUCCCAAACAAGUCACAUGGGUUCAGAGGUCUAUUUCUUUAAGAAUAACGUGGAAUGAUGCUUUGAACAUCCAACAUAUGUAAGAAAAGACAUUCAGCAAAUUGAAAUCAAACAUAAUAAAAGACUUGGUCCAAGAUCAUGUAUCUUAUCGAAUAAAAAAUGACUUCUUAUUUUAUAUUGUAUAUAUCAAAGUCGUGAAGGCAAAUCAAACAAUUUAUAUGGUUUAUAUUGAAGUCGUGAAGGCAUAUCAAACAAUGGAUUCAUCGAAUCUUCAUAAAAAUGCAAAAUCUAAUUUUACUCAAAACUUUUCUAAAUGAAUUAAGAACUAUAGAGCAUGUUUGCUAAUUAUUUUUAAAAAUAAUUUUAGAAAAUAGUUUUUUUAAAAUGGUUUUUGAAAACUAUUUUUAAUAUUUUGUAUAACAAAAGUCUAUUUAAAAACUUGAAAUGUUUUAAACCUAUUUUUAAUAUUUUUAAAAAUAAUUUUUACAUCUAACAUUUUAUUUUGAAUAAUUUUACAUAUUUGUAUAAUUAUUUUUUAAAACAGUUAUAAAAAAAUAAUUUAAUGUUAUUUGAAAAUAUUUUAUUUUUUUUGUUCUUUAAAACAUAAAUAGAAAACGAUUUUUGAAUGCUAAAUAUGUUUUCUUGACUUUUUAUCAUAAAGAAUAAAAAACUAUUUUUAAAAACAAUUGUUAAACAAACUCAUAGUUUAUAAAUAAAUAUGCGAAAAUGUCAUAAUUUGAAAUUUUAUCACAAUUAACAAAGAAUUAGGGCAUGUGAAAGAAAAAAAAUCUUAAUAGGGUCAUGAUCCAAUGAAAGUAGUGUAAAUUCCUUAUAUUGCUAAAUAUAAAAUGUAGGGGUUACCUUUUUGGACUCCUACGAAAAGGAUGAACUAAAAUAAGCAAAACAAGAGAGAAGAUAUUAUAGUAGUAAAAUAAUCACUUAAUUUUAAUAUAGAGCCAAAUAACUCAUUGUUUUAUUUAUUUUUACAAUAAUUUGAAUAUGGACAUAAAACUUUGAAUUCAACAUCAUGAAUUUAUGGACCAUUAGUUGAUUUUAAGAGGAUUAGAAUUGCUUCAUAAUAUUUGAAAAAGUUUCAAUUAAAAAACUUGGUGUAUGUAAAGUUGUAAAAUCUAAAAAUGGUUCUAUAUAAUACUGAGACCAUCGAUGAUUUUGAUGAUUCUACAAAUCAUUUUUUUAGUAUAUGAUACAUUCUUGAAAAAAACUAUAAAAGUAUUUGAUUUUCUUCUUUAUAUCCAAAUACUGACCGAUUAUUUAUGGAAGUAUUUUUGACAAAAAUGUUGUUAUCAAAAGUGCGACAUGUUGAAAUUGCAUUUAGGACCAUCAUUUGAGAAUGGGAAAAAGAUAAAGCGAUUACAUAAAAUUCUUAUUUUAAUUUUGUCAUUUAUAUUAAUCUAAUUAAACUGUCUAUUAAAAUUUCAUUUCGUAUUUUUGUGUUGGUGUAAGUGCUAGAAUCCUAGACUAGAGGUCAAAUAGCAAGUUACUUUCAUUUUAUAAGUUGAUUUUUCUGAGGGUCAAGCUAACAUUAAACAACACCUUCGUUUGUGAGCAAACCAAGUAGGAGAAAGGGAGGGCUCCAUAAAAACCAGCAAGACCCACUCAGCAGAGCCCAUUUGGCUUAAGGGCCCUAACGAUCCAUUUAGAUGGGCCAAUUGCAAAGACUCCCUGACUAAAAUGAAAAUGAAUCAACAUUAGAAAAGUGUGCUAGCACUGAAAUAGCAAGCCAUAGCUCAGCUGCAUGCUGCUCUCCGUUCAGAAGACAAUGGGCGAGAGUUAUACAACCCGCUACCUUUAUUUUGAUGGAGUCCUUUCCUAGUUAAAACCCAUGUUUUGGUCAUGUAACUGGAUAAUAAUUAGAGGGUGUUUAGUAAAUAGUUUAAUGACUUAAUAAUUUAAUUUAAGUUAUUAAGUAAAUUAAACAUGCUUAUUAAAAGAAAUUAUAAUUAAAAGUAAUUUUUAAUUUUAAUUAUUAAGUUAAAAUAAUUAAUUUAUUCUUAAUCUUAACUUUUUUAUCUGAUUUACCUAUACUAGUAAAAGUAUAUUUUAGAAUUAUGAUUUCAUAUUUAUGACUUAUUUUUAAUAAUAAAUAUUUUAUGGUGAUCUUAUGCAUCUAUAGUACUUUAAAUAUGAAUAUUUUAUAAAUAAAUUUAUUAUCUAAAAUUAAUGAAAAUAAAUAUGAGUUAAAAUCAAUAAGAAUAAAUAUUCAUUAAAAUAAAAGAGGAUAAUGUGUUGACUUGAAAUUUUAAAAUAACUUUUGAGUAAACUUUAUCAAAUAUCCUUAAUAUUUAAAAUUAAAAUAAGUAAUAAUUUUUAAGUGAAUAACUUCAUAACAAUUUAACUUAAAGUGAGCAUAAAUCAUUAAGUAAUCACCCACUUUGAGAAUAUUUAUUAAAUUAAUUUAAUUAUUUAAUAUGACUUAAUUGUUGGGUUUAAGGAUAUGGAUACAAAAUAUUAGUCCAAAAGACACAAAUAAAUAACAGAAUGAAUAAAAAGAAAAAUUUAUCGGUUGAGGCGUGACAAGUACUAUCCUUGAAAUAGAUCCACCAUCCUCGAAGACGAACUUGGUACACUAGGGUACCAAUGGUCUACCUCUAGGAUUUAACGACUAGAUCUUGCCUUGGUUGCACUUUGUAAGCGAGAUGUGUAUAACUUAGGUUUAGAAAAAAUUCCUCCAAAUAGAUGUAUGAAAGACUUUUUGAAAAACUCCCUAAAAAAUUGGUAUUCAUAUAUAGAGAGAAAAGGGUGACUUGCUUUUAUAGGCCAAAUGAGAAUCUACUUGUAAUUAGAAUAUGACUCAAAGUGGAAGGAGAUUCCACUUAUAAAAGGAAUGAAACUCCACUAGCACAAUCCCAAUAGGACUCUUCCCAAAAAUAGAAGACUAAUAAAAUAGAAUAAAAUAAAAAAUAAUUCUCAAUAGGACUCUUCCAAAAAAUAUAAGACUAACAAAAUAAAAUAAAAUAAAAUAAAAAUAAUUCUCAAAAAUAAAAAUAAAAAUUAUUUACACUCUUCCUACAAUUCCCCACAAAGUGUAAACGUAAUUUUUUUUUUUUUUGAGGAAAAAAGAAUCCAAUGCAUCAGUAUUGGUACCCAAAGGCUAUGAACCAGUCUUAGAACAAAUAAGUAUUGAAUCACAAAACAUGGUAAAAAUAAAUUUUUAUGAACUAGUGUUUCUUUGUGUAACUCAAGGAACUUUUAUCCAUAUUGGUUUUCUCAACUAUAUUAUGAGCUAUACAAAACGGGUUGACACAAAUAGGCCAUACGUCCUACCGGGAUAUUCAUGAGAGCUUUAGAGAACUUGCCUAAUUUCUCAUAGGAAGCAGCCCCACCUUCACUCUCAUAUAGGUGAAUCCAUCAAGUAUGUUUUGCAUUUAAACAUACCAUUCAUAAGGAAUAUGGUAUUCAUUAAGAGUAAACACUCAACCUUAGUCAAUGCAAAAUACGCUUUAUCUACACCGUAGGAAUGGACUCUCAUACAAUUAGAGUUGAUAGAGCAAUUCAAGUCAACAAGUGAUUUGUUAUUACCCAUAUAAACCUACUUCAUGGAAUUUCCAUUCUAAUAGGUUAGGUUACCACCACUCUUGACUUCUGUAAUAGACAUAAGCCCCAUCAUUCUUGAUGUUUCUUCCACUAGUUUCUUAUUUAGUGGUUUGGUCAAAUGAUCGGCCAAAUUCAAUCUGACCUCACAAAUUCUAGGAAUAUAACCCCUGUUUCAAGCAGCCGUACAAUAUUGUGCCUUAGGCAUAUAUGCUUGUUCUUCCCAUUAAAUAUUUUACUCUUAGCCUUAGCAAUUGCAGUUUGGCUAUCACAUCGCAUAGACACAGAUGGGGCUGGUCUCGUCUAUAAAGGGAUAUUUUGCUAAGAGGUUUCUAAGCCACUCAACCUCAAAACUUGCCUUUUCUAAGGCAAUAAACUCAACCUCCAUAGUAGACCGAAUAAUGCAAGUUUGCUUGGAAAACUUCCAAGAAACUGCACUUCCACCAAGGAUGAAAACAUAUCUACUAGUGGAUUUCAUCUCAUCUGAAUCCGAGAUCCAAUUUGCAUCACUAAAUCCUUCAAGGACACUUGGAAAUCCACUAGAGCACAAACCAUAGUUAAUGAUGCCUCUCAAAUACUUAAGGAUUCUACAAACAAUAGUCCAAUGAUCCUGAUUAGGACUUUGGGUGUACCGACUCAAUCUACCUACUGCAUAAGCAAUGUCAGGUAUGGUACAGUUCAUUAAGUACAUUAGGCUCCCUAUGAUCUUAACAUAUUCUAUUUGGGCAACAUUAUGUUCUCUAUUUUUCUUCAACUGUGAGCUGGGAUCAUAAGGAGUUGACACUGGUUUACAAUCAAAGUAUUCAAACUUCCUUAGGAUCUUCUUAACAUAGUGCUCUUGAGAAAGUUUAAGCCCAUUAUGUGUUCUAAUUAUUUUAAUUCCUAGAAUCACCUUUACCUCUCUUAGGUUUUUCAUAUCAAACUUAGAACCUAGGAAUUUCUUGUAAGGUAUUCUAUUUUGAAUAUAACAUGCGGAUAAGAUAGCUUCCUCUCACAAGUUCAAGGGUGCUCUUGAACUUACCAACAUUGCAUCAAAGGUUUUAAGUUAAUCAAAAUGUAUCCAAAGUUCACUAUAUCAAUUGUAGAGAAAAACCCUUUUCUGCCAUCUCUUAAAGAAUGUCCCAUUGAAAGGAUCACUUUUAGAGGUGUCAAGAUGGGUGUGAACUAAGGAAGCUUCCAUUUGGAUCUAUUUCAAGAUUGUUGGGUUUAAGGGUAUGGAAAUAAAAGACUAGCCCAAAAGACACAAACAAAUAACAAAAUGAAUAAGAAGAAAAAUUUAUCAGAUAAUCGGAGAUGAAAAAGACGAUCCAAAAUUUUGUGAACAAUGCGGAGUCGAAUUUGUUGAUUCUCGAAUACGAAGAUAUCAAAUGGGCUACAUCAAACUGGCAUGCCCAGUAACGCAUGUGUGGUAUUUGAAAUGUCUUCCUAGUUAUAUCGCAAAUCUUUUAGAUAAACCUCUUAAAGAAUUAGAAGGCUUAGUAUAUUGCGAUGUGUGAUUUGAUCGAAAUUCUGAUUUUACAGAUUCAGAAUGAGAAACUGUCAUCCCAUUCAAUCCAAUUGGGAUGCCUCGGCUCUGACAUGUCUCUUAAGAGGAGUAACAUGAAGCUCAGAAUUAUGGGUGUAUUCUAUACUACCAAAUAAAAGGGUAAUUGAUCUUUGGUCGAUUCUGUAACAAAUAAAUAGGAAUGUGAGGCAUGAUAAGCACUGUCUUUGAAAUAGAUCCACCUUCCUCGAAGACGAACUCGGUGCACUAGGGUACCAGUGGUUUACCUCUCUGAAAAACUCUCUAAAAAAAAUCUCUAAAAAAUUGGUAUUCAUAUAGAGAGAGGGGUGACUUGCUUUUAUAGGCCACUAACAAAUUCUCAAUGGGAAUCUACUUGUAAUUAGAAUAUAAGUCAAAGUGAAAGAAGAUUCCACUUAUAAAAGGAAUGAAACUCCACUAGCACAAUCCCAAUAAGACUCUUCCCAAAAAUAUAAGACUAAUAAAAUAAAAUAAAAUAAAAAACAAUUCUUAAUAGGACUCUUCCCAAAAAUAUAAGACUAAUAAAAUAAAAUAAAUUAAAAAUAAUUCCCAAAAAUAAAAAUAAAAAUUAUUUACAUUCUUCCUACAUUAACAACUUAAAUUAAUCAUAUUUAUUAAGAUAAUUUAAUAUAAUAACUUAAAUUUAAAAAUAACUUUAAGUAUAUAUAAAAUCAAAAUAAUUAAUUUAUUUUGAAUCUUAAAUUUUUUUAUUUGCCUACAUCUAGUGAGAAUCUCUUUUGCAUCCAUAACUUCAAAUCUUAUUUUUCAUGCUAAAUAUUUUAUAGUUAUUUUAUGUGUUAAGAAUACCUUAUUAAAGGUAUGCUUAUGAAAUAAAUUUAUUUCGUAAAAUUCAUAAAAUUAAAUAUUAAUCAAAUUGAUAAGGUAAAUAUUAAUUAAUAGUAAUGAUGAUAAAUAUGUUAAUUUGAUAGUUUAGAAAAAAAUUUCAAGUUAAUUUUACCAAACCAAUUUAAUACUUAAAGUUAAAACAAAUUGAUAAAUUUUAAUUCAUUAACUUAAAAAUAAUUUAAUUUAAAGUUAACUUAAGUUAUUAAAUAAUAAGUAUUAAGUUUUAUUAAAUAUCUUCUUACAUAUAUUAGGUUUUAUAUAAAUCUAGAAGAAAAUUUAAAACCAAGUAGAGCUUUAGGUGGUAUUUGGUUUUUUUUUUUUUUUUCACCUUAAUAUUAAAUAUAAUUUGCUUUCAAAUAUCAGCUAAUUGCGAAAGCAACACUCAUUGUCACUCACGCAACUGCUACCUUUACAUGUUGUAUUUUUUACUCUCUCAAAGUAAAUUUCUUCUUCAUUUCUUCUCUUUAUAUAUGCUUUAUUUAGAUAGAGAUUUCAAUCAUCUUCACUCUUUCUUUGUCAAACUCGUGGGCUUGUUUCAUUAAAGUUUUUUUUUUUUUUUUUGCCAUGAUUUAUGCUUUUCUUACUUGUUUGAUUAUUGUGAUUUUUGUGGUUUGUUUGGUUAUUAGAUUUUUAUGGUUUCUUUGAUUGGAGAAAUCUAAAAUAAAAGAAUCAAAAUUUAGGAAUUGCAUUAGAAAUUAUAUAACAAUUUUUUUAACUGAAUUAUAUAUAUAAUUUUCAUAUUAAUAAAUUAAAUUCUAAUUGAAAAUGACAAAUCCUUAGUAAUGGAGUUAGUAAUAUUAAUUUUUAUAAUAUUAAUUUUAUAUUAUUGAUUUUAUUAUUAAUAAAACUAAUAUUGUAGCGAAGUUAUAAGUAUGACAAAAACUUAUUGAUUUUAUAACAAUGUACUCUUUAACAUUUCCUUCACUGCAAACUAACUUUAGAAUAUAUUUCUUUUAAAAGUUUAUGAUUUUCUCAGAAAAAUUAUUUCUAAUAAGAAAAAUUCUUUCUAAUGAUAGAAUAUAUGUAAUGUUAAUUUAUUGAGAUGAUAUAUUAAUAUAGACACUAAUAUAGUAAGAAAAAAACCAAUGUUUUUAAUACUAUUAGAUUUGUUGUCAAAUGUGGAUAUAAUAUUUAUGUAUUGAACUACACUAAAGUUACGUUAUGGCAUGCUUUAAUUUUGUUUUUAAAUAAUUAUAAAAAUAAAUAUUUUAUUUUAAUAUUUUUUAAUAGUUAUGUCGUAAAAAUAUUAAUAAAAUUAUUGAAAUCUAUUUAAUAAGAAAUAUAAGGACAAAUAUUUUUAUGUAAUAUUUUUUAACAUUAUAUUGUAAAAUUAAACAUUUCAAAAUUUAUGAAAUCUAUAUAAUAAAAAGUAUAAUAACUUUAUAUUUUGAAUUAUUAUAAUGAAACAAUUAUUUGUGAAAUUAUCAUAUUAUAUAUUAUUAUUAUUAUUAUUAUUAUUAUUAUUAUUUUGGAUAAGUUAUUUAUAAUAUUUUUAAAAUAAUAAUUAAUGAAAUAAUAAUUUAUAAUUAAUUAUUAUAUUAUUUAUAUGCAUUAAUAUCUUCAGCCUUGAAUUCUUCAAAUGAGUGUAAGGCGUGCAUUAUAAAUUAUAAUUAAUUUAUAAUUUAUAAUUACUAUCCUUCCCGAUAUUUUAAAUUUUAGUGUGGUCGGUUCUUGAACAGGCCCAACUUCCAUUUAAUGGAUUCUAGGCAGAAGCCCAACCCAUAUUGCCACCACCUAUUUAUUGGUUUUUUGGCAAAAAGCCUAUCCAAGCAAGCCCGCCUUACAUUGCCACAUGCUGGGAUCAACCUUAAACCCACAAGCUGUGGACAUGUCAACACCUUGGAUGAGUAAUGUUUUUAAGGCCCUCCAUAUCCUUCUUACCAUCUGUUGUGGGAUUGAUGGACCUUAAGUUGGGGAGAUGACAUGGGCACCACUCUACAACACCCCUUUUGAUGCUUAUUAUAUCAAACAAAAGAAAAUAUAUUAUUUUCUAAAAGAAUUUAUAAUAACAAUAUAAUAUUUUUAAAAUUAUAAAAUUAUCCCUAUGCGAGCUUGACAGUCAAACUAAUGCAUUUACACACUUUACUAAAAACAUAAAAGGGUUUUGCUUGUUUGUUUAGUAAAGUCAAGCUUUGACUUUGUUAUUGAACGAUGAAUUUUCAUCUCUAUUAUUGAUUUUUUUAUUUAAAAUUAAAGUAUUUCAAAUUUAUUGUUAAAAAAGGUUUCAAAUUUAUUUAAAAUAAACAUAAAAAAUUUUAUCUUUAUUUUGUUAAAAAGAAAUUUUCAAUUUUAUUUUAAGAGAAAAGACUUCUCAGUUUUAUUAAAAAAAUUUAAAUUUUAUUAUUAUUUAAGAAAAAUAUAUUUUUUCUUAUUUUUUUUUACUUAAAAGAUGAUUUUGUAGUUUUAUUUCAAGUUAUACAAUGUUAUUUUAAAGAAGGAUUUGACUAUUUUAUUUAAAAGGAUUUUGUAGUUUUAUUUAGAAAAAAAUAUUUUUGAUAGUCUUUUCUUAAAAAGAUAUUUUCCUACACAGUUUAUUAAACAAAAUUUUUUUGGACAGUUUAUAUUUAAAAGACAUUUUUGGAUAGUUUAUUUAAAGACUAUUUUGGAAAAUUUUAUUUAAAAAUCGUUUUUGAUAUUUUUUAAAAUUUAAAGUCAUUUUGACAGUUUUGAUUAAAAAAAAAAUUAUUUGCACAAUUUUUAUUCAAAAAACACUUUAGGUAGUUUUUUUUUUAAAUUAUUUUUAAAAAUGACCUGGCAGUUUUUAUUUUAUCCUAAAAAAAGUUUAAAUGUUAUUUUUUAUUUAUAAAUAAAUAAAUAGGUAUACAAAACAGAAUAAGGGAAAAACCCAAAUAGGUAAUGCUCUUGCUAUAUAUACUCGUCUUUGCAUCACUCACCCCACACACAUUCUCUUUCUCCUUGUGCAUCACCUUUGCUUUUUUCAGUUAAGUGAGUCUCAUAGUCAACUUCUUACAUUCCUUUCUUGGUUAUUCUCUUGAUCAAAUAAUGUAGUACUGUGCUGUUUUGCUUUAAAGGCAUGUCAUCAUUUGAUAAGUGAGAAGCAGCUGAAGGAGAUGGGAGAAACCUGACCUCAGUCGGUUCCAUCCCAAAUGCCACAGCAAUCCAGGCAGCAAUUGUUAGGAAUGGGGUCAUUUCUUAUGGUAUCAAGAUGGAAAUAUUCAUAGAUCUUCCUAUUGUUGGAAAGAUAAGUAUACCCAUUGAGGCAACGGGAAUAGUACCCGUACGCUUACCUUUUAUGAAUAUGAAUGCUGAUAUUGGUGCUGAUGGUAAAGAGGAGGAGAUAUACAAUUAGCAUGUACUAAAAAAAUUGGUGGGUUUAAACAUGUCUUUUAUUUUAUUUUAUUUUUUCCCAACUAACUCAGGCUCAAAAUUCCAACUUAUAUUUACAAAUCCCCAUUUAAUAAUUUGUAUGUGAUUCAUCACCACUCUGAUCACUACCUUUACGUUGUUAUAGAACCUCCAUCUCACGCAUGUAUGCAUGCAUAGAGUACGUACACCUUUCUAGUAACAGAUGGAUAAAAACUAUUUUUAUGCAUGCUUCCUCGUAUUACUAACCUUGGUUGCAAAUUGCAAUAUGUGAUUGCUUUUAUUUUUUUCUUCUAUCUCAUGCAUUCACUUGUGCACACAAUUCAUUGUUUCCAAUUUCAAUUCUUGCAGAAUUAGAGAAGGACCAUAGAAGAUGUCAGCAAAAGUGGUUUCCAUGAUGAGUUUCUAUUCUUCUUUUAUUGUCUAAGGUCAUCCUAAUAAUGGAUUAUUAAUAUUAUGUAAUUGAUUUGUAUGAUGAGUGCUUUCUCUUCUUCUUUUAUUGUGUCUAGGUCAUCCUAGCUAAUAAAGGAUUAGUAUUAUGUAAUUGAGCCUAGGAUGUCAACUAUGGACGCAUAUGUAUAUCUUUGGAGUUGUUGCUAUAUAUUUAUAUUAUUAUGAAUGUGCAUGUUUGUGUUGUAUUGUCUUUUGUUGAUAGAUAUUGCAAUUUGCAAACGAAAUUACGGGUCCCUAAGGCAACAUAAUUUGCUUUGUAGAUAUUCAUGUAAAAAGAAACGAGGAUAUGCUACAACUUUAGGAAAUGUAAAAGGAAUGAGCAUUGGCCUUUGGAAUCAUGGUUAAUAGCAUCCCCUCCAUAAUUGAAAAUGCAUUAUAUAUUAAUGGUUUGAAACACAUUUUGCGCAUAUAUCACUUUGAUGACAAAUGUUUUAAGAGUUUAUUUUGGUCCAUCUUUAUUAAUUUAAAAAUAUUUGCAUGCAAAUAACUUAUUCUCAAUAAAAUUUAUUUUGAAUCAAUGAUGAAGCAUCUCUUGGUUACCAAAGAGAUAUCCAUAUAUAUAUAUAUAUAUAUAGUGAUAUCCGUAUAUAAUCUUUGAUCAAUCUAACCUCUUUGUUGACAAUUUGUUUGUUAAUGAUGGGCUUUGAAGUGGAAGAAAAAAUUAAUCAUAGCUUGGAUUAAAAAAAAAAAAAAAACAGAAGAAAGUUUUACUUUGUAGACUGAUUUUUCUUGAGGGUCAAGCUGAAAUUAAACAACACCUUCAUUUGUGAGCAAACCAAGUGGGAGGAUGGAAGGGGCUCCACAAAAACCCAGCAGAGGCCUACUCAGUACAGCCCAUUAGAAUAGUGUGCUAGCACUAAAAUAGCAAGCCAUAACACAACUGCUUUCUCUCUGUUGUCAUAGGGGUUGCACAUAAGAGGAGAAUGAGCAAGAGUUAUACAACCGGCUACCUCCACUUCGAUGGAGUCCUUUCCUAGUAAAAACUCAUGUUUUGGUUAUGCAACCAGACAACAAUUAUAAUCUAUUUAAUUUAAGUAAUUAAGUAGAUUAAGUAUACUUGUUAAAGUAAAUUACAACUAAAAACCAUUUUUAACUUUUAAGUGUCAAGUUAAAAUAGUUGAUUUGUUUUUAAUCUCAAAUUUUCUUACCUAAUUUGUCCACACUAGUGAAUAUAUUUUAAAAUUAUAAUUUCACACUCAUGACUCAUUUUUUAUAAUAAAUAUAUUAAAGUAAUCUUAUGCAUCUACAAUUUUAACAUUAACGAAAAUGAAAAUAAGUUAAAAUCAGUUAGGAUAAUUAUUAAUUAAAAUUAAUUUGUGUCGAUGAUUUAGAAUAAAUUUUAAGUUAACUUAAUAUUGAAUGCAAUUUGCUACUAAACCUCAAUUUAUUUUUAAUUUUUACUUAUUUACUAAUAUUUUUACUUGAAUAAAAAAAGUUAAAAUUUAUGACUUUUCCCUCUCUAUAAAUUUUACUAUUAUGAAAAUUACAAGAUAAUUAACAGUAAUAACAAAUUUUAAAACUUAGAAAAAAGUGUUGAGAUUUUUUCAAUGACUAUUAUUAUUGAAUGUUUAAAUUAAAAAUAAAUUAGAAAUACAUACUAUUAUCUUGGAAAUAGUGAGUAGCAUAGUUGUGAUACAAUUCAUUUACAUUAUUGUAAACAUAAUGUAGCAUAGUUGUAAACACCAAGAAUAGUAUUAUUAUAAAUAUUUCAAAAAGUAAGGACAGAUAUAAUAAAUGAUAUAAAUGUAAAUAUGAUAAAUGAUGUUGUUAUAAAUGUUUCUACAUAUGAGGUUAAACAAUGUGUCACAACAAAAAUCGUUCAAGUCUCUAUUACAAAUCAUAGAUUAAAAAUAAAUUAGUAAUAUAUUAUAAUGGUUAUUGCGUAAUUGUAAUACAAUGAAUUGACAUUUUUGUAAAUAUAAUAAGUAGCAAAAUUAUAAAUGCGAUGAAUAGUAUCAUUGUAAAUAUUUCAAUAAAUAAAGAUAAAUAUAAUAAUGACAUUAUAUUAAAUAUGACGCAUGUGUAGAUAUAAAAAAAGAAAAAUUGUAUUAAAUUACCACUAAAUUGAUCAUUAAAUUUGUGACUUUUUAGUUCAACAAAAAUUUGAUUUGACAAGGGAUGAAUCACAUAUGUUAAGCAUGUGACAUGUUGUUCAAAAGGUUACACAUGACAAAAUUUGGGAGGUCAUAAAAUCAAAUCUUACAAAAUAAAAUCAAAUAAAAUGAUUAAAGUCAAAUUAGAAGAAAAUAUUGUCAUGUUUAUAAAUUGUCUUCAAAAUGAAGGAAAUUAAGAAGAAAUAUUUUCAUGUCCACAAAUUUCUUAAGUGAACAAGACAAUUUGUUAAAAUCAAUGAGUCAAAUUCUUUGAAUUAAAGAAUUAAAUCUUAAGAAUUUCAAAUUUUAUUAUUUAAUUUCAUUCAUAAAUAAAGGUGACUUUCUAAGAUGAAGGUGGAUGGAAGAAAAAGCUUUACCAUAGAAAUUGCUUGAUAGGAGGGCUUCAAAAAGAUUAAUGCCCUCAUGCUCUCCAACAUGAUGAACAAGCUAUGCUAAAUCCCUCAAUUGAACUUCUUAUAAAAAAAAAAUCUUAUUAUCAUUCAAGUGGUUAACUCAAACAAAGUUUCACAAUAAAAGCUAUUUUUGGCUUUUAUUAUAGGUCACCGACCCAGAGAUCAAUAUUGUGAAACUUGUCCAUAUAUAUGGCCUCAGACAAGUCAAGUGGGAAUUAUUUGUUUAAGAACAAUGUACAAUGAAUGAUGUGUUGAACAAUUAGCAAAUUUAUGUGAAAUUAAAACAAUAACUUGGUGAUUGGAGAUAUUAAACUAAUUUAAAUUUUAAGUCAAACAUAAUAAAAGACUUUAUCCAAGAACUUGUAUUUGUAUGGAAUAAAAAUUGACUUCUUGUUUUAUAUGUUUUUACGAUUUUAUUGUUCAAGUCAUGAAGGCAUAUCAAACCAUCAAUCCUCUAGAUCUUCAUAAGUUGAUCAUAAAAAUACAAAUCCUUAUGCUACUCAAAACUUGUGUAUACAUCCCAUGAAACUUGUAUACAUUCAUGAUAUUACCAAAGAUUUGAAAAUUAGUCUAGAUUGAUCGGUUUCACCAGUUUAAUAAUAUAAUGAUCAUUACUAAAGUUAUAAAAUUCUAAUUUAUAUAAUUUGGACAUAUGGAUAAAAUUAAAUAAUAGAAAAUUUCCUCUAUUUUGUACAAGUUCAUAGUUAAACAUUAUGCAUAUUUUGUUUAAUAAAAUUUAAAAUAUUAAUAUAUCAUAUUUAUCUUAUGAUUUAAUUUGAUAAUAUUAAAGAUAAAAAAUAAAUAUAAUCAAAGUUUUUAAUUAUAUAUAUAUCUGGACAAUUAUAAUAAUUUUUUAUUUUAGUAAUAUAUAAAUUAUCUAUUUAGAACGUCAUGAUUGUUUAACAGUGCUUCAACUAUUGAUUUGAUUAUUGAACCAUGAAUCAAUAAUUUUUUUAAUUCAAUGACCAAUUCAGUUAUAAAAAUAUUAGACAUUAUUAUUUACUAACUAUAAAACUAGUCUAAACGAAGCCUAAAUGUGAAAGUUGGCUAAAGGGAAGGGCCACCUUCAUUCCAAUGUUAUAAAAGAGAGUGGGGUUUUUAUUUCCAUGAACUGCUUAGCUACAUACAACAAGAAUUUUUCCAUUUCAUCUUGGCUAGAUCUUGAAAUUAAUUUUCAAUAUAAACUAUAUAGAAAACAAAUUCUCAUUUUUCCUUCACUUUUAAUGCCCGGAAGUAUUGAAUUAUUUUGGAAAAAAUUAUAAGAAUAAUAAAGAGAAUCAUAUCAAUGUAACUCCUAAAUAGUGCCAGAGCAAGAAAAUCUCACAUUUUGGUAAGUUUGUUGAAAGUAUAGUGACAUGUCUAAUACAAGGCAUUUCAAAACAACUUAAUGCUUACUAGUAAUAGUCUUGUCCUAUUUAAGAAAUUAGUUGUUAUUCUCAAAUACUUUAAUUCCUUCAAAUAGGGAGGGUUGUGUUUGGGUAAUCGCUCUUGAAUCCAUCUUCUAGUGAUUGUGCUUUCAUGUCGAGGGACUUUACAUAUUAUAAUAAAACCUCAAUAAAUAAACCUUGGAUAAAUUAAUAGUUUCGAUUAAAAAAUAAAAUCUUUUGGUCUCAAGCCAAUUUACAAAAUUAAUAACCUUGUUGAAUGUACAAGAUAAUGUUUUUUUUUUAUUAAAAAAAAUCCUUAAAACCCAAGAAAAUAUAAAUUAAUAAUUGAAGUCCACAAAAAAUAGAAAAAAUAAAUUUAUAAUACCAUAUUUAGUAAUGUUUUUAAAACUUAUAUUUUUCUCAAUUCAAUAUUUUCUCAAAACCAUAGCAUAUUUAAAAUCUCUUUAUCUUAUAUAAUAUUAACUUUUGAUAUAAUAUUUCUUCCUUUUAGAACUUUUUUUGAACUUUUAUAAUUAAUAACCAUAUCUUUUUUUAGAGUGUUAAGUUUCUAUGUAUUAAUUUUUUAAUACAUUCAUAAUUUUUGAUUUACAAAUCAUACUUGUAUAAUUACUUACAAAAGAAACAUAACACUUUUUUUUUUAUAAAUUACUAAUUAUUCAUUUAUUAAUAAAUCAAUAACCUCAUUAAAAUAAUAAUUUCUUUUGGUCUCGAGUGUUAUUUUAUAGACGUUUUAUUAUAGGUUCUUUUGAUGUAAUGCUUUUACUUUUCUAAAUUUUCAACAAAGCCAUGACCAAGAAAAUGAAAAAUGGCAAAGAUAAUAUGUUAGUUUACAACUCAUUCAUCCAAGUUAAGUCUAUUAGAGACUAGAAUAAUAUGAAUUGAUUAAAUAAAUGGAAAGACCUUAUUACACCAAUAAAAGAAUUAUAACUAAAUUCUUAAGUAUCAUUGAUCAAAUCGCAGUAUAUUUGCCCUAUGAAUUGAUGGUUUGAUGUGCCUCUACAUUUGCACACAAUAUGAGAUAUAACUAUUCAAGCAUUUGGGAAAAUAACUAGAAUGUCGGGUACUAGGAAUUGGUUACAAAAUAUUUAUGAAGUUAAUGGAUAUGAAAUAUCCUCAACAACACAUUCAUUGCUUAAUAUCAAUACAUAUAGGCAAGAAUAAUACUAAUAACGUUUCCUAAAUUCACUAACAAAUUAAAUCAUGGAGAGUUGAAUUGUAGCAAUCUAGAAAUAUCGAGCUUUAGAGCAAAGCAUACAAAAGAUCUAGCUUAUUUAUUGAAAAAAAUCAAGACACAUAAAGAGAAAAACCUUCCUCUAUUUACUUUAAAUGAAGGAAAUAUCAUUAGCUAGCGUCUCUCUACCAAGGAUGGUAUCUGUGCAGCUUCUCAAAAGAAGGAAAGCUCGCAUACCUGACAAAAAAAUGAAGACAAUAAAAACAAAAGGCCCUUAUUCUAAGAUAAGAUAAUAUAUAUAUAUAUGCAAACACUAUGUCAAAGAAAAAUACAAACACCUAUUCAUUUUUCUUCAUAUAGAAAAUUAAAUCAGUCGUCCUGGUUGUGGUUUGUCAUCAUCCUCGUCCUCCUGUUCAUCCUCUUCAUCCUCUUCCCCCUCUUUAUCUCCAAUGCGACUCCCACCUCUUUCUCUCUCUCUCUCUCUCAUCCACAUCUCAUACUCCUGUUCAUUGACCUCAUCAUCAUUAUCAUCCACGUUGCGGCCUGUCAUCAUCCACAUCCUCGUGUUCAUCCUUUUCCUCCUCUUUAUCUCCCUGUCCCACUCCCACCUCUUUCUCCCUCUCAUCCCAAUCUCUAUCAACCGCAUCAAAUCCUCAUUUUCAUUGACCUCAUCAUCAUCAUCAUCGUCAUUGACCACAUCAUCAUCAUCAUCGUCACUAUCUCCAUAAUUCCAUCCUACAUAAUCCUGAGCAUUCGGUACACAAAACAUCACAAUGGGUAGGAAUAAGGAAAAGUAUAAUAAUAAAAGUUUAAAAAAGCAAUUAGGAUGGGAGCACAAAUCAUAGAAUGGUAGAUCAAACCACUGCUAUAUUAUAUCCUUGUCUCCUCUAGAAGUGAUAGUGUAUUUUGGGCUAGAGUUGGACAACAUUUAAUAAAGACCCAUAAACAACGUUAAGUCCUAGAAGGUUCUUCUAUUCACAAAUGAGAGUAAGAAUUUCGUAUAAUUGUCUGUCUUUAACCUUUGACCAAAGGAAGGACAUCACUAUCAAUAUGAACAUGUCAAUUGCCGAUCUCCAAAGAUUGAAUGUUUUUGUUAACAAAAUUAAAAAUUAAAAAUUGUGUGAUUAAAUGUUUACAAUAAGUGACAAAGACUAGACAUUCCUUACUUCACUUAUUGCCCUUAAAUGAUGUGUAUUCCAUCAUAAAAUUAAUUUUCGAUACUUUGAAACAAAUCUAAGCAAAAGAAAAUUUAUCUUUUCUUUGUACUUUUGCUUGUGACUAAUUGAAUUGAUAGUUUGUGAAACCCAACACAAGUAUCAUUCACUCUAGGUUCUAACAACACUUCAAUUUUCUAAUCCAAUUAAACUCCUUAACUCAAAAACAAAGUAGAAAAGGAAAACACUGUGUACAAUAAAUAAUCAUUUUCUAUCUAAUAUCCAAUAUUAUCCUCAAUCAAACAUCAAAUAUUAAAGAAUUUUCAAAUUUUGAGAAUGAUUUACCUGCAAAUGUAAUUGACUGGUUGCCCCAAGAGCCUCAAGAUCCUUCUCAAACAUCACCUCGACAAUUAUAAACUAAAGAAAAUUUUGUUAAUAUAUUGGUUUGGAAUAUUUGAGAAUAUGAAAAUAUGUGAAAAAAAUAGACUCUUUAUAAAGGGAAAUUGGUAAAUUUCUUUCAACAAUAUAAACUUGAGAGACAUUUUUUUUUUAUGUAUAAUAACAUGGUUAUUCAAAGCUUCCACUGAUGCAACAACCCCAAUCUUAGAAAAACAACAAAAAAUCAAAGAUCUUCUGUGUCAUUUCUUGAAUAAUUGACAACUUAAUAAUCAAUUUUUUUCUCUAAGUACUAUAGCUUAGCAAUUUAACUAGGUUAGAUGCAAAACUAAUUCUCAUGUAUUUGUAUUCUAACUUAUAAUUUCAACCAUAAUAAUAGACUUUGUCUCAAGGUCUACAUUUGAACUAACUGAAAAUCUAUGUAUGAAUAUUUUGGCAAACACUUUUUGCACAAAAAAUCCUUUGACCUCUUCUUACUUGCCUUUAAAUUUGUUGAAAUUCCUAGGAAUGCUUUAGUUAUGUUUAAAAGGUUAGGCAUCACAGAGUGAUAGGUAUAGCUACUAAGCUAAGGGAACAAUUAACAACUAACAAAGCAAACUUAACCAAAACAGACAAUAAACCAAGUAACAACAAACAAUAAGAGCAUAAAAGGAUCCAUACAAACCCAUGCAGAAUUUUGCUUCCAUCAAAUCAGGUUCCUUGUACUAAAAAAAUUAAACAGACUAAACAUAACACAAACAUUAUAUGGGCUUGCUCUGUGUCUUUUUCUUAAAGUUAGACAAAUUUUUAAAGAAUCGCGAAGGUGAAAAAUAGUGUUAAUAAUACAAUAACAUUAGAAAAUUUCAAGAUAUAUACCUUCUCCAAAGUUGUAUUUCGGAUGAUGGUAUUGAAGUCACACCCCAAAUGUUCUUCCACAUGAUCGUCAAUUUUUACUUCCUUUACCCUUGGUGUACUUGCGACUCUCUCACAAAAAAAUUCCAUCUGAGGGCAUCUUUUCACCAAAAAUUGUUCCAAGGAUGGGAAUUUGAAGAUGCAUCUAGCUGAGUAGAACCAUUUUAGACUUUGUAAGUUAACAAGUCUCAACCUUUGUAAUUUGGAGAAAACAAUAUCAUAUGGUUCUUCACCUCCCUCAUGUCUAACUAUUUCUUCCACCAAUUCGCAUUUUUCUAUAGUAAGCACUUUGAGUUGCACCAAUGUUUUAGCCAUUGAGGACGUCACUAGAUAUAUUAAAUUUCCACAACCAUGUACUUCUAUAGAAUGAAGAUUCUUAAAAAUUUGACCCAAUCCAGAUAGAUAUGUCAACAAAGGUAGAUCUUCUAGGAACAUUUUAGUUAAUCGUGGGAGUGCCUCAACUUGAUAUUCCUUAUCAACAAGUUCGAAUACCUCUUUCACUGAAUUACACUUGCUCACAUGAAGUUCCUCUAGAUUAUGCAACUUUGGAAGCACAUUGGAGGGGAUCACAACCAAAAUGUCGUGACACUUUCUUAUCUUCAAAAGUCUCAGCUUGCAAAAUGACUCCCCUAAAAAUUGGCCUUGCCAUAUUUUCAUCUUGGAGCCCUUUAAGAUCAAUUGCUCCAAAUUAAGGAAUGCAUCCUGACAACCAAACAAACAAGAUUAACGAUAUGUCUUGUAUCUCUUUCCCCCCCCCCCCCCCUUCUUUUCUUUUUGGCUAAAUAAAUAAGUUCUAUACACAAUUGUAUGUACAAAAAUAUUUUAAAAUAAAGUAAGAAAGAAUACUCUUAUGGCAUACAAUUUUUUUUUUUUCUUAUUGUUAUGACUUAUAACUAAAGACCACGUUUGUUUACUUACCAAUUUUUUUUAAAAAAAAAGUCUACUAUAAUUUCCUUUCUAAUUUAUACUUAAGUACAUGAUUUUAGUUUCUUUUCUAUGUAUUUCAUCCAACGAACUAUGCAAAAAAUAAGUUAGGGGGAAAAAAAAUUUAGGAAUUAAUUUCAAGGAAAAAAAAAAGAAAAAGAAAAUUACUUAUGUAGCCUAAUAGCUAAUCAACAUUGGCUUUACAACUAAUGUCACCAUUAAACACAUACACAUAUUAUUUUCCAUACGAGAUAACAAACCACUACAUCUAAAUAAUCCAUUUGAAUUAUUUGCACUAUAUAUUAAUCACCAAAGACUCCCGAAUCAUUCGCACUUGACAUAUUAUAAUAAUUUGUUGGUUCUAUUACAUAAAAUUAUAAUUUGACCAUGAAGGUAUAAUUGUUGGAUAAACCAUAAUGCAUGCUAUACCUACAAACUCCUAUGACUUGUAAUCAAUUGUUUCUUAUUCUUUGGAUUACCAAGUCAUUUUAUCGUAAUUUGAUUAAUUUAGAAAUGGAACAUAAGCUUACUUAGGUCAAUUUGGGAUAAGUUUUAUACAAAAUGUAAACUUCAAAUUCCUACACUAUUCCAGUUUAAGAUUAAAACAAUCUCAUAUUAAUGAAAAAUGAUUAGGACAUAGUGUUUAAUGGACUAAAUUUAGCAAUCAAAAUAUGGCAAAAGAAAUGGAGAAAAAUCAAACCAUACCUUUUCCAACCAAAAGAAAGGUUGUUGAAUUGGACUAUCAAUACAACCUUUUGAAUCUAUUCCUUGAAAAAGUGUCUCCACUUGAUUGCAUUUCCACAUAAUUAGUUGUUUCAAAUGUGGCCAUCUUGCAAUAUAUUUUCCUCGGGAGAAACCUUUGAGUUUGUCUAAUUCUUCAAGUAUGAGAGAGGUUAGUUUAGGGAAUAAUGAAGACAUUAUUUCAUCUCCAUUUUCGUUUGCAACAAUUUCCUCCACUCCACAUUUUCUUAUCCCAAGGACAUUAAAUUGCACAAGGCCUUUUGCUAUUGUUACAGGAAAAAGGCAUUUCAAGCAAGGACAAUCAACGAUACAUAAUGACCAUAGGUUUUGAAAGGAGACAAGUCCUUGAGGAUCCUUAUUCCAUACACUCUUCAAACUAUUUAGCCCUUUUAAAGACAAUUUUCCCAAUGGAAUGAUUUCCUCGCAAUUUACUCCCCCUAGAUCAAAAAUCUCUUCUAUCGAAUCACAAUAAUAUAUGUUCACAUUCUCCAGACUUUGUAACCCUUUUAGGAUAUUGGAUGGAAAAACAUUCAACAGUUUGUUGCAACUUAAUAUUUGUAAUCUUUUCAAUUUGCAACAAGACUCUAGAGGAAGUUGGUUGGGCCACAUUGCUAUCACAUUAUCCAACUCGUACAUCAACAAGGACUCCAAGCUAGGGAGUGUAACCUGCACAAUCGAUCACAUUCAGUUCACAAUAUGUAUACCCAUGUAUAUAUAUAUUCGCGAUUGAGUUAAUAACCAGAUACAUAAAUAAAUAGAAUAUAAGAGGUUAAAGGUCAAGAUAUCAAUGUGACAAAGCACCAAACUAGAAGAAAAUAAAAGAGAAUGCAUAAUAUUUUAACAAUUGAAUGGAAUUUAAAGAUGUUAAAUUUGAGAUGAUUUUCAAAUGGGGCAAAAGGCUCCCAAUCUUUGGAUCUCUUUUUCAAAAUUGACAAAGACUAAUGGAUUAUAUAUAGAUAUGUUUCAUAGUCUUAUGAGAAGUAUCUACUCUUUUUACCUUGAAUUGAUUUCAUUCAAAAUAUUCCACAUAAAUACAAUAAAAAUAACUAUUAAACAAGGUGGUUGAAGAUCAGGUGAUUUAGAUGAGGCCUUUCCUUCUAGUUUUUUCUUACUUUGGAAACCACAAAUGCAAUGGAUGCUCAGGCAUGAGCCUUCUUUCAUUAAUGAACCUAGCCUUUAGAUUCUUAAAGCUUGUUUGUUGGUGUAACAUAUAUAUAUAUAUAUUUGAGAACAACAUUUUUUUAAAUUUACAACAGUAUUUGAAAGUUGUUCUAUAAUCAAUUUUUAAAAAGAAAGUAAAAUAAAGAAUAGAUUUUAGAAAAUAAGUAGAAGUUACUUUCAUCUAUUUUUAAAAACAAAAGGAAACUAUCAACAAAUAAAAAAUAUAUAUUUAAAAAAAAUCAUUAAAAAAAUAAAGUUUAACAAAAUUUCAUGCCUCUAAAUUACACAAAUUUUUUCUAAAUUUCUUUUAACUUAAUUUUUUUUACUAUACAAAUAGAUUCUAAAUCAAGUUACAUUUAAUAUAUAUAUAUAUAUAUAUAUAUAUAUAUAUAUAUAUAUAUAUAUAUAUAUAUAUAUAUAUAUAUAUAAUUACUAAUUUUAAAAAAUAAUUUUAGAAUAAAAAAACUAAGGCAAUAAAUACUAGAAAAUCAUGGAACUUAAAAUCAAUCUAACAAAUAUUAAAAAAUAACAAUUUAAAUCUAAUCUUGAAUUACUUUAUCAAUUUCUUCUUUACAAUAACUAUUCAAUAGGUAAAUAAACCUCAAAUCAAGGAAGACUUGAUGUAUUGGAAUCUAGCAAGUUUAACAAUAAUUUAAAACUUUAAUACUAAUCUAAUGAAUACAAAAAAUUUAUGAAUGAAAAUUGGUUCAAAAGAACCAUAGACAAAUAAACUCUAAAUCAAAUAAGACUUAAUAUUUAGAUUCAUUACCAAGUCUAUUAAAUUUAAAAAGUAAUUUAUGAUUCAUAAAAUAACCCAAUCACCACUAGAAAUUCAACGACUAAAACUAGUCUAGAACAACUCUUUUUUUUACUUCUCCUCUAUACGUAAAUAUUUUGAUGAUUUUUUUGUUAGAAAAUAAAUUUUAAAUCAAACAAAACUUAAAAGUUUUAGAUUUAUUAAUGAGUGCACUCAUUUUUAAAAAUAAUCUUGAACUCAAAAAUAAGUUUAAACAAUAAUUGAAUAGAAUAGACCAAAACUAGUCCAAAAUGAGUCGAUGAGAGCUAUAUUGUUUCUCCUUCGCACCUUACCAUACUUUUCCAAUUUUUCUCAUUAAGUAAAUAAAUUAAAUAAAGUGAUAUCAAAACUUAAUGCUUUACAUACUGUAAUGAAUCUAUUAAUUUUUAAGAACAAGAUGGAAUUACAAAAAUUGACUGAAUAAAUUUUAAAUUGAAUCAAAAUUGGUUCAAAAUACUUUAUCCAUUAUUGAAUAUUGAAAAAUCUAACUUAUUUACAUAUAUAUAAAAAAAAUUAACAUUAAUUUUUAAUUUGUUUUAAAUAAAAUAUUAUUAAUUAUUAGUAUUUUUAAAUUAUAAUCAUUCAUUUUUAACAAAAAAUCAAUUAUGCAUUUGUAAAAAUGUUGAUAUCCAUAUUUUAUAAUUUAUAUUAAAAUGCCCCAAUUUCUAAAUUUUAAAAAAACUCAUGAUUUUAUUAUAAUAUUAGUAUCCAUAUUUUAUUACAAACCAUUUAUUUUGUUAAUUUAUUAGUAAUUAAAAAAAUUUAUUUCCAUAAGACUUGAAUUAAAUCGAAUUAAUAUUAUAUAAAUCAACUUUACAAAUUUUAUUUUUUUUUUUACAAAAUCUAAAUAUAACAUUUAUUUUUAAAAACAGCAAUAUUUAAUAAACGAACCAGGUUUUAAUCUUUUUGUUGUUUAAAAUGUGUUUCUCAAAACAUUUCAAACACUCUUUAUGUUGAGAACAAAAAAACAAGAAAAUUAUUUGGCAACUACCAAAAAAAAAUUCUGCUCUCCAAAACAAAAAACAUGUGUUUCAGCAUAUAUUUCAGUUAUUCUAAUUGUUUUCACUUACUUUUUUUGUUUAUUUAAAAAAAAUAAAACAAAUAUAAAGAAUAAUAAAAAAUAAAACAUUCCGCAUAAAAUUUAUUCUUAAAAAAUAUUUGAAAACAUAAAAAAUAAGUUGAAAACAUUGUAAAUUGUUAAUAUACCUAUCAAAAAAAAAAAUUUGUAAGUUAUUAAUGUACUCUACUCUAGAAAAACAUCAUAGAAUUAUUUUAAAAUUUGUUCUCAAAAAUUGAUUUUUGAAUAAUGUAUUUAAAUUGGUGUUGAAUUAAGAUUAGCAGAGAGACUAGGAAAGAAAAGGAAAGUGAUAAAAUUUAUGGGGCAAAGCAUACUGCAUCCAUAUUAUGGAUAAAAUUAAGAUAAUUUUAAAUUGAAUACUGGUUGUUUUAAUUUAUGUUUUCUCAUAUUUUACUUAUUUAUUAAUGGCAGAAAUUGGAUAUCAUUCAAAUUUUAACAUACCUGUUCAUUGAAGAAUGGUGUGGGAACAUCACUCGUACAUAACUCCUGGGUAGCACUGCUUCCUGUGGAGGAGAAGUCCCGUGUCGAAUCCAAGGAUCCCAUUUGACGAUUCACCCAUCGAUCCCUUCCUUGCUCCAUGGGAAGGAAAUUGAAAGAUUUCAACCUCUUACAAUCAUCCACUCUUAGAAAACGUGACUUCCCAAAAGAUCCCUCUGGAAUUGCGCCAUCUUCCUCUUCUUUGACCUCAUCAUCAUCAUCAUAAUCAUCAUCGUCGUUGACCUCAUCAUCAUCAUCUCCAAAAUCCCGUUCUUCAUAAUCCUGGGUAUACGGUACACAAAACAUCACAAUGGGUAGGAAUAAGGAAAAGUACAAUAAUGAAAGUUUAAAAAAGCAAUUAGGAUAGGAGCACAAAUAAUAGAAUGGUAGAUCAAACCACUACUAUAUUGUAUCCUUGUCUCCUCUAGAAGUGAUAAUGUAUUUAGCCCAAAAUCUUGAGCUAGAGUAGAACAACAUUUGAAAAAGACCCAUAAACAGCCUUAAGUCCUGGCAUGUUCUUUUAUCCACAAAUGAGAGUAAGAAUUUCAUAUAAUUGUCUACCUUUAACCUUUGACCAAAGGAAGGACAUCACUAUCAUUAUGAAGAAGUCAAUUGCCUAUCUCCAAAGAUUCAAUGUUUUUGUCAACAAAAUAAAAAAUUAUAAGUUGCAUGAUUAAAUGUCUACAAUAAGUGUCAAAGAAUGGACAGUCCUUAUAUAACUUACUACCCUUAAACGAUGUGUAUUCCAUCAUAAAAUUAAUUUUCGGUACUUUGAAACAAAUCUAAGCAAAAGAAAAUUUCUCUUUUCUUUGUACUUUUGCUUGUGACUAGCUGAAUUGAUAGUUUGUGAAACCCAAUACAAGUAUCAUUCACUCAAGGUUCUAACAAUACUUCAAUUUUCUAAUCUAAUUAAACUCCUUAACUCAAAAACCAAGUACAAAAGGAAAACAUUUUCUGUCUAACUUCCAAUACUAUCCUCAAUCAAACAUUAAAUAUCAAAGAAUUUUGAAAUUUCGAGAAUGAUUUACCUCCAAAUGUAAUUGAGUGGUUGUCCCAAGAGCCUCAGGAUCCUUCUCAAACGUCUCCUUGGCAAUUAUAAACCAAAGAAAAUUUUGUUCAUAUAUUGGUUUGGAAUAUUUGAGAAUAUGAAAAUAUGUGAAAGAAGAUAGACUCUUUCUAAAGGGAAAUGGGUAAAUUUCUUUCAACAAUAUAAACUUUAGAGACAUUUUUAUUUUUAUGGAUAAUAACUUGGUUAUUCAAACCUUCCGCUGAUGCAUUAACCCCAAUCUUAGAAGAACAACAAAAACUCAAAGAUCUUCUCAUCUAUCAUUUCUUGAAGAAUUGACAACUUAAUAAUCAGUUUUUUUUCUCUAAGUAUAAUAGCUUAGCAAUUUAAUUAGGUUAGAUGCAGAACUAAUUCCCAUGUCUUUGUAUUCUUACUUUUAAUUUCAACCAUAAUAUCGGACUCUAUUUCAAGGUCAACAUGUGAACUAACUGAAAAUCUAUGUAUGAAUAUUUUGGCAAACACUUUUUGCACAAAAAACCCUUGACCUCUUCAUACUUACCUUUAAAUUUGUUGAAAUUCCUGGGAAUGGUUUAGUCAUGUUUUAAAGGUUAGGCAUCAAAGAGUGAUAGGUAUAGCAACUAAGCUAAGGGAACAAUUAACAACUAGCAAAGCAAACUUAACCCAAACAGACAAUAAACUAAGCAAUAACAAACAAUAAGAGCAUAAAAGGAUCCAUACAAACCCAUGCAGAAUUCUGCUUCCAUCAAAUCAGGUUCCUUGUACAAAAAAAUUAAACAGACUAAACAUAGCACAAACAUUAUAUGACCUUGCUCUGUGUCUUUUUCUCACAGUUAGAAAAAUUUUUGAGAAAUGAAAAAGAAAUAAAAUUAGAAUUCACAAAUUUUUAAAGAAUUGCGAAGGUGAAAAAUAGUGUUAAUAAUAUAAUGACAUUCGAAAAUUUCAAGAUAUAUACCUUCUCCAAAGCUGUAUUAGGGAUGAUGGUAUUGAAGUCACACCCCAAAUGCUCUUCCACAUGAUCAUCAAUUUUUACUUCCUUUAACCUUGGUGUACUUGAGACUCUCUCACAAAAAAAUUUCAUCUGAGGGCAUCUUAUCACCUCAAAUUGUUCCAAGGAUGGGAAUUCGAAGAUGCAUCUAGUUGAGCAAAACCAUUUUAGACAUUGUAAGUUAACAAGUCUAAUCCUUUGUAAUUUGGAGAAAACAAUAUCAUAUGGUUCUUCACCUCCCUCAUGUCCGACUAUUUCUUUCACCGAUUUGCAUUUUUCUAUAGUAAGCUCUUUGAGUUGCACCAAUGUUUUAGCUAUUGAGGAUGUCACCACAUAUAUUAAAUUUUCACAACCACAUACUUCUAGAGAAUGAAGAUUCUCAAAAAUUUGAACCAAUCCAGAUAGAUAUGUCAACAAUGGUAGAUCUUCUAGGACCAUUUUAGUUAAACGUGGGAGUGUCUCAACUUGGUAUUCCUGAUUCACAAGUUCCUUCAUUUGGAAUACCUCUUUCACUGAAUUACACUUGCUCACAGAGAGUUCCUUUAGAUUAUGCAACUUUGGAAGCAUACUACAAGGUAUCACAACCAAAAUGUCGUGACACAUUGUUAUCUCCAAAUAUCUAAGAUUGCAAAAUGACUCCCCUGAAAAUUGGCCUUGCCAUAUUUUCAUUUUGGAGCCCUUUAAGAACAAAUCCUCCAAAUUAUGGAAUGCAUCCUGACAACCAAACAAACAAGAUUAACAAUAUGUCAUAUAUCCCCCACCCAAAAAAAAAAAAAAAGAAUACUCUUAUGGCAUACAAUUUUUUUUCUUAAUGUUAUGACUUAUAACUAAGGACCAUGUUUGUUUACUUACCAAAUUUAAAAAAAAAAAAAAAAAACUAUAAUUUCCUUUCUAAUUCAUACUUAAUUACAUGAGUUCAGUUUCUUUUUUAUGUAUUUCAUCCAAUGGCCCAUGCCAGAGAUUAAGUUAAGAGGAAGAAAAAUUUAGGAAUUAAUUUCAUGGAAAAAGAAUAAGAAAAAGAAUAAUUUAAGGGGAAAAAAAAAAUAAAAAGAAAAAUAAAAUUACCUAUGUAGCUUGAUGGCAAAUCAACAUUGGCUUUACCACUAAUGUCACCAUUAAACACAUACACAUAUUAUUUUCCAUACUAGGGAUAAUGAACCACAACAUCUGAAUAAUCCAUUUGAAUUAUUUGCACUAUAUAUUAAUGACCAAAGACUCUCUCCUAAAUCAUUAGCACUUGACAUAUUUUGAUGCAAUAUAGAAAUUACUAUAUCUUGGUUUGAGAAUAAUUUAAAUAAAUUAAUUCUUAUGGCUUUAUAUGAAUUCUAUGAGUUCAAUAUUAAUGUAAGCAUAAUAUAAAAAAAGAGGCUUCAAAAUAAUUUAUUUUCAUUAUAGGUUCAAUCAUGUUAAUUUAAAUAAAUCAAUUGUUUAAAUUUAUUAUAAUCUGUUGGUUCUAUUACAUAAAAUCAUAAUUUGACCAUGAUAAUUCAUACUAAGUGAGUACCUAAAUAAUUUGAUUAGUCAUAAAACAUAAAAGCAUAAAGGUAUAAUUUCACUGGCACUCAGCGCUCUUUCAUUCCAUUGUGUAAUUGUUGGAUAAACCAUAAUGCAUGUUAUGCCUACAAACUCCUAUGACUUGCAUUUGACUGUUUCUUAUUCUUUGGAUUACCAAGUCAUUUUAUCGUAAUUUGAUUAAUUUAGAAAUGGAACAUAAGCUUACUUAGGUCAAUUUUGGAGAAGUUUUAUACAAAAUGUAGACUUCAAAUUCCUACACUAUUCAAGUUUAAGAUUAAAACAGUGUCAUAUUAAUGAAAAAUGAUUAGGACAUAGUGUUUAAUGAACUAAAUUUAGCAAUCCAAAUAUGGCAAAAGAAAUGGAGAAAAAUCAAACCAUACCUUUUCCAACAAGAAGAAAGAUUGUUGAAUUGGACUAUCAAUAUAACCAUCUGAGUCUAUUUCUUGAAAAAGUGUCUCCACUUGAUCACAUUCCCACAUCAUUAGGUUUUUCAAAUGUGGCCAUCUUGCAAUACAUGUUCCUCGAUAGAAACCUUUGAGUUUGUAUAAUCCUUCGAGUGUGAGAGAGGUUAGUUCAGGGAAUAAUGAAGACAUUACUUCACCUCCAUUUUCAUUUGCAACAAUUUCCUCCACUUGACAAUCUUCUAUCAUUAGGGAUUUAAGUUGCACAAGGCCUUUUGCUACCAUAAUUGGAAAAAUAUAUUUUAAAUAAGGACACCUAACGACUUCUAAUGACUGUAGGUUUUGAAAGGAGACAAGUCCUUGAGGAUCCUUAUUCCAUAUUCGCUCAGUGGAAUGGUUGCAUUAUCAUGAAUUUCCUUGCAAUUUACUCCCUGUAGAUCAAAAAUCUCUUCUAUGGAAUCACAAUCUGAUAUUUGCACAUCAUCCAAACUUUGUACCCCUUUUAGGAUAUUUGAUGGAAAAACAUUCAGCAAUUUGUUGCACCUGAAUAUUACCAACUGUUUCAAUUUGCAACAAAACUCUAGAGGAAAUUCGUUGUGCCACAUUGCUAUCACAUUAUCCAACUCGUACAUCAACAAGGACUCCAAGCUAGGGAGUGUAACCUGCACAAUCGAUCACAUUUGGUUAACAAUAUGUAUACCCAUCUAUAUAUAUUCCCAAUUGAGUUGAUAACCAAACAUAUAUAAAUAGAAUAUAAGAGGUUAAAGGUCAAGACAUCAAUGUGACAAAGAACAAAACUAGAAGAAAAUGAAAGAGAAUGCAUAAUAUUUUAACAAUUGAAUGGAAUUUAAAGAUGUUAAAUUUGAGAUGAUUUUUAAAUGGGGCAAAAGGUUCCCAAUCUUUGGAUCUCUUUUUCAAAAUUGACAGUCUAAUGGAUUAUGUAUGCAUUUGAAGCACCCAUGAUAGUCACCUAUUGAUUUGUUUCAUAGUCUUAUGAGAAGUAUCUACUCUUUUUACCAUGCAGCCAUUCCAUUCAAAAUAUUCCACAUAAAUACAAUAAAAAUAACUAUUAAAGCAGGGUGGUUAGAGAUUAGGUGGUUUAUGAUGAGGCAUUUCCUUCUAGUUUUUUCUUACUUUGAAAAUCACAAAUGCAUAGAUGCUCGGACAUGAGCCUUCUACAUUCACUAAUUAACCUAACUUUUAGAUUCUUAAAGCUUGUUUGUUAGUGUAGCAUAUACAUAUAAAUUUGAGAAUGAUAUUUUUUUACAUUUACAACAAUAUUUGAAAGUUUUUCUUGAAUUAAUUUUUAAAAACAGAGUAAAUAGAGAAUUGUUUUUAGAAAAUAAGUAGAAGUUACUUUCAUCUAUUUUUAAAAACAAAAGGAAACCAUCAACAAAUAAAAAAUAUAUAUUUUUAAAGAAAAUCAUUAAAAAUAAAUAAAGUAUAACAAAAUUUCAUGCCUCUAAAUUACACAAUUUUUUUCUAAAUUUCUUUUUUAACUUAAAUUUUUUUUACUUUACAAACAGAUUCUAAAGCAAGUGACAUUAUAUAUAUAAUUUACUAAUUUUUAAAAAUAAUUUUAGAAUAAAAAAACCAAUCCAAUAAAUACUAGAAAAUCAUGGAACUUAAAAUCAAUCUAACUAAUAUUAAAAAAUAACAAUUUAAAUCUCAUCUUGAAUGACUUUUUUUAAUAGGUAAAUAAAACCCAAAUCAAGGAAGACUUGAUGUAUUAGAAUCUAACAAGUUUAACAAUAAUUUAAAACUUAAAUGCUAAUCUAAUUAAUACAAAAAAUUUAUGAAUGAAAAUUUGUUCAAAACUAUAGACAAAUAAACCAUAAACCACGUAAGACUUAAUAUUUAGAUUUGCUACCAAGUCUAUUAAAUUUAAAAAGUAACUUAUGAUUCAUAAAAAUAACCCAAUCACCACUAGAAAUUCAACAACUAAAACUAGUCUAGAACAACUGUUGUUUACUUCUCCUCUAUAUAUAAUUAUAUUUUAAUGAUUUUUUUAUUAGAGAAUAAAUUUUAAAUCAAGCAAGACUUAAAAGUCUUAGUUUUAUUAAUGAGUGCACUCAUUUUUUAAAACAAUUUGGAACUCAAAAAUAAGCUUAAACAAUAAUUAAAUAUAAUAGAUCAAAACUAGUCCAAAAUGGGUCAUGAGAACUAACUGUUUCUCCUUUGCACCUCACUAUACUUUUCCAAUUUUUCUCAUGAAGUAAAUAAAUUAAAUAAAGUGAGAUCAAAACUUAAUGCUUUACAUUCUGUAAUGAAUCUAUUAAUUUUUCAGAAUAAGAUGGAAUUAAAAUAAUUGAUUGAAUUAAUUUUAAAUUGAAUCAAAAUUGAUUCAAAAUACUUUAUCCAUUAUUGAGUAUUGAAAAAUCUAACUUAUUUACAUAUAUAAAAUUAUUAAACUUUAAUUUAUAAUUUAUUUUCAAUAAAAUAUUAUUAAUCAUUAAUAUUAUAUAAACCAAUUUUACAUUUUUUAUUUUUUUUUACAAAAUCUAAAUAUAACAUUUAUUUUUAAAAAACAGCAAUAUUUAAUAAACGAACGAGGUUUUAAUCUUUUUGUUGUUUAAAAUGUGUUUCUAAAAACAUUUCAAACACUCUUUAUUUUGAGAACAAAAAAACUAGAAAAUUUUUUGGCAACUACCAAAAAAAUAAAAAAAAAUUAUGCUCUCCAAAACAUAAAACAUGUGUUUCCUGUAGCAUAUUUUAGUUAUUUUAAUUGUUUUCACUUUUUUUUUGUUUAUUCAAAAAAAAUAAAUCAUUACAUAUAAAAUUUAUUUCUAAAAAAUAUUUGAAAACAAAAUAAGAUGAAAACAUUUUAAGUUGUUAAUAUACUAAUAAAAAAAAUGUACGUUGUUAAUAUACUGAAAUCAUCAUAGAAUUAUUUUAAAAAUUGUUCUCAAAAAUUGAUUUUUGAAUAAUGUAUUUAAAUUGGUGUUGAAUCAAGAUUAGCAGAGAGACUAGAAAAGAAAAGGAAAGUGAUAAAAUUUAUGGGGCAAAGCAUACUGCAUCCAUAUUAUGGAUAAAAUUAAGAUUAUUUUAAAUUGGAUACUGGUUGUUUUAAUUUAUGUUUUCUCAUAUUUUACUUAUUUAUUAAUGGCAGAAAUUGGAUAUCAUUCAAAUUUUAACAUACCUGUUCAUUGAAGAAUGGUGUGGGAACAUCACUCGUACAUAACUCCUGGGUAGCACUGCUUCCUGUGGAGGAGAAGUCCCGUGUCGAAUCCAAGGAUCCCAUUUGACGAUUCACCCAUCGAUCCCUUCCUUGCUCCAUGGGAAGGGAUAUGAAAGAUUUCAACCUCUUGCAAUCACCCACUGUAAGAGAACGUAACUUCCCAAAAGAUCCCUCGGGAAUUGGGCCGUAGCAUACUGCAUCCAUGUUCUGGAGUCGAGAAAUUUUCAAACUCUCCAAGAUAGGAAAGGCACUGCGUGAUGAGACCCCUUUGGUCGAGUCAACAAUGUAUUGAAUCCUAGGACAAUCACUGAUAUCGAGAUGCUUGAGUUGAAGAUGGGGCAAAGCAUACUGCAUCCAUAUUAUGGAUAAAAUUAAGAUUAUUUUAAAUUGGAUACUGGUUUUAAUUUAUGUUUUCUCAUAUUUUACUUAUUUAUUAAUGGCAGAAAUAUGAUAUCAUUCAAAUUUUAACAUACCUGUUCAUUGAAGAAUGCUGUGGGAACAUCACUCGUACAUGACUCCUGGGUAGCACUGGUUCCUGUGGAGGAGAAGUCCCGUGUCGAAUCCAAGGAUCCCAUUUCACGUAACACCGAUCCAUCCCUUCCUUGCUCCAUCGGAAGGGAUAUGAAUGAUUUCAACCUCCUACAAUACUUCACUGUUAAAGAACGUAACUUCCCAAAAGAUCCCUCUGGAAUUGGGCCAUAGCAUACUGCAUCCAUGUUCUCGAGGUUAAAAAUAUCCAAUUCCUCCAACAUAGGAAAGGCACUGUGUAAUGGGACCCCUUUGGUCGAGUCAACAAUGUAUUGAAUCCCAGGACAACCAUCUAUUUUGAGAUACUUGAGUUUAAGAAAACCUUGGGUAUGAAGCUCGUAAAAAAAAAAUUUAGUGUCCAGAUCUUUUAACUCACACAAUUCUAAAUCUUCGACUGUCUUGAACAACUUGGAAAAGCAGUCCACCAAACAAGGUUUGUUAACCCUCAAGAGCUUCAACGUUCUUGCGGAUCGAUUAUAAUCAACUAAAUUUGGGUUGUGAGUCAUUGAUAUCACAUAUCUGGUAAGCUUCUCAAAGACCACCAGAUCUUUUGAUACCAAAUUGGGAUCUCUUAUUACUAUAAAUAAAGUCUCCAAAUAGGACAAGUUGUUCAGCUCAGAAAGGCAAGCAUUAUUGCUUUCUCCACUACCAAAUCAUUCAACCCCCCAUGUGGUAAAACUUCUUCCUAAACAUAAAUGCUGCAAUCGAGAUAAACUUGAUAUGACAUUCCGUGGAAUUACUUUUAAAUAAAAGCAAUGCCACAAGUCCAGCACCCUUAGAUCAGUCAAUUGCAUCAUUUCUUUCGGCAACCGUUCAAAUUCGCAAUAUGCAAAACUAAGAACUUGAAGCUUCUUUAGUUCUCCAAUUACUGCUAUGUCUUGGAAUUUGCAUUUGUAUACACGCAAUGUUCGAAGAUUGGAAAGAAAACCAAGUGAUGAAGGCAGUGGUGUAAAAUGCGUUGCAGACAAGUCCAAAACUUUUAGUAGUUCCGUCUUUUCAAAAAAGGUGUCUGGAAUUCUCAAAGAAUCAUCAUCACCAUUCAAUAAAAAGAAUUCAAGUUUGGAACAUACCAAUCUUUCCGGAAGCUCACGGGGAUCUCUGCAUUGCAAAGAUAUACGACGGAAAUUUCUGAACUCCUUCUUUUGCCAUGCUUCUAAUCCACGAGCUUCUUUGAUCACAACAAAUCGAUGAGGAUCUUUUGCUGCAAUUGCUCUGGCAACAUCACCAACAACAUCAUGCAUUCUGACAAACCUGUUUUCAUAAUUGUCUCCCAAAAACACACCUGGCCCCCCCACACCUAGCAGAUUUCUAUCUUCAGCAUCAAGCAGCAAGCUUGAGUCUUUGAGGAUUUUGACCAAUGCCAGUAGUUUAUUUCUUGUUUGCUCCAAUGAAGUCACGUCUGUAAACACGUCUUCAAACAAAUCCAAACCUAUGCCAUAUUUUAACAAUUGAUCCAUUGAAAUAUCACCAUAGCCCAGCAUACCACAAAGUAAGAACAAAAGCUUCACUUCAUCACCUUCCAAGUAGUCGUAGCUAAACUUCAGACAAGCGUAUGCUUUAUCAGGCACGCCGUCGAUUUUCAUUGCUGCAGAACGCUGCAGUGCUAGCAAAGCAUUGCUCCACAUAUAAUUACUCUGGAACUUUAAUGCCUUUGCAACUGUUACAAUGGCAAUUGGUAGACCAGCACAUUCUCUAGCUACUUGAAUUGCUAUGGAUUUAAGCUCGUCCACUGGAUCACCUGCUGUCUCCUUAAAUAAACUCCAGGCUUCCUCUUCAUGUAAAUGUCGAACAUGGAAGAUUUUCUCAGUACCCAUCUGUCCAGAUAACACACCCCGGCUUCUGGAAGUCAGCAGCACUUUACACCCACGAUGAGCAUCUCCAUAAGGAAUUCCGAUUUUUUCCAACCGAAGUUCCUCCCAAAUAUCAUCCAAAAUCACCAGGACCGUCUUGUGGUUGUUCAAACUUUGACGUAAGCGGUGUGCUCUUGCUAAUUCCCCUUCCUGCCCAAAUUUCAACCCCAAAAUACCUGCAAUAUCUUCCUGAAUGUUUGUCACGUUUGGAAUUUGGGAUAUUUUUGCCAUAACCACCUUUUCAAAUAACUUAUCUUCCUCGGCCUUUUCCGCUACUUGAUUGGCAAGAGUGGUUUUGCCCACACCGCCCAUCCCCCACACACCAAUCAUCCUGAUACCACCAUUUCUCAAGGCCUCCAUAAUUUCGUUUAAAAUAGAUGUUCUUGAUUCCAAAGCUUUACAAUCUCUGAGGCGUGCAGACCAUAUCCGUUGUGGAGGACGGGGAAAUGCUACCCUGUCAAAUUUAUUUUCUUCUUGGAGUUUACCAAUAUCCCCAGACAGCUCCUUCGCUUGCCUGCCUCGCUGGUACGCCAACUUUAAAUUCAAACACAAACAGCUUGUGUUUUCAGCGUUUUCAUCUUCAAUCAAUACCCUUGCCCUUCGGAUGAUCUCUUCUGUACGUGUCAGCCAAUCCCGGACAUCAUUUUCGAUAUCAUCCCCUUGCCUAUUAGCCUCAUCCACAUCGUGCUGCAGCCUCUCCCUUGCAUUACCCAGCCUCUCAACUUGUUUCGCAAGCUCAUCAAGGUUGCUACGGUAGUUAAACAGGUAACCCAGUGGACGUACAAUUGGAUCAACCAGGUACCCUGCAACUUUUCCUGCAACAUUUGCUGCAACGGACAUAAGAAUUGCUGCCAUUUCCCAAGUUUUCUGUCUCGGGAAAUAAAUGGGAAUUGAGCAACAGCAGAUAUCAAAAAGGGCAACGACAGCAGGAGAAGGAAAACCCACUAAAAAUUUUGAUAUUUAAUUGUGCGUGACAGAUGAAAAUAAGGAGAUGAAAGGUUCGAGGUAUCAAAAGAGCAGAGUAUGUUUAAGGUUUUAGCUAUCAAAGAAACAAGAUUUUUUUCUUUUUUUUUUCUUUUUUCCAAAGAGGGAGAGGGGAGACACACAGCAACAAAAAGGAAAAUGAGAUUGAUUACUAGUAAGAAAGAGAACAAAGGGCAGAGAGUGGGAAUAGUUGAUAAAAUGACAAAGCGGAUACAGAGUAAAAAGCUCCAAAAAAUUGGAAUGAAAAUUAAAGAAGGAAAUAAGCAGAGUUAUUGUUCAAAGGAGUGACACAGACGCAGGAAAAUGAAAAUCAGCGUUGAGAAUGAGAAUGAACGUGUAGAGAGCGGGAAUAUUGAGUGAUGAAGAGACAAAAGGGCUACAGAUUCAGAUUCAAGAGAAAAAGCUCAAUCAAUGCUACUGGAAUCAACUAGACAAAAGGAAAACCAGAGAAGGACAAGCGAGACCGCCCAGCCAAAUUAAGAUUUUCACGGAGCGGAACACCGGAUUGAAAGCAGGAUCUGGACGAGUUAGGAUGGAGGUGAAGAGCAGGGAGUGAUUAUGGACGAGUCAAUCGCAGAAGAUUGAAAGCAGUAGAGAGAAGGGCCUCAGGAGAAGGAAAACACAAAAAAAAAAAAAAAAAGGUAUUUAAUUGAGUGUGACAGAUGAAAAUAAGGAGAUGAAAGGUUUGAGGUAUCCAAACAGCAGAGUAUGUGGAAGGUUUUAGCUAUGAAGGAAACAAGAAAUCUUUCUUCUUUUUUUUGUUCGUUUUCAAGAGGAGACGAGAGGAGAGGAGAGGAGAGGAGAAACACAAAGCAACAAAAAGGAAAAUGAGAUUGAUUACUUGGAAGAACGAGCGCGAAGGGGAGAAAGUAGGAAGAGUCGAUAAAAUGAGAGAAGGGCUACAGAGUGGAGACUGAGGAAAAGGGCUGCAGAGUGAAGAGACUGAGAAAGACGGAGAACAGUGCAAUAGAGUGAAGAGACUGAGUAAUAUCCAUCAUUGACAAUGACUCAUUUUAGUUUUAGUCGCACAUCACAUGUUUGAAUUUGGCAACCAAGACACCAAAAUAACCAAGCUUAUCUGGCUAAUUUGAUUACUAUAGAAAUUGGUUGAAAAUACUUCAUGUAACAUUUAAUACCUUAUGGAUUAAAAUAUCAUCUUUAUUCAAACACUUUCAUCAAUUCAUUUCUUCCAUUUAUAAUAAAAUAUUUAUACAAUUAUUUUUUAAGAUUACUCACAACAAACAAAGUAAAAAAAAAUAAACUUUAAAUAAUUAAAAUAUAUUUUUAUAAAACACACUGUUUUCGUAAUAAGAUCUUAAAAAAAUAUUUUUUUUAGUAUGAAAAAUAAUGUUUCUAUUUUUAAGAAAUAAAAGUGUUUUUAAAAAUAGUUAAAAACAUGCUCGAAGGUUUUGAUUGGGCGGUGGUUUAAUAAGCACAACAACCUGUCACCCUUACAUUUUCAACUAAAGCAAAUAUCUUUGGACUUCGAUCCUUGCUUGAGUGUAACUGUGUAAGGAGGUAUUAUUAUUGUGGACCGUACUAAACUGAAAAGGUCUAGUUGAUGUUAUUAGCUGGCUUUUCAAUCAUUCUGACAAAUAAAAAUGAAGAACUUGAACGGCUAGGAGAAGUUGAUGAUUAACUAGAGCGAAACCAUAAAUCCAAGAUAAAUUUAUCAUAAUAUAAAUAAAUUAAUAUCUUAAAAAUUAACAAAUUAAAUAUCUUAAAUUAAUAAAUUAUACAAUUUUAUAUAUUAUUUAUAUGUUAUAUAAGUUUAUUAUUUUAAGAUUAUUAAUUUAUUAAUAAAUCAAAUAUUCAUUUAUAAUAUCUUCUAUUUAUCAAUUUAUGUUUGUUGAAAUAAUACUAUAUUUUUAAGUUUAAAUAUAAAUAAUUUAUUAUUUAAGUAUAUUUUUAAAUUUUCGAUCAUCAAUUGUAAUUUAAUAGUUUUUAAUUAAAUUUGAAAGUAAAAAAAAAAAUAUUAUAAUUGAAAUCUCAGUUAUUAACUAUUAUACUAUUAUUUCGAUAAAGAUAAAUUUAUCAUAAUACAAAUAAAUUAAUAUCUUAAAAAUUAACAAAUUAAAUAUCUUAAAUUAAUAAAUUAUACAAUUUUAUAUAUUAUUUAUAUGUUAUAUAAAUUUAUUAUUUUAAGAUUAUUAAUUUAUUAAUAAAUCAAAUAUUCAUUUAUAAUAUCUUCUAUUUAUCAAUUUAUGUUUGUUGAAAUAAUACUAGAUUUUUAAAUUUAAAUAUAAAUAAUUUAUUAUUUAAGUAUAUUUUUAAAUUUCAUUCAUAAAUUGUAAUUUAAUAAUUUUUUAAUUAAAUUUUAAAUUUAAAUAAAAAAUUAACUAAAGCCGCGUUUGGCAACUGCGGCUUUAGUACAAAAAUGAAGCCGCGUUUGCCAACUGCGGCUUUAGUGCAAAAAUGAAGCCGCAUUUGCCAACUACGGCUUUAGUAUAAAAAUGAAGCCGCGUUUCCCAACUGCAGCUUUAGUGUAAAAAUGAAGCCGCAUUUCCCAACUGCGCCUUUAGUGCAAAAAUGAAGCCGCGUUUCCCAACUGUGGCUUUCACUAUAAUGACGAAAAAAAAAUAUUUUUUAAUGAUGUGGCGCCUACGUGGCAUCAAAGAGGUCAUUUUGAACAAUAGUUUCAAAAUGUGCCCAUUUUGAACAUUAAGUUUCAAAAAUGGGUCAUUUUGACCCAAAACUCGAAUUAUUAGCUCUCUUUUCGAUAUUCUGACGAAGAAAGUAACAAAACAGAGAGAGAUAGGAAAAGUUGAACUGUCCACGGAUGUGGUUAAUUGUUAGCUAGCUGGCUUUGAAUCACCCUUACGAAGAAAGCGACAAGAGGUAGAAAGAUAGAACGACAGGAAAAUGAUCAGAGGUUAUUAUACUUAUAUUUAUAACUAAUUAUAUUUAUAUUAAAUAUAAUACCAAUUAUUUUAAUAAAAUUAAAUAAAAAUAUUUUUAUAUCAAAUUAAAAAUAUUAAUUAUUUAAUUUUAUAUAUUAUUAUUUUUUAAAUAAUGAGAUAAAUUUGUUAAUCAUUUACAUAUUUUUAAUAAAUAUAAAAUUAAAAUUAAAUAUUUUAAAUAAAAUGACAUAAUUAUAUAUAUAUAUAUAUAUAUAUAUAUAUAUAUAUAUAUAAUUAAAAUUAAAGUAAGGUGAAUAUGAUUUUUGAUUGUUUUAAAAAAAUAAUAUGAUAAUUAUUAAUUAUGAUUUUAUGAUAUGAUAAUUUAUAUGCCGUAAGCAUAAAUAAAAGCAUUAUUAUUAUAUGAUAAUUUACGUGGCACAAGCACGUUAGAUGAAGCAUUAUUUUGAAAAUCGGUUUAGUUUAUGGAAAUUUUUUUUUUUCAAAUGUCCCAUUUUGGUUCAAAACUCAAUGUGAAGGCAAAGAGUUGGUAUGACAGGAUUACACAAGAACCGCCUAUAAUACAAAACCAAGCAAAGUGUCAUGGCUUUAGGUGUAGUCUCUGUAGAGAGUGUAAGAAUGCAUUGGGUUGUGGACGACUUAGUCAUGACCAUUAAUCCUGUUGUCAAACUCCCAUUUGUGUGAGACUGCAGAAGUCUAAUAAUAAAGGUGUUGUCGUGUUGAAAAGUAGAAAGCAUAAUCAUUUUGUGGCUUCGGUCACCAUACCUUUAACUUUUACCCUAUACAAAUAAGCCACGUGUAAAGUUUAGAAGAAUAAAAAAUUCAAAAAAAUCAAUACUUCAAGUUACCAACUGAUGGCGAUUGAUGAAAAUUUAUACGGGGAUAUUGGAUUUCGAUGGUCGUCAAAAUGAAAUAGAAUCCAAAAAAAAAAAAGUUUGGCUUAAAUCUUGCCGGGGGCAAGCUCACCCCUUAUAUAUAUAUAUAUAUAUAUAAAUAUAUAUAAUUUUCAUAUAAACAAAAUAUUAAAACAAUAUUUUAAAUAAUAAAUUAAUUAUAAUUAAAUAAAAUUUUAUUAUUUAAUUAAUUAUAAAAAUUAUCAUAAUAAUUUUAUUUAUAAUAUUUUAAAUAUUAUUAAUAUAUUAAUUAAAUAUUAAAAAAUUAUACCUAUAUCAUCAUUUAUUUUAUAUCAUUUAAUAUAAUUAAAUUAAAUAUAUCAUAAUUUUAAUAUUAAAUAUAUUUUAAAAUUAAAUAUAUUAUAAUAAAAUAUUAUAAUAUUAUUAUCAAAUAAUAUAUAAUGUAAUUUAAUAAUGAAUAUACACUUAUAAAAUUUAUAUUUAUAUUUUUUAUUCUUGCAUAUAAUAUUAUUAUCAAAUACUAUUAUUCAAUUAUUUAACAAAACAACUUUAAAAUAUUUAUUAUAUUUCUAAUUAUAUUUUUUUAUGAAAAUUUUCUUAUAUUUUCAUUAGUUUUGAUAAAUUUUAGACUUAUUAAUUUUUUUUUUCAAAAUAUCAAUCAAUUUAUGUCCGAUAUAUUUGUAAAAUCGAAAUAUUGGUAUAUUUUUAUUAAUCUUUGAAAAGAAGCAAUCUCAUGCACUUUAAAUUUAAAUUAUCUUUACAACCAUCAAUUAUAUUAUUGAACUAUUUAUUUUAUAAAAAUGGUAAAAUAUUUAAAAUUUUGUAAAAAGAAUAAUUUGUGAAAUAAAAUUUGCCACUUAUUUUAUGAUAUAAGGUUUUAAUACUAAUACCUUGUGAAAAAAAACUCGUUUAUAAUUAAAUUAAAAUGAACAUUUAUUAUUAAAAAUCAGAAUUAUAAUCAAUCAAUUAUUAAUUAAAAAUGGUAUUAUUAAUUGCAAUUUAUUGUUAUUUUUUUAUACAUAGGAGAUUGGAUUAAAUAUUGAAAGCAUUUUUUGGAAGUGGAAAAAAAAUUGUUAAAAUAAAAAAAAAAUUGAGAAUUUUGGAGAGUGCCAAGAAUGUGGGAAUGGUACAAAAAUGUGAGGAAAUUUUUGUGUGCCUAACUUCCAUAAUUUACAAGGAUGAUUAGUAUACCUAAGCAAUAUUGAUGCUAUUAGAAGUGUCAAAAAAAUUAAAAUAAAUUUAAAAAUUAGAGGGUAUGAAUGUAAUCAAUAUUUUAAAACAAUAUCAUAACUAUUUGGAAUGGAAUUUAAAAAAAAUAAUAAUAAUAUAAGUAUUUAUCAUUUAAAACUUGAUUUUCUUUAAAAUCCGAGUUUUAUCAAAUAUACCUUAGGCAAAUUGAUUCAAAAUUGACAUAUUAACUCACCUAAAGAUCUUGCCUAAGUGUUGGAAAAUAAAUAAAUUCAAAAAGAUAGGUUUUCGUGGCCAAAAGGUUCAACCUGUCGAGGCUAUGGCCAACCGACUCAACCAGUUGGGGAACCGGUCUACCGGUUGCCCUUGUCCGGUUGAGGGAGGCACAAAAACCUUCUCUCUCUUCUAGUAGCUUCCUCUUCCCAGUCGAGUCUCAUCCUUGUCCGGUCGAGGUCCGAUGGAGGCAACGGUAACCUGUCAUGCAUUAAAUGCUCCAACGGCUAGUGAUCCGGUCGACCCCUUGAUCGACCCGUCAAGGUUACUUUCUGAUAUUUUUGGCUCCUGAGCUUAGAAACCUAUAAAUUGAGAACCCCACUUUAUUAAUGACUAAGAGAACCUUUGCAAUCAAUUGUCUACCUACCUGUUCUUGAUCAAAAAACUCUCAUUUCUUUCUUAGUGCAUUAAAUCAUCACUUGCAUAACUUUAGUGCACUCUUGUGAAUCAUCCUAACUUUCUUUUGUAUUUGAGUCAUCCUUAAGCUAGGUUGAGAGUUUCAUCAUUGUAUAAACUGAGUGUGAAAGCCUUCAAGAGGUUCAAAUCUUGAAGAGAUUGUGUAGGAGUCCAUUGGAACCAGAAUCAAAGUGUAAGAAGAUUGAAAGUCUGAUUAAAACUUCAAGUUAAUGGAACCCUCACUCGGUUAGGAGAUUAAGGAGAGUGAAUAUAGGUAAGGAAGUGUCGAACCACUAUAAACCCGAGUUUGAAUUUUCUAACUCUAUCUCUUUACUUUAUUUAUAUUGUGCAUAUAUUGUUGUGUUUGAAAAAGUUUUGAAAAAUCCAAUUCACCCCCCUUUUGGGUGUUUUCCUUAAUUAUUCAUAACCUUUGUUUUAUCAAGUUGGACUAUAAUUUUUUUAUAUAAUUGUUAUGCUAGGGUGGUACAGAAAUGAUAAUGGGGGAGAAGGGAAGUAUGGGAGUUUGAGGGCAAAAUAACUCUUUUAUUUAAAAAAAAAAAAAAAAAGUUGCACCUUAUAACCCCUUUACAAAAUUUUAAUUUGAAAUUAACCCUUUUUUUAUCUAAUAAGAGUCGCGUCAUAAAAAAUUGAAAUUUCAAUUACUGACUGCAACUUUAUUUUUGAACUAUAUUAUAAUUGGUAAUUAAGACUUCAUUUUUAAAUUGAAGCCUUAAUUAUCAAUUGAGCUUUAUUUUUAAAUUGAAAUCACAAUUGAUAAUUAAUAUUUUAUUUUUUAACUGAAAUCUCAAUUGUAAAUUGAGGCUUUAAUUAUUUUAUUUUUAUUUUAAACUUUAAUUAAAAAUAUUAAAUUACAAAUUAUUAUUAAAAUUAAAAAUAUAUACUUUAACAAUAAAAAUUUUAUAUAUUUAAAUUUAAAGACGUAGCAUUACUUCAAUAAAGAUAAAUUGAUAAAUAUAAUAAUAAAUAUAUAUUUUAUUUAUCAAUAAAUUAAUAAUCUUAAAAAAAUAAAAUUAUAUAAGAUAUAAAAUUAUAUAAUUUAUUAAUUUAAGACAUUUAAUUUAAUAUCUUUUAUUUAUAUUUUGAUAAAUUUAUCUUUAUUGAAAUAAUAGUACACUCUUAAGUUUCAUUUUUUAUUAUUUUAAAGCAUAUGUUUAUAAUUUUAGGUAAAAAAAAAGAUCAUUAUUUAUACAUACCAUAUAUAUGUCUUCAAGAUACAUUUGAAAUUAGUUAAUGAAAUUAAUUAAAAAAAGUCUACCGAUAUUUUUUAGUAGUUUUAUCAAAUUCACAAAAUAUACCCAUUAAUAAUAUAUUUAUAACUAAUUAUAUUUAUAUUAAAUAUAGUACCAAUUAUUUUAAUAAAAUUAAAUAAAAAUAUUUUUAUAUCAAAUUAAAAAAUAUUGAUUAUUUAAUUUUAUAUAUUUUUAUUAUUUAAAUAAUGAGAUAAAUUUACUAAUUAUUCACAUAUUUUUAAUAAAUAUAAAAUUAAAAUAAUAUAAUAUUUUUAUUUUAAAAAAUAAAAAUAAAAAAUUUUCAAAUGAAAUAACAUAAUUAUAUAUAUAUAUAUAUAUAUAUAUAUAUAUAAUUAAAAUUAAAAUUAUAGUUGAGAACUAUGAUUUUUUGAUCGUUUUGAAAAAAUAAGAUGAAAGUCACUAAUUACAAUUUUAUGAUAUGAUAAUUUACGUGGCACAAGCUUAAAUAAAACAUUAUUAUUAUUACGGUUUUAUUAAAUGAUAAUUUACGUCGUACAAGCACAUUAAAUGAAGCUUUAUUUUGAAAAUUGGUUUACUUUAUGGAAUUUUUUUUUAUUAAAAAAUAUUUUUUUAGUAUGAAAAAUAAUGUUUCUAUUUUUUAAAAAUAAAAGUGUUUUUAAAAAUAGUUAAAAACAUGCUCGAAAGUUUUGAUUGGACGGUGGUUUAAUAAGCAUAACAAUCUGUCAUCCUUGUGUUUUCAAUUAAAGCAAAUAUCUUUGGACUUGGAGUCCUUGCUCGAGUAUAAGGAGGUAUUAUUAUUGUGGACCCUCUUGUCCACUCUAAGCUGAAACUCUGUGGUUUAUGUUAUUAGCUGGCUUUUCAAUCAUGGCUUUUCAAUCAUUCUGACAAAUAACAAUGAAGAACUUGAGCGGCUAGAAGAAGUUGAUGAUUAACUAGAUCCAAACCAUAAAUCGAAGCUCAACCCAAGGACUUGAUAAUUUAAAAAAGUUAUGAUUAAAUUAUUGUAAUAGAAGAAGUUAUUAUAAAUAUAUAGUAGUUUUUACCAUCUAGGAGAGAGGAGAUAGUAAAGAGGAGAGAGGGUGAACGGAUAAAUUUUUUUAAAACCAAAAUCAUCUUUUCAAAUUUCAAAAGGUGAAAUUGUCUUUUCGAACAAAGGGAACUUGUCUCUUCAAGAGACGAGUUCCAUGAAAAAAAAUAUAUAUAUACUUUUUUAAAAAUUCCCCAUUUACUCAAAGGAACUCGUCUCUUCAAGAGACGAGUUCCAUGAAAUAUAUAUAUAUAUUUAAAAAAAUUCCCAAAUUAAAAAAAAAAAAAAACAAGGAACUCGUCUCUUCAAGAGACGAGUUCCCUGAAAAAAAAUAUAUUUUUAAAAGAAUUCCCAAAUUAUAAAAUAAAAAAAAUUUUAAAAAAAAAACAAUUCGGAACUUGUCUCUUGAAGAGACGAGUUCCCUGAAAAAAAAUAUAUAUUUUUUUUUUAAAUUCCCAAAUUAUUAAAAAAAAAAAAAAAAUCAAUUCCUCAAGGGAACUCGUCUCUUGAAGAGACAAGUUCCCAUGAAAAAUAUAUAUAUAUAUAUAUAUAUAUAUAUAUAUUUUAAAAAAAUUCCCAAAUUAAAAAAAAAAAAAUCAAUUCCUCAAGGUAACUCGUCUUUUCAAGAGACGAGUUCCCAUGGAAUUCAAAAAUUCCCAAAUUAAAAAAUAAUAAUAAUAAUAAUUUCCUCAAGGGAACUCGUCUCACGAGUUCCCAUGGAAAAAAAAUAUAUAUUUUAAAUAUAUAUAUAUAUAUAUAUUUUUUUUUUUUUUAAAAAAAAAUUUCCUCAAGGGAAAUCGUCUAGUUCCCUGAAUAUAUAUAUAUAAAUUAUUAAAAUAAAAAAAAAAAAAAUUCCUCNNNNNNNNNNNNNNNNNNNNNNNNNNNNNNNNNNNNNNNNNNNNNNNNNNNNNNNNNNNNNNNNNNNNNNNNNNNNNNNNNNNNNNNNNNNNNNNNNNNNNNNNNNNNNNNNNNNNNNNNNNNNNNNNNNNNNNNNNNNNNNNNNNNNNNNNNNNNNNNNNNNNNNNNNNNNNNNNNNNAAAAAAAAAAUUUUUUUUUUUUAUGGAGACUUUUUUUUUGAAAGAAAACGAGUUCCCCUUGGGGAAUUUUUUUCUUUUUUUAAAAAAAUUUGGGAAUUUUUUUUUUCCAUGGGAACUCGUCUCUUGGAAAGACGAGUUCCCUUGAGGAAUUGUUUUUUUUUUUUUUUUAAAUUUAAUAAUUUGGGAAUUUUAUAUAUAUAUAUAUAUAUACAUAUAUAUAUAUUUUCAUGGAACUCGUCUCUUGAAGAGACGAGUUCCCUUGAGGAAAUAUAUAUAUAUUUUUUUUUCAAUUUGAGACUUUUAAAAAAAUAUAUAUAUAUAUAUAUAUUUUUAAAAAAAUAUUUUUUUUUUCCAUGGAACUCGUCUCUUGAAGAGACGAGUUCCCUUGGAGGAAAUUCCUUUUUUUUGUUUUUUUUUUUUUAAUUUGGGAAUUUAAAAAAUAUAUAUAUAUACUUUUAAAUUUUUUUUUCCAUGGGAACUCGUCUCUUGAAGAGACGAGUUCCCUUGAGGAAUUUUUUUUUUUUUUUUUUUUGGGAAUUUUUUUAAAAAAAAUAAAAAAUAUAUAUAUUUUUUUUUCCAUGGGAACUCGUCUCUUGAAGAGACGAGUUCCCUUGAAAUUCUUUUUUUUUUUUUUUAAUUUUUAAUUUGGGAAUUUUUUUUUAAAUAUAUAUUUUUUUAAAAAAAUAUUUUUUUUUUCCAUAGGAACUCGUCUCUUCAAGAGACGAGUUCCCUUNNNNNNNNNNNNNNNNNNNNNNNNNNNNNNNNNNNNNNNNNNNNNNNNNNNNNNNNNNNNNNNNNNNNNNNNNNNNNNNNNNNNNNNNNNNNACGUGUUCCCCGAGUUCCCAUGAGGAAUGAUUUUUUCAUUUUAUGAAUUAUUUUUUUUUAAUUUGGAAAAUUUUUUUUUCUGUGGAAACUCCUAUCUAGAAGAGACGGAGUUCCCGUGAGGAUUUUUGUUUCUUUUUUAAUAAAUUGGGAAUUUUUUAAAAAUAUAUAUAUAUAUUUUAUAUAUAUAUAUAUAUUUCCAGGGAACUCGUCUCCUUAAGGAAUUGUUAUUUUUUUUUUUUAAUUUGAGAAUUUUUUUUAUAAAAAAUAUAUAUAUAUUUUUUCAUGGAACUCGUCUCUUGAAUAGACGAGUUCCUUUAAGGAGUUUUUUUUAAUAAAUGAGGAAUUUUUUUAAAUAUAUAUAUAUAUAUUUUUUAAAAUAUAUAUAUAUUUUUAAAAAAAUAUACAUAUAUUUUUUUUCAUGGAACUCGUCUCUUCACGAUUUCGCUUUUUGAAAUUUGAAAAUAUGAUUUUGGUUUUAAAAAAAUUUAUCCAUUCACCCUCUCUCCUAUCUCCUCUCUCCUAGGUGGCAAAAACUACCAUAUAUUUGUAAUAACUUCUUAGGAGAAUUAUCUUUUAGGGGUAGAUGGGUUCUCAAAUUAACAAAAGGUCCAUAUAACCCUUCAAAUUGAGUUGAAGGAUAUGAAAUAGUAACGGGCAAAUAUACCCUUUAAGAACAUAUAUAAAAUAUUUUAUAAAAUUAAGUUAAAUAAUUUUUUUUCAAUAAUUUUUUUUUCAAAAAUAUUAAAUUAAAUAAAAGUAGUUUUCAAAAAUAUUAAAUUAAAUAAUUUUUUUUCAAAAAUAUUAAAUUAAUUUUUUUUUCAAAAAUGUUAAAUUAAUUUUUUUUUCAAAAAUAUUAAAUUAAAUUAAAGUAUUUAAAAAAAUAUUAAAUAAAAUAUUUUUUUUAAAUAUUAAAUUAAAUAAAUUUAUUUUUAAAAAAUAUUAAAUUAAAUAAAUUUAUUUUUUAAAAAUAUUAAAUAAAAUAAAAGUAUUUUAAAAAUUAUUAAAUUACAUAAAAGUAUUUUUCAAAAAUAUUAAUUUUUUUUCUCAAAAUCAACAAAGGGCAUUUUUGGAAAUACUGAAGAAUGAUAUCCUUCAAUUUAAUUUCCAUACUUUCAUUGGGUCUUGGGCUUAAUUUGAAGAGUUACAUGGACCUUUUGUUAAUUUGGGGGCCCAUCUACCCCCAAAACAUAAUUCUCCCUAACUUCUUCUACUACAAUAAUUUAAGCAUAACUUUUUUAAAUUACCGUACUAUUAAGAAAAGUCCCUCAACCCAAUCACUCUAAAUAAUCAAUUCACACCCUACCCACUCUCAUUUCUUUUUCAAGUUUAGGUUAAGUUGGGUACGAUUAGAUUAAAUUCGGAUUAAUUAGGUAGUAUAAUUCAAAAUUUAUUUAUAAUAUUUUAAAAAAUAUUGUAAGAGAAAAUUUUAAGAUAACAAAAUAAAUAAAUAAAUUUACAUAUUUUUUUAAAAAUAAAAAAAUAUAUGAUGUAAUAUAUUUUGAUAUAUUUUCUCUUUAUAAUCUUUAUUUCAUAGAAUAAUAUACAUUAUAAAUAUUAAAUCGGUUCGAAUUAGAUCUCAAUUAUAUGAAUCUUUGCCUCAACACAAUCCAAAUUAAACUCAAACUAAAAGACCUAACUCAACCCGAGUAUUAUUAACUCGGAUUGAAAAAACCUAAAAGUUGGAACACAAUCUGUAGACCCCCUUUGGUGGAAAAAGGCCCGGGGGGGAAGUGAUUUCUCAAGGACUUCUCAUUAUAUUUUAGAAGGGGUAGGGGACCCCAGCGGCUGACUGAUGGACCCCUUCUCUAGGCACGGACGUGCAACUGCAGGGGGGCGGUUGCAAGCCCAUGCUGGCUGAUGCAUGAACAGGAGGGUGGGUGAUGGUUAGCUGAGGAAGAAAAAACGGAGGAAGAAAGAAAAGAGGGGGGAGGUUUUUUUGGCAAGUCUGCGGGGGGAUCCCAGGAGAGCAAAAGCAGAGAGAAAAAAAAAGAGGACUGGAGGUACAUACGGGGUGUUUUCUUUGCUCAUUUUGGCUAGAGAGGAGCUCUCCCAAGUGCGGUAUUGUGGAUUUUUAUUGUUCAUGUUUCUGAUUACAUUGUUAUUCAUGCAUAUUUCUUGUUACUUCUUUUAGCUUUCAUUUGCUACUCGGAUGUGACUAUUCUGCUAUUCUCUCAUUCUCUUUGUUUUUUUGUUUGGGGCUACCAUGCGUAUGGGUUCAUCCAAAUCAUGUUAAUGCUCUCGUUCAUGGCCCACGGAUUCACAUAUGAAAAUGAGGUUCCAUAAGUUUGCAUUUUCUUUUUUUUCUUUUUUUUCUUUCUCUGUUUCUUCCUUGGGGACACGAGGACUUCUCCUUCUUUUUGUGGGACUGGUCUCGGCUCGGAGGGAUGUGAGGAGGUUUUGAGAGAGAGAGAGGGAAUUGUAGGAAGAACUAGCCGCAAGCUUGAGAGAAAAGAUGAGCAUGAGGGCAAAUCUGGAACUGAUAACAUGGACGACGUUUCCGGGAAUGAUCAGGUUGCUGCUGACAACCCACGAAGGAAGAAGAGAUACCACCGACACGCUCUUCGGCAAAUCCAAGAAUUUGAAGCACUGCUCCAGGAGUGUCUUCAUCCUGGUGAAAAGCAAGGGUUGAGACUCCGCAAAAGGCUUUGCUUGGAGACUAGGCAAGUGAAGUUCUGGAUCCCAAAUCGUCGCACUCCCUAUUAUUCCAGUUCUUGGUGAUAAUCUGAAGCUUGAGGUAGAAAGGUUGAAGAAAGAGAAGUUGUCCUUUGCAUUGUCACGGGGCGUUUUUUUUAUUGGGAGAAUUAUCUUUUGGGGUAGAUGACCCCAAAUUAAUAAAAGUUCCAUAUAACUCUUCAAAUUGAGUUGAAGGAUAUGAAAUAGUAAUGGACAAAUAUACCAUUUAAUAACACAUAUAAAAUAUUUUAUAAAAUUAAGUUAAAUAAUUUUUUUUUAAUAAUUUUUUUUUUCAAAAAUACUAAAUUAAAUAAAAGUAGUUUUCAAAAAUAUUAAAUUAAAUAAUUUUUUUUUUGAAAAUAUUAAAUUAAAUUUUUUUUCAAAAAUAUUAAAUUAAAUUAAAGUAUUUAAAAAAAAUAUUAAAUUAAAUAUUUUUUUAAAUAUUAAAUUAAAUAAAUUUAUUUUUUAAAAUAUUAAAUUAAAUAAAAGUAUUUUAAAAAAUAUUAAAUUACAUAAAAUUAUUUUUUUUUAAAUAUUAAAUUAAAUAAAAGUAUUUUUUAAAAAUAUUAAUUUUUUUUUCUCAAAAUCAACAAAGGGCAUUGUUGGAAAUGUUGAAGGAUGAUAUCCUUCAACUCAAUUUCCACACUUUCAUUGGGUCUUGGGCUCAAUUUGAAGAGUUGCAUAGACCUUUUGUUAAUUUGGGGGCCCAUCUACCCCCAAAACAUAAUUCUCCCUUUUUUCUUUUACCACUCAAACGUCUUCUUAUUCUCUCUCAUGCGUAACACCCAUAUUUUUCCUUGACUUUUCCCCCACUCAAAUAUCCUUCCAUCCUCUGUCUUAUACAUGCAGCCACAUGUUUUGCUCCCAAACCUAUUUAAUAUGUGGGGACCACAUGUUUUGCUCUCAAAUCUGAGUUUAAGACCAAAAUAAUUUAUUUGUAAAAAAAAAUGAUAAGAAUAGUAUCCAUUUGAAAAUAUUUGUCAAAGUAGUCUUCUUUGUCCACGUAAGCAUCCAUAUGGAUUUUAAGUAUAAAAAACCACCGUUGAUGACUGUGGUUUUAAAACUUAUAGAAAUUUCCUUAAAACCACAGUUACAAACUGUGGUUUUAUAAUUUCUCUUAGAACCACAGUUACUAACUGCGGUUUUAAAAGAAGUUUCCUUAAAACCACAGUUACAAACUGUGGUUUUACAAUUUCCCUUAAAACCACAGUUAGUAACUGUGGUUUUACAAUCAUUUUCAAUCCGCAUCUAUUUUAAUGGUGUUAUAAUUUUAAUAUUAUUUUUAAAAUAUUUUUUUUAUCAAAAUUACAAUUAUGUUGUAAUUUUUUAUCAAAAUAUUUUUUUAUCAAAAUAAUUGUAAAACCACAGUUACUAACUGUGGUUUUAAGGGAAAUUGUAAAACCACAAUUUGUAACUGUGGUUUUAAGGAUAUUUCUUUUAAAACCAUAGUUAUAGUAACUAUGGUUUUAUGGGUAUUUUGAUAAAAAAAAAUUUUAAAAAUAAUAUUAAAAUUACAACACCAUUAAAAUAGAUGUGGAUUGAAAAUAAUUGUAAAACCACAGUUAGUAACUGUGGUUUUAUGGUUGUUUUGAUAAAAAAUAUUUUUAAAAUAAUAUUAAAAUUACAAUACUAUUAAAACAGGUGUGGAAUAAAAAUAAUUGUAAAAUCAUAGUUACUAAUUGUGGUUUUAAGGGAAAUUGUAAAAUCAUGGUUUGUAACUGUGGUUUUAAGGAUAUUUCUUUUAAAACCAUAGUUAUAAUAACUAUGGUUUUAUGGGUAUUUUGAUAAAAAAAAAUAUUUUAAAAAUAAUAUUAAAAUGUAAAACCAUAGUUACUAAUUGUGGUUUUAUGGUUAUUUUGAUAAAAAUUAUUUUAAAAAUAAUAUUAAAAUUACAACACCAUUAGUAAAACCACAGUUAGUAACUGUGGUUUUAUGGUUGUUUUGAUAAAAAAAUAUUUUAAAAAUAAUAUUAAAAUUAUAACACCAUUAAAAUGGGGAUGGAUUAAAAAUAAUUGUAAAACCACAGUUACUAACUGUGGUUUUAAGGGAAAUUGUAAAACCACAGUUUGUAACUGUGGUUUUAAGGAAACUUCUUUUAAAACCGUAGUUAGUAACUGUGGUUCUAAGAGAAAUUAUAAAACCACAGUUUGUAACUGUGGUUUUAAGGAAAUUUCUAUAAGUUUUAAAACCACAGUCACCAAUGGUGGUUUUUUACACUUAAAAUCCAUGUGGAUGCUUAUGUGGACAAAGAAGACUACUUUGACAAAUAUUUUCAAAUGGAUACUAUUCUUAUCAUUUUUUUUUACAAAUAAAUUAUUUUGGUCUUAAACUCCUCAAAUCUCUUAAAUAUAUGGUGGUCCCGGUGAUUUUCUUUUCUUUGCCAUCUAACCACUCCUAAUAACAAAGCCACAACUUAUAUUUUAAUAUUAUUACUUAUGUCUCCAUAUUUUAAUAUCCACCCGAAAAUCUCAAUUCUAAAUCUAAUUUUCAAAAUCUCAAUUUUCAUUUAAUUUCCAAAAUUCAACUUCCACAUUUAUUUGUUUAAUUACCAUUAUUAUUGUAAUUAUUAUUAUUGUUACUAUUAUUAUCAUUAUUUUAUCCAUUUAUUUAUUUUUAAAUUCCAUUCUCAAAUUUUAUUUAUUUAUUUAUUUUUAAAUUCCAUCUUUUAAACAAUUUUCAUAAUUGAAGUUUCAAUUUAAAAAAAAUCCCAAUAUUUGCAUUCAUUAUUUAAUUAUUAUUUUCGUUUUUAUUAUUAUUCUUUUUAUUUAUUCAUUUAUUUAUUCUUAAAAAUUUCAUCUUUAAACAAUUCUUCAAAAUUCUGAUUUUUAAAUUUAAUUCCAAUUUUCGAAAUUCCAAUUUUUAUAUUAAUUUAUUUAAUCAUUAUCACUUUAUUCAUUUAUUUAUUUGUUUAUUUUUAAAAUUUCAUCUUUAAACAAUUCUUCAAAAUUCCAAUUUUUGAACUUAAUUUCUAAUUUCCAAAAUUCUAAUUUCUUUUAAAUUUAAUUCCCAAAAUUCCAAUUUUCAAAUUUAAUUCCCAAAGCUCCAAUUUUCAAAUAAAUUCCAAAAAUCCAAUUUUCACUUGAACAAUUUUAAUUCUACUUCGAUUCUAAAACCUUAUGUUUUUCUUGGUUUUACAUAAGUAAGAAUAAUGAAUUUUCAUAAUUUCAAAAUAAUGAAAUUUGUGAUAUUAAUUCAUGUAAGAUCAAUCGGGAUUUGGUGGAGGCCCCACAUACAUGAUUUUAUGAUUGAUUGAUUUAUUUAUUGAUUUGUUUGUCACGCGCGAUUGAUUUAUUCCACUCUAUGACAUGCAUGUGAUUAUUCUGUGUUUAAUUGCGAACAUUCGCUUUCAUUGAAGUAAACCGGUUCAUCACUCAGGUAUAUUCUUUGCCUCUCCUAUUCAUUCAAUUAUUUUGUUUUGAGUGAUAUUCCUUCAGUAUCCAUGCUCGAUUAAUUAAUUGUCAUCAUUACUUCAUUCUAUUAGUAGAGACUCGACUUUAGAGACUUAGAGGGGUGCUAUGGUCUUUAUCGUACCUUCUUGAUAAGUAACCUGACCUCCGAACCCGAUCCGGUUUUUCGUAGACCACAUUUUCCAAAUAAGGAGUCACACUUAGGGUUUUUCUUUCUUAUUUUAUUUACCCUUUUAAAAAUAAAACAAAAAUAAGUGGCGAAUUCAAGUCAUUUUUAAAUAAAUAAAAUCAUAAUUUUUCAAAUAAAAAUCGAGCUCACCAUCGAGUGGGGAAACGCAUGAGCCGAAAUGCGGGAUCCACACAAUUCAAAUUAUACUUGGAUUGGAAAAAUCUAAUUUAAUCAUAGUAUUAAAAAUUAUUAUUCAAACUCAUUUAAAUAUUAAAUUAGAUUUAGGUUGCAUCAAUUGUAUGUGUGUCGUGAUUGUAUGAAGAAAUAGUUUUUUAAAAAUAUUUUUUCAAACGAAAUCUCUAAUAUUUCAUAGAAUAAAAAUUUGGUUAACAUCUUAGAAGGUAGGAACCUAUAUUUUAAAAUAUUUUUUUAAAAAUAGUUCUUAUUUAAAUUAUUGAUAUAUUUGUGAUUAAUUUUUAAAAUGAAGCAAUCUCAUGCACAUUAUAUUUAAAUUAUCUUUACAACCACCAAUUAUAUUAUUGAACUAUUUAUUCUAUAAAAAUUGUAAAAUAUUUAAAAUUUUGUAAAAAUAAUAAGAUGUGAAAUAAAAUUUGCCACUUAUUUUAUGAUAUAAGGUUUUAAUACUAAGACCUUGUGAAAAAUAAUCAUUUAUAACUAAAUUAAAUUAAAAUGAGCAUUUAUUAUUAAAAAUCAGAAUUAUAAUCAAUCAAUUAUUAAUUAAAAAUGGUAUUAUUAAUUGCAAUUUAUUAUUAUUAUUUUUAUAUAUAGGAGAUUGGAUUAAAUAUUGAAAGCAUUUUUUGGAAGUGGAAAAAGAUUGUUAAAAUAAUAAUAAAAAAAUUUGAAAAUUUUGGAGAGUGCCAAGAACGUGGGAAUGGUACAAAAAUGUGAGGAAAUUUAUGUGUUUUUAAUUUAAAAUUUUUUUGUGCUUAACUUCCAUCGUUUACGGGGAUGAUUAGUAUACCUAAGCAACAUUGACGCAACAAAUUUAAAAUAAAUUUAAAAAUUAGAGGGUAUGAAUGUAAUCAAUAUUUUAAAACAAUAUCAUAACUAUUUGAAAUUUUGGAGUGGAAUUUAAAAAAAUAAUAAUAAUAUAAGUAUUUAUUGUUAAUUAGUAAUUGAAAAUUGUAUUAUUAAUUUUUUAUUGUAAAUUUGAUUUCUUUUUUUGGGGAAAAAGAUUGGAUGAAAUAUUAAAAGUAGGAAAAAACAAUAUAAUGGCUAAUUGAAGUUGAAAAAGAAAUUGUAUGAUUUCAAUUAAUUCUAAGUGUAAUUUGAGCUCUCUCCAAUUUUUUAAUGUAUCAUUUUUAAAAUUGUUUGGAGGAUAUUUUUCAUCAUUCGUAAGGUUCAUUUGUAUGGAUAAACAAUAUCGUUACAUUUCCAAGUCAAAAAAAUCUUAAAAUUGGAAAAUUAUUUUUUAGUGUUUUAAAAUUUUAAUUUUUUUAAUAAUAAUUUUCAUCAUUUGUAAGCUUGAUUAGUAUAGAUAAACAAUAUAUAUUUCAAUUUCAAAUUAAUUUAUUUUUCUUAGAAUUGGAAAAAAAAAUAUAAAAAUCCAAUGGUGUGAAGAAUUUGGAAAAUGGUACAAAGAAUAUGAGAAUCUUCACAUUUUUUGUACCCCUCUCUAAUUUUUUAGUGUUUUAAUUUUUAAAUUUUUUUGAGAAUAUUUUUCAUCAUUUUUUAAGGUUAAUUAGUAUGGAUUGCAUUUUCAAGUGGUUUAUUUUUUUUCUUUUACAUUAUAAAAUUAUGGGGAUUCGAAGAAGAAUGUGAAAAAUGAUACAAAGGAUGUGAUGAUUCUUAUAUUAUUUAUAUAAUUCCUCACAUUUUUUAUACCCUCCACAAUUUUUUAGUAUUUUAAUUUUUAAUUUUUUUAAAUAUAAGUUCCAUCAUUUCUAAAUUUAAUUACUAUUAGUAAACAAUAUUAUUGUAUUUAUAAGUGAAUUUUUUUUUUCAAAAAUUGUAAAAUUUCAAUGGUACAAAAAACGUGAGGAAGCAUAUGAAAAAUAUGAGUAAGGGUACUUACACCCGACACCCAUCGCGCACGCAUUUUGAGGCGUUGGUGCUACUGUUUUUGCACGUAUCCCAAGUCAUACGAUGCUCUAGUCUUGUAAGGUACUAUGAUUUUAUGCAACACAACACCCGACACCAUCGCAUUCGAAGGCAUGGUCUACAAUGUUUGCACGCAUCCCGAGGCAUACUAUUCUACAAUGCCCAUGAGGAAUAUGAUUUUGAGAGAAUUAUGUUUUAGGGAUAGAUGAGCCCCAAAUUACCAAAAGGUCCGUGUAGCUCUUCAAAUUGAGCCUAAGACUCAAUGAAAGUAUGGAAAUUGAGUUAAAGGAUAUUAUCCUUCGGUAUUUCAAAAAAUGCAAUUUGUUGAUUUUGAGAAAAAAAUUAAUAUUUUUGAAAAAUACUUUUAUUUAAUUUAAUAUUUUUUAAAAAUAUUUUUGAUUUAAUUUAAUAUUUUAAAAACAUACUUUUAUGUAAUUUAAUAAUUUUUAAAAAUAUUUUUAUUUAAUUUAAUAUUUUUUAAAAAUAGUUUUAUUUAAUUUAAUAUUUUUGAAAAAAAAUUAUUUAAUUUAAUAUUUUUGAAAAAAAAAUUUUAAUUUAAUAUUUUUGAAAACCACUUUUAUUUAAUUUAGUAUUUUUGAAAAAAAAGUUAUUGAAAAAAAAUUAUUUAACUUAAUUUUAUAAAAUAUUUUAUAUUUGUUCUUAAAGGGUAUAUUUGUUCGUUACUAUUUCAUAUCUUUCAAUUCAAUUUGAAGAGUUAUAUGGACCUUUUGUUAAUUUGGGGGUAAUUUACCCCUAAAACAUAAUUCUCCCUAUGAUUUUAUGCAACAUAGUACUCGACACCAUCACGCAGCAUCCCGAGGCACAUGUGCUACAGUGUUUGCGCGCAUUCCGACUGUACGGUCUAUAGUGCUACAAGGUAAUAUGAUUUUAUGCAACACUCCACCUUGACACCAUCAUGCACACAUCUCGAGGCAUGUAUGCUAUAGUGUUUCCACGCAUCCCAAUGUGUAUCAUCGCAUUCUUUAUACCCUCUCAAAUUUUUUAAUGUUUUAAUUUUCUAAUUUUUUUAAAGGUAAUUUACAUCAUUUCUAUUUUUUAAUUCUUUUUUUUAACAAUUCUAUCAAUAAUAACUCAAAAUAAUAUUUUUUAACUAUUUUAUUCUCAUUUCAAGUUAAAAAACAAAUCUAAAAUUUUAAAAUUUUAAAUAAUUUAGGUUGUAAAAAACAUGAGAUUAGUAAAAAAAUAUGAGAAAGGUACAAAAAAUAUAUGAUAAAUACAUAUUUGGUACUUUCAUCACAUUUUUCAUAUCGAUUUUUUGUUUUUAAUUUGUUUAAAUUACAAAUUUAUUUUUGAAAAUAUAAUCAUUAGUAACUCAAAAGAGUAUUAGUAAUUUUAAUUUAAAACAUUAAAUUAAAAAAAAUAAUAUUUGGAGAGUAUAAAAAAAAUAUUAAGACGGUCUAAUUAUCUAAGUUUUUUAUAUGAUUAUAAAAAUAUUGAAUUUUAAUAUAAAUACUCAUUUCAUAUUAAAAUAUUAUCAUAUUUAUUUUUAUUCUGAAUUUAGAUAUUUAAUAAUUUAUAAAAAAUAAAAUUAUGUAGUUAUGAUAUGUGAUAGAAUUUUUUUUUCUUAAUAAAUAUGUUUUACAAAUUUUAUAUCGAUUUUAUUUUUAUUUUUAUACCAUUCCAUUUUUACUUAUCUAUUUUAUUAUAAUUUUAAUUUAAAAUUCUUAAAUUCAAAAAAUAUAAAUUUUGGAGAAUACGGAAAAUAUUAGGAUGAUCUAAUUAUCUAAGCUUUAUAUAUGAUUAUUAAAAUAUUAAAUUUUUAUUUUAAUAUUUUUUAAUAGUUAUAUGGUAAAAAUAGUAAUAAAAUUAAUGAAAUCCAUUUAAUAAGAAAUAUAAGAACAAAUAUUUUUAUUAUUAAUAAUAAUAAUAAUUAGAAAAUAUCUUCAGCCUUGUAUUAUUACCGUGGUCCUACCGUCUACUCAAAACUGAAAAUAUGGUGGCAUUAUUAGCUGGCUUUUCAAUCAUUCUGAUGAAGAAAGUAACAAAAUAGAGAGAGAGAUGAGAAAUGUUGAACUGCUGGUUGCAUUAUUGGCCAGCUGGCUUUGAAUCAUUCUGACGAAGAAAGCGAUAAGACUGAUAGGAAAAUGACCUGAGUUUUGAUAGGGUAGCCUUUUUAAAAAUCAUUAUCACACUAGAUUAGUAUCCUUCCCGAUAUUUUAAAUUUUAGUGCAGUGCGGCCGGUUCUUGGAAAAACGGUUCAAUUACCCCCCUUUAAACAGGUCCUCCUUCCAUUUAAUGGAUUUUUGGCAGAAGCCCAACCCAUAUUGCCACCACCUACUUGUUGCAUUGGCAUUAUUUAUAAGCUUAAUUAAUGUCAAUAAACAAUAUUAUUGUAUUAGCAAGUGAAAAAAAAAAAAUUCAAAAAACUCAAAAAGUUAUAAAAUUUUGUCAAAAAUGGUACAAAAAAUGUGAGUUACUCGCAUUCUUCGUAUCCUUCCCAAUUUUUUAGUGUUUUAAUUUUUAAAUUUUUUAGAAGAUAAUUUUUAUUAUCUCUAAGCUUAAUUAGUAUUAAUUAACAAUAUUAUUGUAUUUUCAAAUGAAAAAAAAAAUCAUUAAAUCAUUAAAUUUCUCACUUUCUUAAUACCUUCCUCAAUUUUUUAAUGUUUUAAUUUUUAAAUUUUUUUGAGGAUAAUUCCCAUCCUUUCUAAGCUUAAUAAAUAUCAAUAAAUAAUAUUAUUGUAUUUUCAAGUGAAAAAAAUUUGAAAAAUUGUAAAAUUUUAAGGGUAUGAAGAAUAUGAAGAAGGGUACGAAGAAUAUAAGGCAUCGUAUUUUUUGUACCAUUUCUCACAUUUUUUUGUACCUUUUACAUUUACUAAGUGUUUUUAAUUUUUAAUUUUUAAAAAAAAUAAUUUUCAUAACUUCUAGCCUUUGAAAAAAUUAUAAAAUUUUGAUAAUACAAAAAAUGUGAGGAAAGGUACUAAAAAUAUUAGGAUUCCUCUUAUUUUUCAUAUAAUUUCUUAUAUUCUUUGUACCCUUUACAAUUAUUUAGUGUUUUAAUUUUUAAUUUUUUUAGAAUAAUUUUCAUCAUUUCUAAGUUUAAUUAACAUCAAUAAGCAAUAUUAUUCUAUUCUAAGUGAAAUUUUUUUUGAAAAAUUAUAAAAUUUUGAGGAUACAAAAAAUAUGAGGAAGGGCACAUCCUUUCCAAUUUUUUAGUAUUUUCAUUUCUAAUUUUUUAAGGAUAAUUUAUACCAUUUCCAUUUUUUUAUUUAUAAUUCCAUCAAGAUUCAAGAAUAACUCAAAAUAAUAAUAUUAAACUAUUUUAUUAUCAUUUUAAAUUAAAAAGUAAAUCUAAAAUUAAGAAGAUGUAAAUAAUUUAAGGUACAAAAAAUGUGAGGUUAAAACAAAAAAUGUGAAACGGAUAUAAAUAUUAAAUAAUGUGAUAAAUACAUGUUUGGUGCCUUCAUCACAUUUUAAUACAUGCUUGGUAUGUUGAUCACAUUUUUCAUAUCAAUUUUUUGAAAUUAAAAAUUUAUUUUUAAAAAUAGUAUCAUUAGCAACUAAAAAGGGUAUUGAUAAUUUAUUUAUUAUAAUUUUAAUUUAAAAAUCUUAAAUUCAAAAAAUAUAAAUUUUGGAGAAUACGAAAAAUAUUAGGAUGAUCUAAUUAUCUAAGCUUUAUAUAUGAUUAUCAAAAUAUUAAAUUUUAAUGCAAAUACUUAUUUUAUAUUAAAAUAUUAUCAUAUUUAUUUUUAUAUCAAAUUUAAAUAUUUAAUAAUUUAUUAAAAAUAAAACAAUACAGUCAAAUAAUUAUUUUUUAAUCCAAUUCUAUUUUUAUUUCAAUAUUUAUCACAUAUUUAUUUUAUUUAAACCCAAAAUUGUGGGGAAAUGGGGAAGAAGAGGAAAAAGGAGAAGAGAGUGGAAGGUCACAACUGGUCCUUCCCGUUAAGUGGAUUUUUUUUUUUUUCAAAUUUAAAAUGGAUGGCCAACAUGUAAUCUUGGACAUCCAAUGGCUUAAAAAAAAUUUGUACAGUACCGAAGGAGGUACCCUAGAAUUGUCCAUCAAAAGUCAGGAACCCACCAUCAAGAAGAGGGUCCAACCGGAUACCUAUUCAAAAGUGUCAUCAGUCUCAUCAUUUAUUUCUCACUGCUUUCCAUCCAUUACUUUCUUUUUUUAUUCAAUUCAUUUGCUUAUUACCCUUUUUGUUUUUCCUUUUUUAUUUUCUUACAUCUUUUCAUCCCAAUAUUUAUACUUUUCAUCAAAUAACUUAAAUUUAUAUAUAUAUAUAUAUAUAUAUAUUUUUUUUUUUAAUUAAUAUAAUUUUAUUAUGCUAUUAAUAUUUAAAAUUAUUCAUGUUAUUAUUCAUAUCAUUUUUAUUAAUAUUAUCUAUCAUUUUUAUAAUUAUUAUUCACCUUAUUAUUCAUAUCAUUUUCAUGAAAUUAAACUAGGAAAGGAAAGGAGCCGAGCAUUCGUUCCAAACGGAGAGAUGAAAAGUAGAAUGAUCUCUAGUGAAUAUGAGUAACGCUAGGAAAAAUGACAAAGGAGAUGAGAAAGCUCAAGUAGAACGAGGAAAGUCAAUGGUUUUUGCAAGCAAAAAUCAGCAGCAGAGGUCAUCAAGAAAAGAGUAACGAAAUUGAGAUAUAAGUAACACACUAACACCAAGCAGAUUCCUGCCGUAGGGCUGAAUGUGAAGGGGGUAUGUUGGGACGUCAUUUGUUUGUUUGGCCCUGGUCAGCCGUACCACCGAGCUGUGCCAGACGGGGGCAUCACAGCCGGAAUGGGCCGGACCGGAGUGGCCUUCCCAGGAUUCGAACUCAAGUCCUAGCCUUAAGGACGUUGAGGUUGCUCUUCUGGUACCAUAUCCCAUUUCGGGUGUGAUUCCCCCGUNNNNNNNNNNNNNNNNNNNNNNNNNNNNNNNNNNNNNNNNNNNNNNNNNNNNNNNNNNNNNNNNNNNNNNNNNNNNNNNNNNNNNNNNNNNNNNNNNNNNCCAUUAACACUUUCCUCUUGGUUUGGUGUUAUAGCUGUUUUUUACAAGGUCCUGUUGGGACGUCAUUUGUUUGUUUGGCCCUGGUCAGCCGUACCACCGAGCUGUGCCAGACGGGGGCAUCACAGCCGGAAUGGGCCGGACCGGAGUGGCCUUCCCAGGAUUCGAACUCAAGUCCAAGCCUUAAGGACGUUGAGGUUGCCCUUCUGGUACCAUAGCCCAUUCCGGCUGUGAUGCCCCCGUCUGGCACAGCUCGGUGGUACGGCUGACCAGGGCCAAACAAACAAAUGACGUCCCAACAGGACCUUGGAAAAAACAGCUAUAACACCAAACCAAGAGGAAAGUGUUAAUGGCUUGAGGUAUAGAAAGUGUACGGGUGCAUUGGUCAGUGAGAGAAGCACGCUCACUGUUUGCAAUAAAGCGUGAGGCAGGUGAUGCGAAGAUGUAAUAAUAAAGUUAAUAAAGUUUUCAGUAAUUCUUGUGGUAUUUUAUCAUGAAUGCUGAAUGUGAAGGGCAGAGAGUCGGUAUGACAUGACUAAGCAAAAACCACCUAUAAAUUAUCAUACAAAACCAAGCAGAAAGUGUUAUGGCUUUAGGCGUAGAGAGGGUAAGAAUGCAUAACUGUUGGGAUGUGGAUAGCCAAGUCAUGACCAUUAAUCCGAGUUUCUGGCCGAAGUAGUAUUUCUUUGUAAAAAAAAACCCAAAGUAAUCCGGUUUUCAAACUAUUUGCCAAAAUACUCUUUUUAAUCCACAUAAGCAAUCCACGUCAACAACCAUCUUCGUCAAACCUGUUUUUUUCCUUUGGAGACCCAAUUCCAGAAAGUAUUCUCCACCAUCUGCAGCUCCAUUUUCUCUCCUCACCGGCUGCGGCUCCCACCAGUGGCUCCCACCAGCAACUCCACCAGCAGCUAGGUAAAUUUUUUUCGGGUUCAUGAGUUUUUUCCCACUCAUUUUCCUUAGCUUUCUUACCAACCAAACAGAGGAAAACAAGUUGUUUUGAAAAUUUUAAAAAUCUCAAGUUGUUUUCAAUUUCAUAGCUAUCCAAAAAACUUGAAAAACCCUUUCCUCCACCUUAUAUUCCUCUUAUCCUGGAACCCGAAAAACCCUAACCUUUGCCUCAUUUUCCUCUCAUCUCAGAAUCCUGAUAGUUGUCGAUCUGCCCAUGAUUCAUCUUCAUCGUGAUCCAAAAUAUGGAUUUCGGAUUGGAUGAAGGUGGGGGAGCGAGAAAGACUUGGAGAGGUUAAGGUUUAUACCUUAGCCACAGAUCCAUUCAGGGGAAGUUCGUUAUUGUUGUCUAUUUUACCAGAAUUAUUGCUCAAAUUAAAAUUACAGUGAUCAAGAUCUGAUAAUAGGUUGCUGUCCAACGGGUCUUCAGAAACAUAAUGACAUGUCUCAUGGUUGUCAAUAGAAAGACCAUUUUCUGGGUCAACCAUGAAGUGGCUAUCACUUGUAUCUGAGCCCAACAAACUGUGUUCACCCACAUUUUGUCCAGAAGCAUCUCCUGAUAUAAUAAAGUUAGCAAGAGUCUUUUGUGUCGGAUUAGAUAGAUGACCGUCUUUGUCCUCAUUGAAAUGAGACAUGCGCAGGCCUACAAAAGACAGCAGAAUUGGGGUUUCGAAAGGGAGAAAAAAAAAUUCUUUUUUCUAUAAAAAUGGAGUUAAUAUGUUGGAAAUUAACAUAGUUACAAUGCAUCAAGUGGCUAUUAAUUUUAGAAAAGAAUAUGUUUUAGUGAGUUCCUCAAAAUUGAGACAAAUGGUCUAUUGCUAUCUGGCUUUGAUUAUACUUGGAAUAAUGAUGAUGUAUUACAGGACAGGGCCAUCCCUGAUGAAUUUGUGACUACAAUAUCAUUUGGUUUAUUAUUUUCUGUUAUCCCUGCACAUGAAGUGUAAAAUUUUCUUUUUAGCCAAUUCCAAUCACAAAUUGGAUGAUGAUAACUGUUGAUGAUGUUUUUUCCUUUUAACUUUUCUUGGAUAAGUAUGUGAAAGAUGUUAUUAUGCCUUGGUUAUUAAAAUGAGAGUUUACUGACUGAAAGUUGAAGGGUUUGAAAUUAAAUAUGGCCUUUAGCAGGGUGCUUAGGGGAAACCUAUGAAAUCCCAAUAUGGAAUGGAAAUACACUCCUGCUUAAUGUAGAGCUUAAUGUAUUGAUCUUUGCUUUACACUGAUCAAAGCACGCUCUUCACAUUAGUGCUAAUUUUUCAUAUUUUUUGUGGCAUAUUUUACAUGUUCAACUUUCUCAACCAUUACUACUGGUAAAAUUUCAAUAGCCUUACAAUUACUCGCUCCCGGAUAGAAGCUUCAAUUCCUCACAAACAUGGGCCUGCUAUUGCUGGUUAUGAGGCAGUAGCUUGCUUGAUCUUAUCCAUAAACUAUUUCUAAAAGUACCUUAGUGGCUGUAAGCAUGUUUGUUAGAAAACUUACAAUACAAUGAUAUAAUUCAUUUUCCUGAUGUAAAUCUUAUUUAUUGCUUGGCUGUAUCUCAUCUGAAGUGUAUUUUAUGGUACAAAUAUAAUGCACAAUACAAUGAUACACGUACAACAAUACAUAUAAACAACAAAUAUUAAUAUUUGCCUAGUGAGAAUCUGGAACUAAAAUUUAUAGCCAAAAAUUCAAAAAGCUUUGUUUUGUGGAUUUUGUAAGACACCUAUGCAUUAAAGUAAAAAAUUGGGGAAAAUGACUCAUUAUUUUUUGUAAGAAUCUGCUUCUUCCAGGUUUAAUACAUAUUUAUGGGAAUCUUCUUGACAUAAGACAUAUGGAAGCAACUUCAAAAAGUUACAGAAAAAGAAAAGUGAAAGCCUCUACACUUCCUAAUAAAUAUUUUAUCUUCUUAUUUAUUAUAAUUACUAGAUUUAUCGAGAAACCAUCAUUACAAAUGCUUAAGUUUUUCAAAUUAUUUUUAAAUUUGUUUUCAUAAUUUAUUAACUUUAUAAAAUUGGAAGUGAUUAUUAAAUUUAUUUUUGUUUCUUUUUCUCCUCUAAAAAAAUAUAUACUUUUUAUUAUAUAUAUAUAUAUAUAUAUAUAUUUUAAAAAUUUAUUAGGAUGAAGGAGAUUUGAGUGUGUCAUUUUUCAAUCAUCAUUUUUAUAAAGAUAAUACUAUUGCGCAUCUAACAAUCUCUUCCCCAUUAUAGGGCUCCUAGAACUCGAAUCAUGACCAAACUCUAGGGCUCCUAGAACUCGGAUCAUUUAAUGACAUGUGGAACAUUUAAUAGCACUUAUACAAAUGCUAACAACUUUAUAAAACUGUAAAAAGACAUGUAGAACCUAGGCUGGAUCUCCAAACCAUGAAAAUUGCUUGUAAUUAUUGGUUAGCUUUUGAAUUGUAUCAUAUAUUAGAAAAUGUAUCAAAUUCUCAAUUAUUAUAAAUUCCUUUUGGUAAAGAAUAUUGUAUAAAGUAUUUUCUAAGUUAAUUUAUUAUUGUGAUAUCAUAUUUCCUCAUAGAAUAAGGAAAGUUAUUUAGAAUAUUUUUAUAAAUAUUUUAGGCCAUAGAGGGAAAAAUCUAUAAGAUCGAGAUAGACUCCUAAAGAUUAUAAAAUAUUUGAAGAACUCAAUAGUUAUAAAUAAUAAAAAAACACUAAAACCAAAUUUAAUAUAUAGAAAAUAUUAGUUUUUACUUCAAAUUUAACUUAUUAAAUUAUAAAUUGUAGAAAUUUAAUUAAAUUAAUUUUUUUUUAAAAUUAACUAGACAUAAGCAAAAGUGUAUUAACUAUUCCGCUUUCUCUUUUUCAAUUAUUUAAAUGGAAAAUAUUAAAACAUUUAUAGUCGUAACUAUUAAUUAUGUUGAAUAUGUACACAUUACAUCCAUUCUUGAACAAAUUUAAAAAAAUUUCCUACUUAAUUUGGGUAGCUUAAACAAAGACAUUUUAAUUGUUAAUGGAAAAAUAAAAACCUUUUAUUCAAUUUUAAUGGUAAUAAAUAAUAAGAAAAUAUUAUUAAUAAAAAACAUUGAAUUAUUUGGAUAUUAAGGUGUUAUUUGUUAUUUGAUAUUGUUAAUAACAUACCCUAUUAUUGUUAUUUGUUAUUUCAUUACAAAUUGAUGUUAUUAGUAAUGUUUUAUAUUGUGUAAUUUUGUGGUUAAAAAUGAAAUUGAUUUGAUUUUUUUGGCUUCUUCUAUAGGUAAACUAUGUCUAAUUUAUCGGUGGCAAUAGUUUGUUUUUGUAAUGGGAAAAUGGUGAGAACACAGACCGAUGUUGAUUAUGUUGGGGAUAGAGUUGUGGUUGAACCUAUUGAUGUGCCUCUUGGGACAACAUAUGAACAACUGUUGGAAAUGAUAUACUCGGUCACUGACAUCAAUAAAGAACAUUUUCGAUUAAUACUUAGUUGUAAGUAUCCUAUGAAAAAAGGGAACAAAUUCCAACCUUGCCCAGUAAAGAAUGAUAGUGGUGUAGCUCGAAUGUUAGAAAUGCAUAACAGAUUUGGGAUGGAUGAAGUUGAGUUAUUUGUUGAACAAGUACCUAUUGACUUACAAAUGAAUUCACCACUUGGUAAUUGCAUGCCUUUGUUACUUGGUGAAAAUGAUGGUACUAGUAAGUUCAAAAUCCAUUUACUUUUGAGCAUAGAUCAGAAGAGGAUGAGGAAGACGAAGAAGGAACACAAUGUGAUGAUGACAGUGUAAGAGCUGAGGAUGUUCAUAAUGAUGAUAAUCAAGAUAGGGAAGGUAGCUCGCCUUUUUUAUCUGUUCGUGAGGCAAUUGAAAGAGAACAAAUGAGAUAUGUGGCUGUGGAUGGGGAAGGAUGUAACUUGUCAAACAAUCCAGAUACAGAGGAUUUAGAUGACCCAAUUGAAUUAUCUCCAAUGCAAUAUCAUUUGGCACCAUCACCACAGUUUGAAAAUGUUGAAAACAUUGGUCAUGUUGUGUCAAGUGAAUGGACCCCAUGGGGAAACACUCUUAUGGGACAUCCAACUGGAGAGUUCAUAGUUGGACAAAUCUUUAAUUCCAAAGGAGAUUUGCAACAUGCUGUAAAGAUGUACUCUAUUAAUUCGCACCAAGAGUAUAUCGUUUUGUCAUCCACAAAGAAAUUGUUGGUCCUAAGAUGCAAGAAAGCUGAACAGUCUCAAUGUCCUUGGAGACUACGUGCUACAGUUGUUAAAGGGACAUCUUUAUUUGAGAUCAACAAAUAUAGUGGCCCACACACAUGUGUCAAUCCUUGCAUGAACCAAGAUCAUCAUCAGUUAGACUCAAACCUGAUAGCCGCCCAUAUAGAGGGAAUGAUUAAGACACAAUUCACACUUUCAGUGGCUGCCAUUCAAGCAAGUGUUGUAGAAAGAUUCGGGUACCAUAUCUCAUACACUAAGGCUUCGAAAGGCAAGCGUAAAGCAUUAACUAAUUUGUUUGGUGAUUUCUAUAAAUCAUACGCUAAACUGCCACAUUUUUUUGGUGCCUUAGAGCAAGCCAAUCCAGGAUGUGUUGUAAUUUCUAAAACAUUCCCAGGAAAUAUGCGAAAUGAAGAGGUAUUUCAGCGAGUCUUUUGGGCAUUUCAUCCUUCCAUAGAGGGCUUCAAGCAUUGUCGUCCUGUGUUAACUAUUGAUGGUACACACUUGUAUGGGAAGUAUAAGGGCACUGUAAUGAUUGCCAUGGGCUGUGAUGGAAAUAAUCAAUUGUUUCCUUUUGCUUUUGCAUUAACUGAGGGUGAAAAUGUUGAUAGUUGGGGAUGGUUUUUGGCAUGUAUUAGAAAUCGAGUAACUCAAAGGAGGGGUCUUUGUGUUAUCUUUGAUCGUCAUCCGAGCAUUAUGGUUGUGUUUGCUGAUGUUUACCUUGGUUGGUCUGAGCCAAAUGCAUAUCAUCGAAUUUGUAUGCGCCAUCUUGCUAGCAACUUUAUGACUCACUUUAAGGACAAAUGCUUGAAACAACUUUUAUGCAGAGCCGCCUUAGAAACUAAGGUAGAAAAAUUCAACAUGCAUAUGGAGACAUUGGGAGAAUCGAUCAAAACGCACUCAGUUGGUUGGAGGGUAUUCACUUUGAGAAAUGGGCACUAUCACAUGAUGGAGGUCGACGAUAUGGCAUAAUGACUACAAACAUGUCAGAAGUGUUCAAUAGUGUGCUUAAAGGGGCACGGAGUUUCCCUAUCACCGCAUUUGUUCAAUUGACAUUCUAUCGACUUAAUAGUUACUUUGUUGUAAGAAGAGAACAUGAUGCUAGUCGACUUGCUUCAAGUGAACAAUACACUCCUUAUGUUGAUGCUAAGAUUAAUGCAAAUGUUGUUAAGGCAGGUUCUCAUGAGGUUGUUUUGUAUGAUCACUUCCAAGGACUGUUUCAUGUGAAGGCUAGUAGGGGUAGCAAAAAGACAUCAUCUGGUGGAAGAACACAUCGUGUUAACCUACGUGAGCAUGUAUGCACAUGUGGCAAAACACUCAUAUAUGGAUUCCCAUGUAGUCAUAUUCUAGCGGCAUGUCAUUUUCGUUCAAUUGAUUUUAGAUCAUUUGUUCAACAUUAUUACACUAUACAAUCGUACUUUAGCACUUGGGCACCACUGUUUAACCCCAUACACAAUGAGUACGAGUGGCCACCAUAUGUUGGUCCAGUUAUUGUGCCUGCAGAUUCAAUGAAACGUGUGUCAGGUGGACGACUUAAAUCUACUCGUUUGCACAAUGAAAUGGAUGUUAGAGAAGGUAAAACCUCAGUUACAUGUGGUUUGUGCAAACAAAGUGGUCACAAUCGUCGUUCUUGUCCAAAUAAGAACAUGGGUGCUGGGCCUUCAUGAUGGGUGCUAGGCUUUGGAUGUUGAUAUUAUGUUAUUUGUAUUUUGGACAAUACUUAUGUUAUAAGAGAGACUUUGCUGUUAAUUUCAAAAUUGUAAUAUGAAUAUUUUGAUGAAUCAGGUUGUUUGUAUUUUGGAGAAUACCCUAUUUAUAAGGGAGACUCUAUCGAAAUUUUUAAUAUUUGGAUGCGAACAUCAUAUUAUUACAUUUUUCUUUUCAUUAUUGUCCUUGGAUAUUGAUAUUGGUUGUAGAUGAAUAUUUUGAUUAAUCAGGUUUUUUUUUUGUAUUUUGGAGAAUACCCUAUUUAUAGGGGAUACUCUGCCGAAAUUUUUAAUAUUUGGAUGUGAACUUUAGUGUUUGAUAAUUUUUUUUAAAUUAUUGUACUUGGAUAUUGAUAUUGGUUGCAAAUAAAUAUUUUGAUUAAUCAGGUUAUUUGUAUUUUGGAGAAUACCCUAUUUAUAGGGGAUAUUCUGCCGAAAUUUUUAAUAUUUGGAUGUGAACUUUAGUGUUUGAUAAUUUUUUUUAAAUUAUUGUACUUGGAUAUUGAUAUUGGUUGCAAAUAAAUAUUUUGAUUAAUCAGGUUAUUUGUAUUUUGGAGAAUACCCUAUUUAUAGGAGAUACUCUGCCGAAAUUUUUAAUAUUUGGAUGUGAACUUUAGUGUUUGAUAAUUUUUUUAAAAUUAUUGUCCUUGGAUAUUGAUAUUGGUUGCAAAUAAAUAUUUUGAUUAAUUAGGUUAUUUGUAUUUUGGAGAAUGCCCUAUUUAUAGGGGAUACUCUGCCGAAAUUUUUAAAAUUUGGAUGUGAACAUUAGUGUUUGACAAUUUUUUUUUAAAUUAUUGUACUUGUUGGAUAUUGAUAUUGGUUGCAAAUAAAUAUUUUAAAUUAUAAUAGUAACAUUAUUUUAUUAUGACAGUAUAGUAAUGGAGCAUAGAGAGGGCAGAUUCGAUCCAGAUCCAUUAGAUUGCUCUAUUUUAGCGCUACAGGACAGACAUAGGUCUCAAUUAGUGGAUUCUGGUCAGGUAUAUAUGUAUAUAUAAAUAUAGAUGUAUAGAAAAACAUAAUCAUAAACCUUAAUUAAGUUCUUAUUUAAUCGAAAUGGUAUCUUUUGUAGCUUAAUCAGGUAUUGACAUGUCGACAACGUUUAUGGACAUUCAUGCGAGAGUGGGAGAUGGACCCUCGUAUUCGGCGAUAUGUGAUGCAGUCUGGAUUUUAUGGUGUAUAUCGUGUCGGACACAUUUCACUAGAUUGGCCAUUGAUCACGAGUCUUGUUGAGCGAUGGCGGCCCGAGACACACACAUUUCAUUUACCUAUUGGAGAGAUGACUGUUACUUUACAGGAUGUAGCCAUGAUUCUUGGAUUACGUAUUCAUGGGCCUCAUAUCACUGACACAUGUGACAUAGAUUGGUCACUACUAUGUUUUGAGCUUUUAGGUGUCGUCCCACCUCCAUCUCAGAUUAGAGGGUGAUCUAUAUCAGCACGAUGGUUGCGUGAGCAGUUCUCAUAUCCACCAGCAGGGGUCGAUGAUGUUAUUUUACAGCGUUAUGCGCGUGCUUUCAUAUUAGCACUAUUGGGUGGAGCAUGGUUCGCAGACAAGACUGGCACACAUGUACAGUUAUGUUACCUUCCACUGUUGAGAGACUUCACUGAGAUUUCUCACUAUAGUUGGGGCAGUGCAGUGUUGGCAUACCUAUAUGGAGAGCUAUGUCGUGCGAGUUUAGAUAGUGCCACAGAGAUUUCUGGACCUAUCACACUAUUACAGGUAUUUCGACAUAACUAUCUAUUAUAAUUAAUUGACUCACAUUAUUGUUGUAAGUUGUCUAAUUUUGAUAAUGUUAUCUGAUUUUGUAGUUGUGGUCAUGGGAGAGACUUCAUGUGGGUCGACCUGAUUUCGAUCGUCCUCCAAUGCCUAUAGUAGUCCCACAUGUACAUGAUGAUGUAGUUGAUGGUUUACAUGAUCAUCUAUUGCCAGAUGAGCCACUCCCAAUCCAUCCAUUGGGCCAUAGGUGGAGAGUACCCCUGUCUUGGUCUCAUAACCCAUCACCACAUGUGUUGACAUUCUAUCGAGAUCAAUAGGAUGCCCAGACACAGGAUCAGGUAAAAUGUAGAUGCGUAAGAUUACCUUUGCAAUAUUUUCCACCAAUGUGACUAAUUAUUUUUUAAAAAAAUUACAGGUAUUAUGGGAACCAUAUACAGCAGAUUUGAUUGCACAUCUUCCGGCUAUAUGUCAGGUUGACGAAGAAAUUUGGCGAACUAUGUCACCUCUAAUUUGCUUUGAUAUUAUCGAGUGGCAUAGACCAGAGUGAGUUUUACGCCAAUUUCAUAUGCAACAAGGGAUACCUCCACCUUGUUUGAUAGAUAUGGAGCUACAUUUAGUGGAUAGGCGAGGACGACAUCAAUACGAUUGGGUCACAUUCCAUGCUCAAUAUAUUUCUCUUUGGGCUACUCAUUCUAAGCGUAUUGCGACAGCACCACUUGUGAUUACUACCAUGUCUUUUUAUGAUCCAUAUAUGCAGUGGUAUCGACGUAUCACGCGAUGCCUGAUCGCACCUGUUUUGCAUAGAGAUCAUAUGAGGUUCCAUAGUACAGCUUCUGCCACUGAGUUAUUGGUGAGAGCAUUUGAGAUACAAAACCAUUUUUUAAUGAAUGUUAAACUUAAAUUAUGUGCAAAUGCCUCAUGUUUUAUUUUCUUAUACAGAUCACCGCCGUAUCGCAGAUGGCUAUUUCAAAUGAUUUGGAGGAAACUCACCGAAUUGCUAUUGAUGUUUUACGUGCUAUAGGAGAGGACCAUCGCGUACACUCGACACAUGAGCCAUCCACAUCUUCAGGAUCAUCCAUGAGACCACCAUCAUUGAUUACGCCUGUUAGGGUACCACCCAUUAGAGGUCGGGGGAGAGGUGGUCGUCGAGCUGGUCACCGACAUGUACCUUUGGCAUCUACUUUGGUACAACCCUCACAUCCACCAGUCACAUCUACCUUUCCUUUAUUUCAGCCAUCUACAUCAUUAGAGUUGCCACUUUCUCCCCCUGAUGUAUCCAUACCAGCCUAUUCACCUCGACCCGAGACUACCAUACCAUCUACCCUUACCCCUGUUCAGCCAUCUAUAUCAUUGGAUGCACCCCCACCUAUUGCAGAGUCUUUUGCACCCCCACCUAUUAUAGAGUCUAUUGCACCUCCACCUGUUACAGAGUCCGUUGCACCUCUACCUUUUCUUCAAGGGACAGCUCAUGCUGCACGAUUACAUGUACGGGUACCUAGAGGACAUCGAGCUCCACGUGUACGUCGAGUUCUACCUCCAUCAGUUCCAUCUAUCUCGACAACUCAUGUAGAUGACGUGUCAUAGUCUAUAGAGAUGGAGACUUUUCAGAUAGCAUAGAUGGAUACAACAAAUAUGGCCAUCUACCGUAGAUGUUCACAACGAAAGAGAAAGAUUCCAUCAUGUGGGACACAUUGAGAUCUUUUUUCAUGUUUGUAGAACUAUUAUACUUUGGUUUAUACAUUUAAGGUUAUAUAAAGUGUUAAUUCAAAUUAGUGAUGUUAUGUUAUUCACAUGUUUCCUUGAUAAUUUAAACAAAUAAAACUCAAAUGCAUCCUAAAGUCUAAAUGAAAGAAAUUCUAACUAAAUAAAUUAUUACAACCAUUACCUAUUUUUCUUUCAUAUAAUUAAAAAAUUAUACAUUUUAACCAAGACUUAAGUUCAAAUCAUACUUAAUAAUAAAUAACCUAAAAUCAUAAUCAUUGGCAUUAAUUUUCAUAUGAAAAUAUAAAAUUUUAAAAUAAUAUAAACAAUUUCUUUAGUUAUUUUAAAAUUUUAAAAUAAUAUGAAUAAAUAAUUUUCUUUAGUUCAUAUGUGAAAAUAUUUGUAAAACAAAUAAAUAUUUUAUUUACUAUAAAUAUAUAAAUUUUUAUGGGAGUGCAAGUAGACCAAAUUAUUUUCUCAAAUUUCCAAGGAAAAUAUGAAAAAAUAAAGAUAAUAUAUAUAUAUAUAUAUAUUUAAAACAGUCGUAACAAAAAAAUUUAUGAAAAGCAAAGUUCUAAAAUCCCAUACUUUUUUAUACAUGAGUUCCCCUUAAAAAUAUUUGUGAAAAUUACAACAUAAUUGUAAUUUUGAUAAAAAAAAAUAUUUUAAAAAUAAUAUUAAAAUUACAACACCAUUAAAAUAUUGAAAAUAAUUGUAAAACCACAAUUACUAACUGUGGUUUUAUGGUUGUUUUGAUAAAAAAUAUUUUUAAAAUAAUAUUAAAAUUACAAUACUAUUAAAACAAGUGUGAAUUAAAAAUAAUUGUAAAACCAUAUUUGCUAACUAUGGUUUUAAGGGAAAUUGUAAAACCACAGUUUGUAACUGUGGUUUUAAGGAUACUUCUUUUAAAACCAUAGUUAUAGUAACUAUGGUUUUAUGGGUAUUUUGAUAAAAAAAAUAUUUUAAAAAUAAUGUUAAAAUUACAACACCAUUAAAAUAGAUGUGGAUUGAAAAUAAUUGUAAAACCACAGUUAGUAACUGGGGUUUUAUGGUUGUUUUAAUAAAAAAUAUGUUUAAAAUAAUAUUAAAAUUACAAUACUAUUAAAACAGGUGUGGAUUAAAAAUAAUUAUAAAACCACAGUUACUAACUGUAGUUUUAAGAGAAAUUGUAAAACCACAGUUACAAACUGUGGUUUUAAGGAUACUUCUUUUAAAACCAUAGUUAUAGUAACUAUGGUUUUAUGGGAAUUUUGAUAAAAAAUAUAUUUUAAAAAUAAUAUUAAAAUUACAACACCAUUAAAAUAGAUGCGGAUUGAAAAUAAUUGUAAAACCACAGUUACUAACUGUGGUUUUAUGGUUAUUUUGAUAAAAAUUAUUUUAAAAAUAAUAUUAAAAUUACAACACCAUUAGUAAAACCACAAUUAGUAACUGUGGUUUUAUUGUUGUUUUGAUAAAAAAAUAUUUUAAAAAUAAUAUUAAAAUUAUAACACCGUUAAAAUGGGGAUGGAAUAAAAAUAAUUGUAAAACCACAGUUAUUAACUGUGGUUUUAAGGGAAAUUGUAAAACCACAGUUUAUAACUGUGGUUUUAAGGAAACUUCUUUUAAAACCGUAGUUAGUAACUAUGGUUCUAGGAGAAAUUAUAAAACCACAGUUUGUAACUGUGGUUUUAAGAAAAUUUAUGUAAGUUUUAAAACCACAGUCACCAACGGUGAUUUUUUACACUUAAAAUCCAUAUGGAUGCUUACUUGGACAAAGAAAACUACUUUGACAAAUAUUUUCAAAUGGAUACUAUUCUUAUUAUUUUUUUUUACAAAUAUAUUAUUUUGUUCUUAAACUCCAUUAAUCCUGUUGUCAGAAUCCCAUCCCGUGUUAGACUGCAAAAGUCUAAUAAUAAAGGUCUUGAUAAGGAGAAAUCACAAGAGCAUUUAUUACAUCAAUAAUUAUUAGCAAUCAUCUGGAGCCCACGAUCAAGAAGAGGAUCCAGCUGGAAACCUAUUCAAAAAUGUCAUCAAUCCCAGUAUUUAUUUCUUACUUUAUUUUUUUAUUCCAUUCAUUUGCUUAUCACUUUUUUUGUUUUUCCCUUUUUAUCUCGUUACAUCUUUAUCCCGAUAUUUAUACUUUCAUUAAAUAACUUAAAUUUUUUUUAUAUAUUUUAAUGAUGAAAUUUAAAAUCUUUACUUUCAUAUAUUUUUCCUUUUAUACUUUUUGUUACCCAUUAUUAUUAUUAAAUAUUAAUAUUACUAUUAAUAUAAUUAUUUAUAAUAUUAAUAUUUUAAAUUAUUCAUAUUAUUAUUAAUAUCAUUCUUAUUAAUAUUAUCUAUUAUUUUUAUGAUCAUUAUUCACCUUAUUAGUCAUAUUUUUAAUAUUAUAAUAAUAAUAAUUUUAUUAUAUUUAUAUUAUUAUUAUUAAAAAAACCCUAAAAGAUAUUUUCUAAUUUUUUUUAAUUCUUAUGGUUCAUAAGCUUUAUUAAAAAAAUUAUUCUGUGCUUUUUAACCUUUUAACUUCAUAUGCUACAUUAAAAUUAAUUAUAUUAUUAUUAUUACUUUACAAAUAUUAUUUUUAUGAUGUUAAUUUUAUAUUUUAUUAUUAAUAUUAUUAAUAAAACUAAUAUUAUAUCCAAGUUAUAGGUGUGAAAAUAUGGUGGCAUUAUUAGCUGGCUUUUCAGUCAUUCCGAUGAAGAAAGUAAUAAAAUAGAGAGAGAUGAGAAAUGUUGAACUGUCGGUUGCAUUAUUGGCCAGCUGGCUUUGAAUCAUUCUGACGAAGAAAGUGAUAAGAGUGAUAUGAAUAUGACCUUUUUCAUUCGGAUGAAGAAAGUAACAAAAUAGAGAGAGAUGAGAAAAGUUGAACUGUUGGUUGCAUUAUUGGCGUGCUGGCUUUGAAUCGUUCUGACGAAGAAAGCGAUAAGAGAUAGAAAGACGAGUGAUAGGGAAAUGACGAGUUUUAGAUGGGGAAGCCUUUUUCAAAAUCAUUAUCACACUAGAUUAGUAUCCUUCCCCAUAUUUUAAAUUCUAGGGCAGUGCGGCCGGUUCUUGGAAAAACGGUUCAAUUACCCCUCCUCUAAACAGGUCCUCCUUCCAUUUAAUGGAUUUUUGGCGGAAGCCCAACCCAUAUUGCCACCACCUAUUUGUUGGUUUUUAGGCAAAAAGCCUGUCCAAACAAGCCCGCCUUACAUUGCCACAUGCUGGGCUCAACCUUAAACCCACAAGGCUUGGACAUGUCAACACCUUGGCUGAGUUCUCCAUAUCCUUCUUACCAUCUGUUGUGGGAUUGAUGGACCUCAAGUUGAGGAGAUGACAUGGGCACCACUCUGAUGCUUAUUAUAUCAAACAAAAGAAAAUAUAUUAUUUUCUAAAAUAAUUUAUAAUAACAAUAUAAUAUUUUUAAAAAUAUAAAAUUAUCCCUAUGCCAACUUGACAGUCAAACUAAAGCAUUUACACACUUUACUAAAAACAUAAAAGGGUUUUUCUUGUUUGUUUAGUAAUGUCAAGCUUUGGCAUUGUUAUUGAAUGAAGAAUUUUCAUCUCUAUUAUUGAUUUUUUUAUUUAAAACUAAAGCAUUUCAAAUUUAUUAUUAAAAAAAGGUUUCAAAUUUAUUUAAAAUAAAAAUUAAAAAUUUUAUCUUUAUUUUAUUUAAAAGAAAUUUUCAAUUUUAUUUUAAGAGAAAAGACUUCUUAGUUUUAUUAAAAAAAUUUAAAAUUUUAUUAUUAUUUAAGAAAAAUAUUUUUUUUUCUUUCUUUUUUUUUUUUUGUCUUAAAAGAUGAUUUUGUUAAAAAAAAAAAAAGGAAAAUUUUUUUUUAUUUAAUUUAAUUCAAAAGUUAUACAAUGUUAUUUUAAAGAAAGAUUUGACAAUUUUAUUGAAAAGGAUUUUGUAGUUUUAUUUAGAAAAAACAUUUUUGAUAGUCUUUUCUUAAAAAGACAUUUUCCUACACAGUUUAUUAUUAAACAAAAUUUUUUUGGACAGUUUACAUUUAAAAGACAUUUUUGGAUAGUUUAUUUAAAGACUAUUUUGGAAAAUUUUAUUUAAAAAUCAUUUUUGAUAUUUUUUAAAUUUAAAGUCAUUUUGACAGUUUUGAUUAAAAAAAAAUAUUUUGACAACUUUAUUUUAAAAAAAAAUAUUUACACAAUUUUUAUUCAAAAAACACUUUAGGUAGUUUUUUUUUUAAAAAAAAAUUAUUUUUAAAAAUGACCUGACAGUUUUUAUUUUAUCCUAAAAAAAGUUUCAAUGUUAUUUUAUUUAUAAAUAAAUAUACAAAACAGAAUACGGGAAAAAACCCAAAUAGGUAAUGCUAUUGCUAUAUAUAUCUACCCCUUCACUCGUCUUUGCAUCACUCACCCCACACACAUUCUCUUUCUCCUUUCACAUUUUCAGUUAAGUGAGUCUCAUACUCAACUUCUUACAUUCCUUUCUAGGUUAUUCUCUUGAUCAAAUAAUGUAGUAUUGUGUUGUUUUGCUUUAAAGGCAUGUCAUCAUCCGAUAAGUGAGAAGCAAUUGAAGGAGAUGGGAGAAACCUGAUCUCAGCCGGUUCCAUCCCAAAUGCCGCAGCAAUCUAGGCAGCAAUUGUUAGGAAUGGGGUCAUUUCUUAUGGUAUCAAGAUGGAAAUAUUCAUAGAUCUUCCUAUUGUUGGAAAGAUGAGUAUACCCAUUGAGGCAACUGGAAUGGUACCCGUACGCUUACCUUUUAUGAAUAUGAAUGCUGAUAUUGGUGUUGAUGGUAAAGAGGAGGAGAUAUACAAUUAGCAUGUACUAAAAAAAUUGGUGGGUUUAAACAUGUCUUUUUUUUUUUCCCCCCAAUUGACUGAGCCUCAAAAUUCCCACUUAUAUUUACAAAUCCCCAUUUAAUAAUUUGUAUGUGAUUCAUCACCACUUUGAUCACUACCUUUACAUUGUUAUAGAACCUCCAUCUCAUGCAUGUAUGCAUGCACAGAGUACGUACAUCUUUCUAGUAAUAGAUGGAUAAAAACUAUUUUUAUGCAUGCUUCCUCGUAUUACUAACCUUGGUUGCAAAUUGCAAUAUGUGAUUGCUUUUAUUUUUUUCUUCUAUCUCAUGCAUUCACUUGUGCACACAAUUCAUUGUUGCCAAUUUCAAUUCUUGCAGAAUUAGAGAAGGACCAUAGAAGAUGUCAGCAAAAGUGGUUUGCAUGAUGAGUUUCUACUUUCUAUUCUUCUUUUAUUGUCUAAGGUCAUCCUAAUAAUGGAUUAUUAAUAUUAUGUAAUUGGUUUGUAUGAUAAGUGCUUUCUCUUCUUCUUUUAUUGUGUCUAAGGUCAUCCUAGCUAAAAAUGAAUCAACAUUAGAAUAGUGUACGUGCUAGCAUUGACAUAGCAAGCCAUAACACAACUGCUUGCUCUCUAUUGUCAUAGGGGUUGCACAUAAGAGGAGAAUGAGCAAGAGUUAUACAACCGGCUCCCUUUCUAUAAAUUUAUUAUUAUGAAAAUUACAAGAUAAUUAACACUAAUAAAAAAUUUUAAAACUUAGAAAAAAUUGUCGAGAUUUAUUCGAUGACUAUUAUUAUUGAAUGUUUAAAUUAAAAAUAAAUUAGAAAUACGCACUAUUAUCUUGGAAAUAGUGAGUAGCAUGGUUGUGAUACAAUUCAUUUACAUUGUUGUAAACAUAAUUUAGCAUAGUUGUAAACACCAAGAAUAGAAUUAUUAUAAAUAUUUAAAAAUAUAAGGACAAAUAUAAUAAAUGAUAUAAAUGUAAAUAUGAUAAAUGAUGUUAUUAUAAAUGUUUCUAAAAAUAAGGUUAAACAAUGUGUCACAACAAAAAUCAUUUGAGUCUCUAUUAUAAAUCAUAGAUUAAAAAUAAAUCAGUAAUGUAUUAUAAUACUGAUUGCAUAGUUGUAAUACAAUGAAUUGACAUUUUUGUAAAUAUAAUAGGUAGCACAAUUAUAAAUGUGAUGAAUAGUAUCAUUGUAAAUAUUUCAAUAAAUAAAUAUAAAUAUAAUAAUGACAUUUUAUUAAAUAUGAUGCAUGUGUAGACAUAAAACAAGAAAAAGAAAAAGUGUAUUAAAUUACCACUAAAUUGAUCAUUAAACUUGUGACUUUUUAGUUCAAUAAAAAUUUGAUUUGACAAGGGAUGAAUCACAUAUGUUAAACAUGUGACAUGCCAUUCAAAAGGUUACAUAUGACAAAAUUUGGAAGGUUAUAAAAUCAAAUCUUACAAAAUAAAAUCAAAUAAAAUGAUUAAAGUCGAAUUAGAAAAAAAUAUUGUCCUGUUUAUAAAUUGUAUUCAAAAUGAAGGAAAUAAAUUUUUUAAUUGAAGUCAAAAGGAAAUUAAGAAGAAAUAUUUUCAUGUCCACAAAUUUCUUAAGUGAAUGAGAUAAUUUGUUUAAAUCAAGGAGUCAAAUUCUUUGAAUUAAAGAAUUAAAUCUUAAGGAUUUCAAAUUCUAAUAUUUAAUUUCAUUCAUAGAUAAAGGUGACUUUCUAAGAUGAAGGUGGAUGGAAGAAAAAGCUUUACCAUAGAAAUGGCUUGAUAGGAGGGUUUGACAAAGAUUAAUGCCCUCAUGCUCUCCACCAUGAUGAACAAGCUAUGCUAAAUCCCUCAAUUGAACUUCUAAAAAAAAAAAAAAAAAUCUUAUUAUCAUUCAAGUGGUUAACUCAAACAAAGUUUCACAAUAAAAGCUAUUUUCGGCUUUUAUUAUAGGUCACUGACCCAAAGAUCAAUAUUGUGAAUCUAUGGUGAGAUUUUCUCCUCUUAUAGAACUCCUAAAAUAGACCUCAUGGCUUGGAAUACCCACUAAACUAUUUUAAAUAAUAAAUAUAGUAAAAGGCUUGGUUGAAGAUCAUAUGAAAAAGAAGACUUCAUUCCACAAAAACUUGUCCAUAUAUUUGGCCUCAGACAAGUCAAGUGGGAAUUAUUUGUUUAAGAACAAUGUACAAUGAAUGAUGUGUUGAACAAUUAGCAAAUUUACUUGAAAUUAAAACAAUAACUUGGUGUUGGAGAUAUUAAACUAAUUUAAAUUUUAAGUCAAACAUAAUAAAAGACUUUAUCCAAGAUCUUGUAUUGUAUGGAAUAAAAAUUGACUUCUUGUUUUAUGUGUUUUUACGAUUUUAUUGUUCAAGUCAUGAAGGCAUAUCAAACCAUCAAUCCUCUAGAUCUUCAUAAGUUGAUCAUAAAAAUACAAAUCCUUAUGCUACUCAAAACUUGUGUAUACAUCCCAUGAAACUUGUAUAUAUUCGUGAUAUUACUAACGAUUUGAAAAUUAAACUAGAUUGAUCAGUUUCAUCGGUUUAAUAACAUAAUGAUCAUUACAAAAGUUAUAAAAUUAUCAUUUAUAUAAUUUGGACAUAUGGAUAAAAUUAAAUAAUAGAAAUUUUCCUCUAUUUUGUACAAGUUCAUAGUUAAACAUUAUGCAUAUUUUGUUUAAUAAAAUUUAAAAUAUUAAUAUAUUAUAUUUAUCUUAUGAUUUAAUUUGAUACUAUUAAAGAUAAAAAAAAAUUAAUUAUAUAUAUUUGGACAGUUAUAAUUAUUUUUUAUUUUAGUAAUAUAUAAAUUAUCUAUUUAGAACAUCAUGAUCGUUCAAUAGUGGUUCAACUAUUGAUUUGAUUAUUGAACCAUGAAUCGAUAAUUUUUUUAAUUCAAUGACCGAUUCAGUUAUAAAAAUAUUAGACAUUAUUAUUUACUAACUAUAAAACUAGUCUAAACAAAGCCUAAAUGUGAAAGUUGGCUAAAGGGAAGGGUCACCUUCAUUCCAAUGUUAUAAAAGAGAGCGGGGUUUUCAUUUCCAUGAACUGCUCAGCUAUGUACGACAAAAAAAUUUUCAUUUGAUGUUGGCUAGAUCUUGAAAUUAAUUUUUAAUAUGUACCAUAUAGAAAACAAAUUCUCAUUUUUCCUUCACUCUUAAUGCUUGGAAGUAUUGAGUUAUUUUGAAAAAAAUAAUAAAAAUAAUAAAGAGAAGCAUACCAAUGUAACUCCUAAAUAGUGCCAGAGCAAGAAAAUCUCACAUUUUGGUAAGUUUAUUGAAAGUAUAGUGACAGGUCUAAUACAAGGCAUUUCAGAACAACUUAAUGCUUACUAGUAUCAGUCUUGUCCUAUCUAAGAAAUUAGUUGUUAUUCUCAAAUACUCUAAUUCCUUCAAAUAGGGAGGGUUGUGUUUGGGUGAUUGCUCUUGAAUCCAUCUUCUAGUGAUUGUGCUUUCAUGUCGAGGGACUUUACGUAUUAUAAUAAAACCUUGACAAAUAAACCUUUUAUAAAUUCAUAAUUUCAAUUAAAAAAUAAAAUCUUUUGGUCUCAGGCCAAUUUACAAAAUUAAUAACCUUGUUGAAUGUACAAGAUAAUGUUUUUUUAUAUUAAAAAAAAUCCUUGAAAACCCAAGAAAAUAUAAAUUAAUAAUUGAAGUCCACAAAAAAUAGUAAAUAAAAAUUUAUUAUACUAUAUUUAGUAAUGUUUUUAAAACUUAUAUUUUUCUCAAUUCAAUAUUUUCUCAAAACCAUAACAUAUUUAAAACCAUUUUAUCUUCUAUAAUAUUAACUUUUGAUAUAAUAUUUCUUCCUUUUACAACUUUUUUUAACUUUUAUAAUUAAUAACCAUAUCUUUUUUUAGAGUCUUAAGUUUCUAUGUAUUAAUUUUUGAAUACAUUCAUAAUUUUUUGUUGUGAAUUUAUAAAUCAUACAUGUAUAAUUACUUACAAAAGAAACAUAACAUUUUUUUUUAAUAAAUUACUAAUUAUUCAUUUAUUGAUAAAUCAAUAACCUCAUUAAGAUAAUAAUUUUUUUGAUGUAAUGCUUUUACUUUUCUAAAUUUUCAACAAAGCCAUGACCAAGAAAACUAAAAAUGGCUAAGAUAAUAUGUUAGUUUACAACUGAUUCAUCCAAGUUAAGUCUAUUAGAGACUAGAAUAAUAUGAAUUGAUUAAAUAAAUGGAAAGACCUGUACACCAAUAAAAGAAUUAUAACUAAAUUCUCAAGUAUCAUUGAUCAAAUCACAAUAUAUUUGGCCUAUGAAAUGAUGGUUUGAUGUGCCUCUACAUUUGGAUCAUAAACAAGUGUUCACAAUAUGAGAUAUAACUAUUCAAGCAUUUGGAAAAAUAACUAGAAUGUUGGGUACUAGGAAUUGGUUACAAAAUAUUUAUGAAGUUAAUAGAUAUGAAAUAUCCUCAACAACACAUUCAUUGCUUAAUAUCAAUACAUAUAGGCAAGAAUAAUACUAAUAAAGUUUCCUAAAUUCACUAACAAUUUAAAUCAUGGAGAGUUGAAUUGUAGCAAUCUAGAAAUAUCAAGCUUUAAAGCAAAGCAUACAAAAGAUCUAGCUUAUUUAUUGAAAGAAAUCAAGACACUUAGAGAGAAAAACCUUCCGCUAGUUAAUUUAAAUGAAGGAAAUAUCAUUAACUAGCGUCUUUCUGCCAAGGAUGGUAUCUGUGCAGCUCCUCAAAAGAAGGAAAUCUCACAUACCUGACAAAAAAAAUGAAGACAAUAAGAACAAAAAGCCCUUAUACUAAGAUAAGAUAAUAUAUAUAUAUCAUAUAUGUCAAAGAAAAAUACAAACACCUAUUCAUUUUUCUUCAUAUAGAAAAAUUAAAUCAGUUGUCCUGGUUGUGGUCUGUCAUCAUCUUCAUCCUCCUAUUCAUCCUCUCACUUCUCUCCCACUCCCUCCUCUUUCUAUCCCUCUCCACCAUCCUCAUCUUUCUCAUCACAUCCUCCUCUUCGUUGACCUCAUCAUCAUCGUUGUUGACCACAUCAUCGGUCACUAUCUCCAUAAUCCCAUUCUUUAGAAUCCUGGGCAUUCGAUACACAAAACAUCACAAUGGGUAGGAAUAAGGAAAAGUAUAAUAAUAAAAGUUUUAAAAAGCAAUUAGGAUAGGAGCACAAAUCAUGGAAUGGUAGAUCAAACUACUGCUAUAUUGUAUCCUUGUCUCCUUUAGAAGUGAUAGUGUAUUUAGCCCAGAAUCUUGGGCUAGAGUUGGACAACAUUUGGUAAAGACCCAUAAACAACGUUAAGUCCCAGCAGGUUCUUCUAUCCACAAAUGAGAGUAAGAAUUUCGUAUAAUUGUUUGCCUUUAACCUUUGACCAAAGGAAGGACAUCACUAUCAAUAUGAACAUGUCCAUUGCUUAUCUCCAAAGAUUGAAUGUUUUUGUUAACAAAAUAAAAAAUUAAAAGUUGCGUGAUUAAAUGUUUACAAUAAGUGACAAAGACUGGACAAUCCUUACUUCACUUAUUGCUCCUAAAUGAUGUGUAUUCCAUCAUAAAAUUAAUUUUCGGUACUUUGAAACAAAUCUAAGCAAAAUAAAAUUUCUAUUUUCUUCGUACUUUUGCUUGUGACUAGUUGAAUUGAUAGUUUGUGAAACCCAACACAACUAUCAUUCACCCUAGGUUCUAACAACACUUCAAUUUUCUAAUCCAAUUAAACUCCUUAACUCAAAAACAAAGUAGAAAAGGAAAACACUAUGUACAAUAGAUAAUCAUUUUCUAUCAAUAUCCAAUAUUAUCCUCAAUCAAACAUCAAAUAUUAAAGAAUUUUGAAAUUUUGAGAAUGAUUUACCUUCAAAUGUGUUUGUAUUCUAACUUAUAAUUUCAACCAUAAUAAUAGACUGUCUCAAGGUCUACAUUUAAACUAACUGAAAAUCUAUGUAUGAAUAUUUUGGCAAACACUUUUUGCACAAAAAACCCCUUGACCUCUUCAUGCUUGCCUUUAAAUUUGUUGAAAUUCCUAGGAAUGGUUACUCAUGUUUUAAAGGUUAGGCAUCAAAGAUUGGUAGGUAUAGCUACUAAGCUAAGGGAACAAUUAACAACUAACAAAGCAAACUUAACCCAAAUAGACAAUAAACUAAGCAACAACAAACAAUAAGAGCAUAAAAGGAUCCAUACAAACCCAUGCAGAAUUCUGCUUCCAUCAAAUCAGGUUCCUUGUACUAAAAAAUUAAACAGACUAAACAUAACACAAACAUUAUAUGGGUUUGCUCUGUGUCUUUUUCUCACAGUUAGACAAAUUUCUGAGAGAUGAAAAAGAAAUAAAAUUAGAAUUCACAAAUUUCUAAAGAAUCGCGAAGGUGAAAAAUAGUGUUUAUAAUAUAAUGACAUUAGAAAAUUUCAAGAUAUAUACCUUCUCCAAAGCUGUAUUAUGGAUGAUGGUAUUGAUGUCACACCCCAAAAAAUGCUCUUCCGCAUGAUCGUCAAUUUUUACUUCCUUUACCCUUGGUGUACUUGGGACUGUCUCACAAAAAUAUUCCAUCUGAGGGCAUCCUUUCACCUCAAAUUGUUCCAAGGAUGGGAAUUUGAAGAUACAUCUAGUUGAGCAGAACCAUUUUAGACUUUGUAAGUGAACAAGUCUCAACCUUUGUAAUUUGGAGAAAACAAUAUCAUAUGGUUCUUCACCUCCCUCAUGUCUGACUAUUUCUUCCACCAAUUCGCAUUUUUCUAUAGUAAGCACUUUGAGCUGCACCAAUGUUUUAGCCAUUGAGGAAGUCACCAGAUAUAUUAAAUUUCCACAACCACGUACUUCUAGAGAAUGAAGAUUCUUAAAAAUUUGACCUGUCUCAACUUGAUAUUCCUUAUCAACAAGUUCGAAUACCUCUUUCACUGAAUUACACUUGUUCACAUGAAGUUCCUCUAGAUUAUGCAACUUUGGAAGCACAUUGGAGGGGAUCACAACCAAAAUGUCGUGACACUCUCUUAUCCUCAAAAGUCUCAGCUUGCAAAAUGACUCCCCUGAAAAUUGGCCUUGCCAUAUUUUCAUCUUGGGGCCCAUUAAGAUCAAUUGCUCCAAAUUAAGGAAUGCAUCCUGACAACCAAACAAACAAGAUUAACGAUAUGUCUUCUAUCUCUCUCUCUCUCUCUCUCUCUCUCUCUCCCCCCUCCCCAAACCCCCCUCUCCAACCUCCCUUUUUGUGGCUAAAUAAAUAAGUUAUAUACACAAUUGUAUGUACAAAAAUAUUUUAAAAUAAAGUAAAAAAGAAUACUCUUGUGGCAUACAAUUUUUUUUUUCUUAUUGUUAUGACUUAUAACUAAGGACCAUGUUUGUUUACUUACCAAAUUAAAAAAAAAAAAAAGUUUUCCAUAAUUUCCUUUCUAAUUUAUACUUAAUUACAUGAGUUUAGUUUCUUUUUUAUGUAUUUCAUCCAACGGCCCAUGCCAAAAAUUAAGUUAGGGGGAAAAAAAAUUUAGGAAUUAAUUUCAAGGAAAAAGAAAAGAAAAAAAAAAUUACCUAUGUAGCUUGAUGGCUAAUCAACAUUGCCCUUACAACUAAUGUCACAAUUAAACACAUACACAUAUUAUUUUCCAUACAAGAUAACAAACCACUACAUCUAAAUAAUCCAUUUCAAUUAUUUGCACUAUAUAUUAAUGACCAAAGACUCUCCCAAAUAAUUAGCACUUGACAUAUUUUGAUGCAAUAUAGAAAUUACCAUAUCUUGGUUUGAGAAUAAUUUAAAUAAACCAAUUCUUAUGGUUUUAUAUGAAUUCUUUGAAUUCAAUAUUAAUGUAAGCAUAACAUAAAAAAAGAGGCUUCAAAAUAAUUUAUUUUCAUUAUAGGUUCAAUCAUGUUAAUUUAAAUAAAUCAAUUAUUUAAAUUUAUUAUAAUUUGUUGGUUCUAUUACAUAAAAUUAUAAUUUGACCAUGAAGGUAUAAUUGUUGGAUAAACCAUAAUGCAUGCUAUACCUACAAACUCCUAUGACUUGUAACUGACUAUUUCUUAUUCUUUGGAUUACCAAGUCAUUUUAUCGUAAUUUGAUUAAUUUAGAAAUGGAACAUAAGCUUACUUAGGUCAAUUUUGGAUAAGUUUUAUACAAAAUGUAGACUUCAAAUUCCAACACUAUUCAAGUUUAAGAUUAAAACAUUAUCAUAUUAAUGAAAAAUGAUUAGGACGUAGUGUUUAAUGGACUAAAUUUAGCAAUCCAAAUAUGGCAAAAGAAAUGGAGAAAAACCAAACCAUACCUUUUCCAACAAGAAGAAAGAUUGUUGAAUUGGACUAUCAAUAUAACCUUCUGAAUCUAUUUCUUGAAAAAGUGUCCCCACUUGAUCCCAUUUCAACAUAAUUAGCUUUUUCAAAUGUGGCCCUCUUGCAAUACGUGUUCCUCGGUAGAAACCUUUGAGUUUGUCUAAUCCUUCGAGUGUGAGAGAGGUUAGUUUAGGGAAUAAUGAAGACUUUACUUCAUCUCCAUGUUCAUUUGCAACAAUUUCCUCCACUCCACAAUUUAUUAUCUGUAGUUCAUGAAGUUGCACAAGGCCUUCUGCUACCGUAAUUGGAAAAAGAUAUUUUAAACAAGGACACCUAGCAACUUUUAAGAACAGUAGGUUUUGAAAGGAGACAAGUCCUUGAGGAUCCUUAUUCCAUACACUCUUCAAACUAUUUAGCCUCUCUAAAAACAAAUGAAGCAAUGGAAUGGUUGCAAUAUCAUGAAUUUCCUUGCAAUUUACUCCCUGUAGAUCAAAAAUCUCUUCUAUGGAAUCACAAUCAUCUAUUUUCACAUAUUCCAAACUUUGUAACCCUUUUAGGAUAUUGGAUGGAAAAACAUUUAGUAAUUUGUUGCACUUUGAUAUUUCCAAACUUUUAAAGUUGCAACAAGACUCUAGAGGAAGUUGGUUGUGCCAAAUUGCUAUCACAUUAUCCAAGGAUUCCAUUGUCAAGUCCUCCAAGCUAGGGAGUGUAACCUGCACAAUCGAUCACAUUUGGUUAACAAUAUGUAUACCCAUGUAUAUAUAUUCCCGAUUGAGUUAAUAACCAGAUACAUAAAUAAAUAGAAUAUAAGAGGUUAAAGGUCAAGAUAUCAAUGUGACAAAGCACAAAACUAGAAGAAAAUGAAAGAGAAUGCAUAAUAUUUUAACAAUUGAAUGGAAUUUAAAGAUGUUAAAUUUGAGAUGAUUUUCAAAUGGGGCAACAGGUUCCCAAUCUUUGGAUCUCUUUUUCAAAAUUGACAAAGCCUAAUGGAUUAUAUAUGUAUUUGAAGCACCCAUGAUAGCCAUCCAUCGAUAUGUUUCAUAGUCUUAUAACAAGUAUCUACUCUUUUUACCAUGCAGUGAUUCCAUUCAAAAUAUUCCACAUAAAUACAAUAAAAAUAACUAUUAAAGCGGGGUGGUUGAAGACCAGGUGGUUUAUGAUGAGGCCUUUCCUUCUAGUUUUUCCUUACUUAGGAAACCACAAAUGCAAUAGAUGCUCAGGCAUGAGCCUUCUUCAUUCACUAAUUAACCUAGCCUUUAGAUUCUUAAAGCUUGUUUGUUGGUGUAACAUAUAUAUAUUUGAGAAUAAUAUUUUUUUAAAUUUACACCAGUAUUUGAAAGUUGUUCUUGAAUAAAUUUUUAAAAAGAAAGUAAAAUAAAGAAUUAUUUUUAGAAAAUAAGUAGAAAUUACUUUCAUCUAUUUUUAAAAACAAAAGGAAACCAUCAACAAAUAAAAAAUAUAUAUUAGAAAAAAAUCAUUAAAAAAAUAAAGUUUAACAAAAUUUCAUGCCUCUAAAUUACACAAUUUUUUUCUAAAUUUCUUUUAACUUAAAUUUUUUUACUAUAAAAAGAGAUUCUAAAUCAAGUUACAUUUAAUAUAUAUAUAUAUAUAUAUAUAUAUAUAUAUAUAUAUAUAUAUAAUUUUAGAAUAAAAAAACUAAGGCAAUAAAUACUAGAAAAUCAUGGAACUUAAAAUCAAUCUAACUAAUAUUAAAAAAUAACAAUUUAAAUCUCAUCUUGAAUUACUUUACUAAUUUCUUCUUGACAAUAACUAUAUUUUUUAAUAGGCAAAUAAACCCCAAAUCAAGGAAGACUUGAUGUAUUGGAAUCUGGCAAGUUUAACAAUAAUUUAAAACUUUAAUACUAAUCUAAUGAAUUCAAAAAAUUUAUGAAUGAAAAUCGGUUCAAAACACUAUAGACAAAUAAACUCUAAAUCAAGUAAGACUUAAUAUUUAGAUUCACUAUCAAGUCUAUUAAAUUUAAAAAGUAAUUUAUGAUUCAUAAAAUAACCCAAUCACCACUAGAAAUUCAACGAUUAAAACUAGUCUAGAACAACUUUUUUUUUACUUCUCCUCUAUAUGUAAUUAUAUUUUGAUGAUUUUUUAUUAGAAAAUAAUUUUAAAUCAAACAAGACUUAAAAGUUUUAGAUUUAUUAAUGAUUGCACUCAUUUUUAAAAAUAAUCUGGAACUCAAAAAUAAGUUUAGACAAUAAUUGAAUAUAAUAAACCAAAACUAGUCCAAAAUGAGUCUAUGAGAGCUAUAUUGUUUCUCCUUUGCACCUUACUAUACUUUUCCAAUUUUUCUCAUUAAGUAAAUAAGCUAAAUAAAGUGAUAUCAAAACUUAAUGCUUUAGAUUCUCUAAUGAAUAUAUUAAUUUUUAAGAAUAAGAUGGAAUUAAAAAAAUUGACUGAAUUAAUUUUAAAUUGAAUCAAAAUUGGUUCAAAAUACUUUAUCCAUUGCUGAGUAUUGAAAAAUCUAACUUAUUUACAUAUAUAUAAAAAAAUAAACUUUAAUUUUUAAUUUAUUUUAAAUAAAACAUUAUUAAUCAUUAGCAUUUUUAAAUUAUAACCAUUCAUAUUUAACAAAAAAUCAAUUAUGCAUUUGUAAAAACAUUGAUAUCCAUAUUUUAUAAUUUAUAUUAAAAUGGCUCAAUUUCUAAAUUAAAAAAAAAAUCAUGAUUUUAUUAUAAUAUUAAUAUCCAUAUUUUAAUACAAACCAUUUAUUUUGUUAAUUUAUUAGUAAUUAAAAAAAAUUAUUUCCAUAAGACUUGAAUUAAAUCGAAUUAAUAUUAUAUAAAUCAACUUUACAUUUUUUUUUUUUUUACAAAAUCUAAAUAUAACAUUUAUUUUAAAAACGACAAAAGUUAAUAAACGAAUGAGUUUUUUUAUUUUUUGUUGUUUAAAAGUGUUUUUAAAAACAUUUCAAACACUCUUUAUUUUGAGAACAAAAAAUCUAGAAAAUUUUUUGGCAACUACCAAAAAAAAUAAAACCUGCUCUCCAAAACAUAAAGCAUGUGUUUCUUGUGAACAUAUUUUAGUUAUUUUAAUUGUUUUCACUUAAUUUAUUUGUUUAUUUAAAAAAAAACAAAUAUAAAGAAUAAUAAAAAAUAAAACAUUCCAUCUAAAAUUUAUUCUUAAAAAAUAUUUGAAAACAUAAAAAAUAAGUUGAAAACAUUGUAAGUUGUUAAUACACCUAUCAAAAAAAAAUUGUAAGUUAUUAAUGUACUCUACUCUAAAAAACAUCAUAGAAUUAUUUUAAAAAUUGUUUUCAAAAAUUGAUUUUUGAAUAAUGUAUUUAAAUUGGAUACUGGUUGUUUUAAUUUAUGUUUUCUCGUAAAUUUAUGGGGCAGAGAGACUAGAAAAGAAAAGGAAAGUGAUAAAAUUUAUGGGGGCAAAGCAUACUGCAUCCAUAUUAUGGAUAAAAUUAAGAUUAUUUUAAAUUGGAUACUGGUUGUUUUCAUUUAUGUUUUCUCAUAUUUUACUUAUUUAUUAAUGGCAGAAAUUGGAUAUCAUUCAAAUUUUAACAUACCUGUUCAUUGAAGAAUGGUGUGGGAACAUCACUCGUACAUAACUCCUGGGUAGCACUGCUUCCUGUGGAGGAGAAGUCCCGUGUCGAAUCCAAGGAUCCCAUUUCAGGUAACACCGAUCCAUUCUUUCCUUGCUCCAUCGGAAGGGAUAUGAAAGAUUUCAACCUCUUACAACCAAUCACUAGUAGAGAACGUAACUUCCCAAAAGAUCCCUCUGGAAUUGGACCAUAGCAUACUGCAUCCAUGUUAUAGAGAUUCCCAAGACGCAAUUCCUCCAAGAUAGGAAGGGCACUGUGUGAUGGGACCCCUUUGGUCGAGUCAACAAUGUAUUGAAUCCCAGGACAAUUUCCGAUAACAAGAUGCUUGAGUUGAAGAAAAUCAUCUGUAUCAAACUCGUAAAGGACAUGCUUAGUGUCCUCCAAGUCAUGCAAUUCUAAAACUUCAACUGUCUUGAACAGCUUGGAAAAGCAGUCCACCAAGCAAGGUUUGUUAACCCUCCAGAGCUUCAACGUUCUUGCGGAUCUAUUAUGAUCAACAUAUCCUGGAAUGGAAUACACUGAUAUCACAUAUCUGGUAAGCUUCUCAAAGACCAGAUCUUUUGAUAGCAAAUUGGGUACCGUUAUUUCUAUAUAUAAAGUCUUCAAAUAGGACAAGUUGUUCAGCUCAGAAAGGCAAGCAUUAUUGCUUUCUCCACUACCAAAUCCUUCAGCCCCCCAUUUGGUAAAACUUUUUGCUAAACAUAAAUGCUCCAAUCGAGAUAAACUUGAUAUGACAUUUUGGGGAAUUACUUCGAGAUGAGAGCAAUCCCACAAGUCCAGCACCCUUAGAUCAGUCAAUUGCAUGAAUUCUUUCGGCAACCGUUCAAUUUCGCAACUUGCAAAACUAAGAACUUGUAGUUUCUUUAGCUCUCCGAUUAAUGCCAUGUCUUGGAGUGUGCAUCGGUAUACACGCAAUGUUCGAAGAUUGGAAAGAAAACCAAGUGAUGAAGGCAGUGGUGUAAGAUGCCUUGCAGACAAGUCCAAAACUUUUAGUAGUUCCGUCUCUUGAAAAAAGGUGUUUGGAAUUCUCAAAGACGGAUCAUUACCAUUCAAUAAAAAGAAUUCAAGUUUGGAACAUACCAAUCUUUCCGGAAGCUCACGGAGAUCUCCGCAUUGCAAAGAUAUACGACUGCAAUUUCUGAACUCCUCCUUCCUUUGCCAUUCUUCUAAUCCAAGAGCUUCUUUGAUCACAACAAAUCGAUGAGGAUCUUUUGCUGCAAUUGCUCUGGCAACAUCACCAACAACAUCAUGCAUUCUGACAAACUUGUUUUCAUCAUUAUUUCCGAAAAACACACCUGGCCCCACACCUGACCGAUAACGAUCUUCAGCAUCAAGCAGCAAGCUCGAGUCUUUGAGGAUUUUGACCAAUGUCACUAGUUUAUUUCUUAUUUGCUCCAAUGAACUCACGUGUUCAAACAAAUCCAAACCCAUGCCAUAUUUUAACAAUUGAUCCAGUGAAAUAUCACCAUAGCCCAGCAUACCACAAAGUAAGAACAAACGCUUCACUUCAUCACCUUUCAAGUGGUUGUAGCUCAACUCCAGACAUGAGUAUACUUUUUCAUGCACGUCCUCGAUGUUUAUUGCUGCAGAAUUCUCCAGUUCUAGCAAAGCAUUGUUCCACACAGCCUCAUCACUCUCGCCUUUUAACGCCUUUGCAACUGUUACAAUGGCAACUGGUAGACCAUCACAUUCUCUAAGUACUUUAAUUGCUAUGGAUUUAAGCUGCUCCACUGAAUCACCUGCUGUCUUCUUAAAUAAACUCCAGGCUUCCUCUUCACAUAAAUGUUGAACACGGAAGUUUUUUUGAGUAGCCAUCUUUCUAGAUAACACACCCUGUUUUCUGGAAGUCAGCAGCACUUUACACCCCCUAUGAGCAUCUCCAUGAGGAAUUCCGAUGUUUUCCAGACUAAGUUCUUCCCAAAUAUCAUCCAGAAUCACCAGGACCGUCUUAUUUUUUUGCAAACUUUUGCUUAAGCGGGCUGCUCUUCCCGAUUCCUCUUCCUCCUCAAAUUUCAAACCUAACAUGCUUGCAAUUUCUCCUUGAAUUUUUGUCACGUUCGGAACUCGGGAUAUAUUUAAUGCCAUAACCACCUUUUCAAAUAACUUAUCUUCCUCGGCCUUUUUCGCUACUUGAUUGGCAAGAGUGGUUUUGCCCACACCGCCCAUCCCCCACACACCAAUCAUUCUGAUAUCAUCAUUUCUCAAGGCCUCCAUAAUUUCGUUUAAAAUAGAUGCCCUCGAUUCCAAAGCUCCACAAUCUCUGAGGCGUGGAGACCAUAUCCCUUGUGGAGGAAGGCCAUAUGAUACCCUGUUAAAUUUAUUUUCUUCUUGGAUUUUACCAAUAUCCCCAGACUGCUUCUUCGCUUGCCUGCUUCGCUGGUACCGCAACUUUAAAUUGAAACAGCUCGUGCUUGCAGCCUUCUCAUCUUCAAUCAAUUCCUUUGCCGUUUGGAUGAUCCCUUCUGUACGUGUCAGCCACUUCUGGACAUCAGGUUCGAUCUCAUCCCCUUGCCUAUUAGCGUCAUCCACAUCUCGCUGCCGCCUCUCCCUUGCAUCACCCAGCUUGUCAACUUGUUCCUCAAGGUUAUCAAGGUUGCUACGGUAGUUAAACAGGUAACCCAGUGGACGUACAAUGGGAGCAACCAGGUACUCUGCAACUUUUGCUGCAAUGGAAAUAAGAAUUUCUGCCAUUUCCCAAGUUUUCUUUCUCUAGAAAUAGAUGGGAAUUGUGCAACAGCAGAUAUCAAAAAGG
rnacentral:lncRNA from 1 species